UAUUAUUUUUUUUUUUCAGAAAUUCGAAAAUUCAAAAAUUCAAAAAAAAAAAAAAAAAUAAAAUAAAAAAAAAAAAUUGCCUAGGCCUUAUCUUCUUUAGGCCUAACAACUUUCAUAACAAAUAUAUAUGAAUGAAGAGUUUUGGGCUAUCGCUUAGAAAGGAAAAUGGUGAAGUUUUGUUACUUUGGAAACUUGGCUACUAGCAAGACACCUCAUUCGUCCACUCCCUCGACCAGAGACUUGGGGGACUUCUACCAUAUGCUACUGCACCUUGAUACUCGGAAGUCUCACGACCACUCAGUGAAUUGGAUUUUUUCAAGUCUCCAACCGAGAAGUUUUCCUCACUCAGGAAAUUUAGGGAGCACUACCUCAACAUACAAGCUUCAACAAAAGGAAAAAUUCAAAGAACUUAGUGAAGAAGGUCUUGGUGUAUUUAACACAAUACGUUGAAAUGAAGCAAAGCUUGUUUAUUGAUAUCUCUGAUAAGUUACAAAUAUGUACAUAUACAUGAAUCAAAAUAAACAAACAAGAGGAGUCUUCACAAAGGUUGCUCAGGAAAAGUCUCAGCAGUUAGCAGAGCCCCAGAAAGAGGAGGCAUCAGAGGGUGAUUAUUCGAAGCUUCAGUACGAAGCAGAACCCCGGAAGGAGGAGGCACCGAAGGUUGAUCAUUUGGUGCAUUAUUACACGGUAUAGCCCCAGAAGACGAAGACAAUAAAUGCCUUUGGAACAAACCCACAAACCUCUGGUGAUUAAGAAAAAUCUGACCAUCAGAUUCCUGCAGCUGGUCGAGCUUCCUCUUCAUGUUUGUAGCAUAGUCAUGUGCGAGCCUGUGCAACUAUUUAUUCUCAUGCUUGAGCCAUCUGAUCUCUUGUUUGAGACUUAUCACUUCAGCCGCCAAUGAUUCAACUUGGCGGGUUCGAGCAAAUAGGCGUUAGGCCAUAUUAGACACAGAACCUGCACACUGAACACUAAGAGCCAAAGAAUCCUUAACAGCCAACUCAUCAGACCGUUUGGAAAGUAGUCUGUUAUUUUUGGGAGUGAAAAGGUUCCUGGCCACCACUGCAGCGGUCAUAUCGUUCUUCAUCACAAAGUCCCCAACGGUAAGAGGACCAAUAGGGGAUAAGAAGGAUGGGCGCUAUAUGUUGUCUUGAGAAGGCACGACUGCCUCUUCACCAAAGUUCAAGUCAAAAUGACGGUCGAAUGGGCCAUACAUUUUCAGAAAUGAUGAAGGAGAAAUGAGGUGCAAUAAAUCUUUGAAGUAAGGGGAAAAUUCCUACAAGCAAUAACUCUCUGAAUGUACUUCUUGCACACAAUUGGUGCCCUUAUAAAAGAAAGGGCAACAGGGCCGUUGGUUCAAAAAUCGAAGAGGCAUCAUUCUUCGGAUUCCGAAGAGGCACCACUUUUUACACGCAACAGCAGCUCAUCGGGUACCACAGAUAACUUUGCCAAAGAUCUCUGACAAAGUUUAAACACAUAAAUUUUGAAGGUUCAGCUACCCUACCAUUACCCACAAGGGUAAAGGAAUAGAACCACUGCUUCUGGAAAGUCCCUGUGUGUGUCAACCUCCGUGCUCCGUGGCAAGGCAGACUGGUAAAAAUGCCCAACCUUUACUCACAUCGAGAAAACACUCCCAACAGGAUUACUUGCUCAAAAAUCGAAGAGGCACUGCUCCUCGAAUCUCGAGAGCCAAACUCCCACCAGGAUUGCUUUCUCAAAAAUCGAAGAGGCACCGCUAUCCGAAUCUCGAGAGCCAGACUCCCAACAGGAUUACUUGCUCAAAAAUCGAAAAGGCACCGCCCUCCGAAUCUUGAAAGCCAUACUCCCAACAAGAUUACUUGCUCAAAAAUUGAAGAGGCACCGCUCUCUGAAUCUCAAGAGUCAGACUCCCAACAUGAUUGCUUUCUCAAAAAUCGAAGAGGCAUCGUUCUCUGAAUCUCGAGAGCCAGAUCCCCGACAGGAUUGCUUGUUUGAAAACAGAAGAGGCAUUGCUCUCCGAACUUCGAGAGCCAGAUUUCCUCAAAUAAAGCUUGUCUGCAAUCUUCACACGCAACAUCAGCUUUCCAGACACCACAUACCACUUUUUCAAAGUGCUCUGACAAAGUUAAAACACGUGAAGCUUGCAGCUCCCACUACCUUGCUAUGACCAAGAAGGGUAAAGGAAUAGCACUACUACUUGUUGUUAAGGAGACUCCUAUAUAUGUCGACCUCCAUCCUCCACAGCUAGGUAGGUCUGCAAAUAAAAAAAUGCCCAACUUUUCUUCACAUCCGAGAGGGCACUCUCAGCAGAGUCUCUCGAAAUACUCAACUUUUUUUCCCCCCGAUAAUAACUCUGUAAACAAGCCACACCAGAGCAAGAGCAUCUCAUAUCAUCAGGAUUAAAAGCAAGAGUAUCCCAUAUCAUGUUUUUUCCCUGCCUUUUUCUUUGGCCUUGUUCUUACCUGCAAGACAAGGAGAAAGAGAGCAAUCAGUCAGCACUUGAAAUCAAGCUUCCAGUUAAGAACUGACUACCUGGAACCGCUUGCCUAAUUACUUACCUGACAUUGCUCUCAAGUGCUCAUUUUCAACAUCUUAUGCUUCCAGAGAAGAUACCACAUCUGCCUGAGGAAUAGAUAGGGCAAGUGAGAAAGAUACAAGGAAGCAUGUGGAGACAAGCGCAACAGAACACGUGUUGAUUCAUCUAUUACUUCGUCAACAGCAAAAGUAUCCCAUAUCAUCAAGGUCGAACGCACUCUUGAUUUGAUGGACUUGUUUUGACCCUCAAAUUCUUAAGUCGGCCUUAUACUCUGGAGGAAACCAGAAAACCCUCCAGCCCAGUUCAAGAAUAAGCUUGUGGAAAUUUACUUAUUCAAAAGCAAAAGUAUCUCAUAUCAUCUCUUCUCCAUUUGCUUAUCCUUAUCCUUGUUGCUGUUCACGACACAAGGAGAAGGAGAAUAAUCAACCGGAAGCCGAAGUUGAACCUCUGAUCCAGGUUGCUUUCUUGGAAGUCUGAUUGCUUACCUUGUCUGUUACCUUUUUUGGCAAAUCUCCUAGCUCGGCGACUUGGGGGACUCCUACUAUAGGGUUUUGUAUCGCACUUAACCAAGCCCAAAACUACAAGUAAGCUUCAAGUGAAAUUGAUACAUUACCUUGUGCAUCUUCAUCGGUUAAAGAUACAUUACCUUGUGCAUCUUCAUCGGUUACAGAUACCAUCCCUGGAUGGAGGAAAAGUACUUCAAGAGAAGAUGCCACAUCUAUAUAUGAGACAGAUAAGGCAAGUGAAAAUGAUACCACACAUCGGUACUCAGAAGUUUCGUGAUUACUCAAUGGCUUGGAUCUUGCAAGUCCCCAAUCGAGGAGCUUCCCUCACUUGGGAACUUAGGGGAACACUGUUUGUACCAUACUUGACCAAUCCUGAAACUACUGAGCACCGGUCAACGUUAUACCGUCAAGGACCCAGAAGAGUUUCCCUCCAACCAGGAGGCCAAUCACAGUGUGACACAUGUCGACAUCAGAAGCCAAUCAUAGCGUGACAUGUGUCAAUAUCAGAAGCCAAUGACAACACAACACGUGUCAAUGUCAGAAUGAAACUAGAAACUCUCUUCUAUAAAUAGAGAUCAUUCUCUCAAAGAGAUCUCAUAGCCAAUCAUAGCGUGACACGUGUCAAUAUCAGUACCGCUAAGGUUUGGCCCUCUCAAAGAGAUCUCAGAGCUAGCUGGCAAAGGUGUUGGACGCAUGACGGGUUCUUGCAUACCUUCACCUACACAUGGCAAACUCGGAAGUUCGGCAGAUUUGGAACAACCUCUGCACCAGGCGGAUCCUCGAUCUCCCUGUCUGUAGGUAGGUCACCUCUAAAUAGCAUCUCCAUAUAGGAAUAAACAUCUGCCGUUGCCAAAUCACAAGGAUAAGAAGGCCCAACCUAAAGAAGACACAGAAAGAUGUUAGAAACGAAAGCCAAAAUGGUGAAAGCAGAAGAAAUCACGAGAGAAAAGGAAAUACAUACACCUCUCUCAAAUGGCACACGGUCAUCGAAUUGAAAAGGCUUAAACACUUCUUUCUUCUUAUGACAAAAAUUGACAUCGCUGCCAACCUGAGCACCCUCAAGUGGUGGCUUGUUUAAAACUUGUUGACGCUGCUGCAAAAUAAAUCCAUCUUUGUGCGAAUCAACUUCAUCUCCCGCCUUUACAAAAGCAUCCGGAUAUCGAGGAGACAAGCAUGGGUGUUGAGGAGCUAAAGCUACAGGUCUAUCUUGCAAGGGAGCCGCACUAGCGCAAUCAAGAGGUGCCAGUUGCAUAGGAACCACAGGACAACCCUCUUUCAACAUAUCAUUGUCUGAAUGAGAAGGAUUGGUACCACUUGCCAUCCCCAAGUUCUUAUAAUGUACCUUUGACCACCAACGUACGUAAACAUGGGUCACUGGAUUACUCUUGAACUCGUCCUUGGCUGGCAGGGUGAUAACAACUUUUGUACAUGCACGGGUACAAGACUCCCAAUGCAUAUACACGGCUUGCAAGGAUGCCGAUUGAUUCUUUUCCUUCAGCUUGCUUGGCACGUUUUGGACAAAACCAAAUUGCCUGCUGAAACGGUGGGGACUAUAUGGCUGAACAAUGCAUUGGUCUUCUUGUCGCAAAGAAACAAACCCCGAGCGAAGACUUAUAAGAUAAGACAAGUCUAAGAAGUGGAGAUGCGAUUCGUCUACCAUGCCUCGCCGCACCAAGCCAACUCUCGCUAAGGGGUCCAUCCUCAAAUCUUCACAACUUUUAAAUAGCGCUCGCGCCUGCAAAUCAUCAAGGAUCUUCGCGGAGAGCAUGCCAGAAUACUUCGUCAUCAAAGGCCCCAACUUGGCUGCAGUCGACGAAGAAGGCAUUAACUUGUCUAGAGUCAAUAAAGAAAAAUGAGUGCCAAAGUAUUCACCCAACCAACCAUACACAUAGUGGUAAGGGAGCACAGCAACACGAUCUUCAGUGCUUGCCGAGUUCGAAACAAUGCUCAAGCCAUUAUAAAUGUUGGCUAAGACCGGAAUAGCAAGGCUAAAAGACUCCCCUGCAGCCAUCUUGCUAGCAACUUUGAAAACUCCAGAACGAACUAAGUUGACGUCGCCUGUUGGGAAAACAAACUUACAAAGCUACCAAGCUAAGAAAGCAGCUAGGUAAGACUCAUCCACAUGCUCUGAUGCUAUGCCAAGAUCCUCAAACGCUCUCAACUCGUCAGAAGAACGGCGCUUGGUUAAGCCAAUAACACCGGACGGGUCUGAGUCUCCAUUUGGCCUAGUGGUCUUAUUACUACCAUUUUUCUUCAAAGGCUUCUUAUACCUCAUGGCCUCCCAGUACCAAAAUCGAAUCCAUGAGGAAAUCCUCACGCCUGAUUUACCUUGAGCAUCCUAGAAAAGCUUGUGAUACGCCAAAAACAAACAGCGGCAACUCGCAGGCAAUCAUUGGCUAUUGCAAAGAGAAAGUUCCUCAGAGCUGGGAACGACCUCGUCGUAAAACUUACCUUGGAUGGGCAAGCCUCCUAUCCUGUGAAGAUCCCAAAGUGAAAUUGACAUCUCCCCUUGCGCCGUGUGAAGUGUAUUGGUCGUCGAACACCAAUGCUCAAAGAACGCACGAAGGACAGAAGAAUGGCGAUCAUAACUAAACAAAGAUGCUUACACAGCGUGGUAAAGGCCCACGUUAGUAAGCAGAUCUUUAGAUCAGCUUAAGACAUCUUUAAGCCACUCCCAACAAAACUCAUCAAAGACGGCCUCUCCAGUAGUCGACAGGGUAGCAUUCCAAGCCAUAGCUCCGCUGCGGAUGUGAUCACUAAGAAGAUUAAACGAGGCCGAAUGAUUGUCAUGAGCAUGGUGCGAAGGAUUCAAGAUAAAAACCCUCAAUAUGCACGCGUUCUUCUUCGUAUUUGGUCGAACAAAGUCUACCACCUCCCAAGAUACUUCGGAAGACCACGACUUAAUAUGCAUGGAGUUGUCUUUCGCGAGAAGAGCAAGCGCCUUAGGACCAGUCAGUGGUGUGUAAAGCUUCAAUGUUGUCCCCUCAUCUUGCAAAUCGCCAUCCUUCACAAGAAUGGUGAUGGUGUUGCUCUUAAAACACUUGAAAAAUACCAUGACUGCAAAAAAAAAAAAAAAAUCAGCCACAAAACUUGAGCAGAACGGCAAAUAGGGCAGCUACAGAGUGGUCCUUUAAAAGCAUGCUACACUGGCAAAGAAAACCAAAAUGCUAUGCAAUUGCACUACGCAACCCCGCUACAGGCUCUUGCACAGCACCACACGGCAGCGUACCACCGAGGAAAAACUGUGAUCAAAAGGCACUACACAGCAAAACCCCGUUGCAGUCUCUGGAGUAAGCAUUAGGCAACCUGCUCACUCCGCCACCAACAACCACGUCUCUGAAAGCUUCGUGAGAGUCACGGCAUCAUGCUCUGCCUUCUUAAAAUUAAAGAUUCCUGGCAUUACUGCAAAGAAAUCCAUCAGUGGGGGCACAUACAUUGUGCAUAAAAAAUAGACAUAUCAUAUUUUAUAUAUAUAAGACAUGCACACCCACGGCAAGUGGCAAGGUCAAUGUGCAUGGCAACGUCACCACCAAGGAAAGUUGUGACCAAAAGGCACCACACAACAAAAUCCAGCUACAGUCUUUUGCACAACACCACGUGGUCUGUGACAAGCUCCAAGCUCCAAGCUCCAAAGUUCACCAGUCCGACAAGUAGCAAAGCAGAGAAGAACGUUUACAACAGAAGGAGGUUAUGUCUAUGGUUAUUUUAUAGGCUCAACUCGUCCAUCCAAGUGAAGAAAAGAAAAGAAAAUAUAUAUAUAUAUAUAUAUAUAUAUAUAUAUAUAUAUAUAUAUAUAAUAUAAUAAAAAAAAUUUGGGUGCUUCAUGCACCAUGUCAAAGAAAAUAUAAAAUAUAUGUAUAUAUUAUUACAAAAUUUAGGUGCUUCCAACACCAUGCAAAGAAAAUAAUAAAAAAAUACAAAAAAAUGGAAAAGCAAAAGAAGGUGGCCGACCAUCAUUUAUAAAAAAAUUGUAAGGGAUUUGGGUGCUUCACGCACCAAGUUUUGGAAUUCUGGUGGUGCAUGUGCACCAUGCAAAAAAAUAAAAUAUAAUAAAAUAAUAAAAUAAUAAAAUAAUAAAAAAAAAAGAAAAAAAAAAGGAGAAUGAUAGCCAUCAUUUGUUAAGGGAUGGUGGUGUCCAGAAAGCAAAAGGGACAGACAUGCAAAUUGGGAAAAAGAAGGAAAAUAUUGAUGGUGCCAGUCUCAUCGACAGCGAAAAAUUCAUACACACACACACACAAAAUGAAAUAAGGCUCAUUUAUUGAUUUCUCUGAAAAUUUACAUAAAUGUACAUUUUACAUAUGAAAAAAAAAAUACAGGAGGGAGCCUUUACGAAGGUUGCUCGUGUGAAGCCUCAUCACUCGGCGGAACUCCAGGAAGAAUAGCUGCCGGAGGUUGACUGUUUGGAGCCUCAACACUCGAUAAAACUCUAGAAGACGAAGGCAAUAGGUGCCUUUGGAGUAAGCCACAAACAUCUGAUGGUCACUCUGAAUCCGACCUUCGGAUUCCUGCAGCUGGUCGAGCUUUCUUUUCAUGCUCGUUGAAUAACUAUUUACGAGCAUGUGCAACUCUCUGUUUUCGUGCUUAAGCCCUCUAAUCUCUUGCUUAAGGCUCGCCACCUCAGCCAUCAAGGAUUUGACCUGGCGAGUACGAGCAAGAAGGUGUUGGCCCAUAUUUGAUACAAAGCCUGCACACUGAACAUUAAAGGCCAGAAAGUCAUGAACAGCCAGCUCAUUAGACCACUUGGAAAGGAUCCUACUAUCCUUGGGGGUGAGAAGAUUUCUAGCAACCACCAUAGCAGUGAUAUCGUUCUUCAUCACAAAGUCCCCAACCGUAAGAGGACCAGUAGGGGAUACGAAGGAUGGGUGCCAUAUGUUCUCUUGAGAAUGCAUGUCAGCAUCUUCCCCAAUAAUCAAGUCAAGACGACGGUCAGAUGGGCAAGCCAUUUUUAGAAAUGUUGAAAGAAAAGAAGAGGUCGGAUAGAUCAAGAUCUUAGAAGUGUAAGAGGGGAACUUCUACAAGCAGCAACUCUCAAGUGUGCUUUUGGAACACAAUUGUUGCCUCUAUAAAAAUCAGAAAUCGAAGAGGCUCAUGCUUAAAAAUCGAAGAGGCGUCAUCUCAGAAAUCGAAGAGGCGCAUGCUUUCUCAAAAGUUGGGCCUGCUCAGAAACCACGGGCCGACCUUCAAAUUUCAAAAGAUCGACUUUUUAGACUUGUCAGCACCUUUCACAUGCAACCUCAGCUUUGCGGAAAUUACGGGCGAUUUUGUCAAAGAUUUCUGACAAAGUCGAAAACGUGUGAAUCUUACAGUUUCAAUUACCCAACGGUUGCUGACAAGAGUAAAGGAAUAGUGCCACUGCUGGCUGUUGGAAAAUUCCUUUAUAUGUCGACCUUCGUCCUCCAUAGUAGGGCAGACUUGUAAAAAAAUGCCCAACCCUUCCUCACUUCCGAGAGUGCACUUCCAGUAGAGCCUCUCGAAAUACUCAAGUUUCUUUCUCUCCGGAAAUACCUUUGCAAACAAAUGACACCAAAGCAAAAGUAUCUCAUAUCACCAGGGUAGAAAGCAAGAGUAUCUCAUAUCAUGCUUUCUCUCUGUCCUUUCCUUUGUCCUUGUUCUUACCUGCAAAGACAAAGAUAAAGAAAGCAAUAUGUCAGAACCUCUACUCAAACUCCGGGUAAGGAACCGACUACCUGGAACCUUUUCCUAGUUGCUUACCUGACAUUGCUUUCGAGUACUCGUCUUCAGCUGCUGAUGUACUUCCGAAGAAGAUGCCACCUUUGCUUGGAGAACAGAUAAGGCAAGUGAAAAUGAUACCUUGAAGCAUGUGGAGACAACGUGCUGAUUUCCUUCAAAAUCAAGUUUCCCCUUCCCUGCACAAUCAACCAACCCAACAGAAGGAGUCUGAGUUGAAUCCAAAAGCUCGAGAAGCUUCAACAACAUAUUGACGGCACCAUCACCGAAUAACAAAGCCUCGCUGUGCAACGCUGUCCAAUCGCCACCACUUCUUCGAAAGCAAGAGUACAUAUCAUACUUUCUCCCUGUCAUUUUCUUUGUGCUUGUUCUUACCUGCAGGACAAGGAGAAAGAAAGCAAUCAACCAGCACUUGGUAUCAAUCUUCCGAUCUGGAACCAACUGCCUGAAACCCUUCCCUGAUUGCUUACCUAGCACUGCUCUCGAAGUACCCAUUGUCUCAACAUCUUAUGCUUCCAAAGAAGAUACCACAUCUUCUAGAAGAACAGAUAAGGCAAGGGAAAAUGAUACAUUGAAGCAUGUGUAGACAAGCACAACAAAGCACGUGCUGAUUCAUCCGCUACUUCUUCAAAAUCAAAAGUAUCUCAUAUCAUCAGGGUUGCAAUCACUCUGGGUAGUGGACUCGUUUUGACCCUUAAAUUCUUGGGUCGACUCGCUAGGCGUUGUGGGCUGCACAUGCCGAUUCACCACCCUUGAAUCAAAUCCUUAAAGAUCAAGUCACCAACUGGAAGAAUAGCCUAUCAAUCUUGAAGAUCAUACCGUUAACCAAACUGCUCAGGUGUGAAUUAGAAAGAUUGAACAAAGCAACAAGUCGUCACCUUCACCUCGUGCCUGCUUGCCAUAUAUUCGAGUCAACCUUCAAGAAUCAAGCCUCAACGGCCUUUGAAGAAGCUUCCAGCCAAAUUCAAGAUCAAGCCUCGACGGUCCUUGAGGAAAUCACAAGUCCGAUUCAAGAUCAAGCGUCCACCACCCUUGAAUCAAAUCCAGUUCAAGAAUAAGCUAUGGAAAGUCAACAAUUGGAGGAAUCCAGAAAAUCCUCCAACCCAGUUCAAGAUCAAAGAUGUGGAAAGUCAACAAGCGCAAAAACAAAUACGUGCCAAUUCAUCCACUACCAAAGCCAAAGAUCAUCUACCACAUGAAGCUCCUUGUGGUCCAAUUUCAACCUUCAAGAUCAAGCCUCGACGGCCCUUGAAGAAAUUUCAAACAAAGUUCAAGAACAAGCCUUAACGGCCCUUGAAGAAACUUCCAGCCCAAUUCAAGAUCAAGCAUCGACGGCCCUUGGAUUGACAUCUACAUUAAGGAACUUCAAAAUGCAUCUCCUACACGUGACAAGCACAUGUAUACGACGCGCCUUGAAGUGGGGGCAUUUGUAGACAUUGAAAUUUCGGUGAAAUAAAUGUUGACCAAUAGUUACAAUUUCAAUGCUCAUGUGUCACAUAAAUUUUAGACGUACGUGUGACUAAACGAAAAAUCAAAAUAAAUCAGAAAAGUCAUCAAACAGGACACGUGUCAACACCUGGUAGAAAUGAUUUAUUUCAUCUAAUUAUUUAAAUAAAAAAAAUCAAGUUUUGGAAUUCUAUAAAUAGAAGCCAAUUUCAUUCAUUUCAAUUCACCAAUUCACAUUACACCAAAACCUUGAAGCUUUGAAACUCUAAAGCUCCCAAGCGAAUCCUGAAGGAUCAAGAAAGCUCUAUUCGUUCUUCAUCAAACCCUCCUUCAAGAUCAAGCCCCGACGGCCCUUGAAGCACUUCCACUAAUUCAAGAUCUAGCCCCGACAGCCCUUGAAGAAAGUGUUCAUCGUUCAUCAUCCAUUCAUCCUAAAGAUCAAGCCCCAACGGCCCUUUGGAUCAACAACAUCAACAAAUCCACACAUACAACUGUUCUUCAAGAUCAAGCCCAAAAGCCCUUGAAGAUCCAUCCAUCAACUGUUCAUCAAGAUCAAGCCCCGAGUGCUCUUGAAGAAACUUCCAACAGUUCAUCCAAGAUCAAGCUUCGACGGCCCUUGGAUCAACGAAGCAUCCACAAAUCAACACCUUACGGAGAUCGAAUCAGAGGAUCAAAUUUAAGAGAGAUUGUAACCCCUAAAUCAUUACUACAAAUAUUAUUUUGUACACGGGUUCUUGUCUCGUUUGUUUCAGGAAUUUUCGUGUUUACAAUUUCCUAAUGUCAUUUGUACUAAAUCAUUCACGUGUACUCACUAAAGGAGAGCUUGAACCUAUGUACUUAUGUAAACCCUUCACAAUUAAUGAGAACUCCUCUACUCCGUGGACGUAGCCAAUCUGGGUGAACCACGUACAUCUUGUGUUUGCUUUCCUGUCUCUAUCCAUUUACAUACUUAUCCACACUUGUGACCAGAGUAAUCUAGCGAAGGUUACAAACCUAACACUUUCUAUUGUACUAAAGUCCUCACUGAUUUUGUGCAUCAACAAUUAUUUUUCAUUUCUUUGUGAUUUUUGACCUCUUGCUUUUCAGUUCAGUUUGAUUAACCUAUUUUCUAGGAAAAUGGCCUUUAUGAAAUGUGGUUAGACAUAGUAAUUUGUUUUUUCUGUUGAAAAUUACAGGGCACAGUUAAUAAUUUCUCUAUCAUUAUUCUAUUUGAUAAAUUAGCUUCUCCAUCAAAUUUGAAGUCUGAAUAUGCCAAUAGAAUCAUAUAAUUAUAAUAGUUGGGACAAUUUCUACAAAUCUUUUUGUGACGUUUUUUAAUGGGUAUAUUGUUCCAUUGCUUUCUUGCAGGUAUAUAUUGCCUAUUUGAGAAUGUGAAUGAAGACGCAAGGUCUUGAUGAUACCAUAUAGGUACAAUAUAUACCACAUCAUUUAAAUGCUAAUCGAUUACUAACAUAAUGCGGUCUUUACAAGAAAAGCAGUUGAUUCUGAAGAGGGGCUUCAAUGUACAGAAGAAUUACAAGGUCUUAUUAGCUAUUCAUAAUUUUAUAUAAUAAUUUAGAUAAAAUAUCGAUGAGAAAUAAUAUAUAUACCAAAUAAAAAUCUCUAAAAUCUCUUUGUGUUUCGUCUCAGUGUAGCAGACGUCAUCAACAUGGAAGAUGGCUAGCCAGGAUUGGAAAGGUUGCUAGAAAUAAGGAUCUCUAUCUUGGGCAUUCAGUAAGUGAUUUUUCAAACUUUAUUUGUGUUUUCGUAUCUAAAAAGUUUCUUAAUAUUUUUAAUAUAAUCAGUGAAACCACGAUUUCAUGUACUAGCUAGCUACUAGGAUGCUUGGUUUUUGUAUGAUUCCAAUUAUUUGAGGUAUCUGGGUAAAGUUUUGUUCAAAGUAGGAAAAUGAAUUUAAACUCAAGCUUCUUUACAAGCUUGAGGAGAGAUUUUAGUCUUAUAAUGAUUAAUAAUUAAGAUACAAUUAGGGUAAUACAUGUACUACACAUAUUGCUAACUAUGCUAGACCAAAAGUAUCAUCAUCACUGCUUAAACAUACCAAUCAGUUUACAUUUUGUGAACGCAUAUGACGAUUGAGGGGUUUAACCUUCAAUUGCAAUCUUAUUUGUAAAGGUUUUGCUAUCCCAACUGAUACACGUGUAAUUUUGUGUUUACACCAUACUAAACCAUUUUUUUUAUAUGUUUAAUCAAACUCUUAUCUAAUGUACAUUUCACAGAGAAAUGCACAAAAAAUUGAUGACAUCCUAUAAAAUUGCCAGAAAAAAGGUCAUUUCCAACUAAUGCAAAACCAGACUUCUUUCCCAGCAGAAAAACACUAGGUAAACACAUUCUAUCCUUAUUUUGUUCAUGAUAUAAUUCUAUUGUGAUACAAUUUUAUUUCAUGUAUGCAUGUAGUUUCUUUUCCCCAUAAUUUUCAUAAUUUAUGAAGAAUGUAUAGGAACGACAAUGAUUGAGUGGAUUAUGCAAGUCUCACCAUAUAAACUGUAAAUUACACAUGAUUGUUCCUUCCCCCCUUUCAAAGCCAAGCUGCUAAUUGUGCAAUGUUUAGUUGAAUGCAUGUAAAAGCCAAGCUGCUUAUCUUAUCGACCUCAUUCACUCAUGUGUCUCUCUAUUCAUUGAUGAUUGUGUUGAAUUUAUUCAGAUUAAAUGUGUCUUAUUUAUGCAGUUAUGCUUGAAACAGUGGUUCCCGCCGCAACGCGUGGGCUUAUUUUCUAGUUACUUUCUAAAAGUGUGAAAUAUUGAAAUCUAUGAAGUGUAUUUAGGGUUUUGUGAUAUGAUUUUUGCAUCAGAGAGUUUCGCAAUGAAUUUUGGGGAAGAUAAGAAUCAACACAUCAGUUAUGUGUUUUGAGUAGGGCCAAUAAUUUGUUGGGGUGUGUGGGGGUGUGAUAUCCACACACCCUAUUUUACUUCUCACACACCCUUUUAAUUUUCGGCAGUCGGAUUUGAUGAAUUGAAGAAGAUCAACGGAUAGAAAUUAACAAGUGUGUGUGAGAAGUAAUUUAAGGUGUGUGGAUAGCACAUCCCAAUUUGUUACAGUAAUUUUGUCGUAUAGUGGUUAACUUUGGCCAUUUCUUAAUCGUUAUCCUUGAGAGCAUGGGCUCUAAUUUUCUCAAGUCUGUUUCCUUUUCUCUAGGCAAGGUUUUGUGUUGUUUGGGGUUUUUUUUGUCUCUCCUUCAAAUGUUUAAAAGUUGUGGAGUUGUGUGAAAUAUGACAUAUGUUCGUGUCUCUAUGUGUAAGGCUCCCUAAUAAUUAAUUAGUAUAUAAAAUAAUUGAAAAACAAUAAGAACAUAAAAAUAAUUUAUUUAGAAUAAGAGCAUUUUUGUAAUCAUAUUAGUUUUCAUUUAGAUUUACCUAAAUUACUAAACAACUUAUAUGGAAUGGUAUCAUUCCUAGUCCGAUUUUAAAAGUUCAAUUAUGACUCCUUCACAUUCCAACUCCUCCUCAAUUCAAUUCCUCUCAUUCUGAUUACAAAUUAGUAAACGAACCAUUGUGUGUGAGUGUGACUAAACUAUAUUUGGUGUAUAUUUAUUUUGAUGUAUAAGUAAUUGGCUAAAAUUAUUGUUGGUCUUAAUAUAUUUAAGAAUAUUAAAUAUUAUGGAUACAAUAAAGCGAACUCGUUUUGUAUUGUGAAGUGAUUAAAAACACUUGGGGAAUUGCUAAUAUUCGACUCCGUGAUAGUAAGAGUAGUUACAUCCCAUAAAACUAUCGUUUUUAGGCUCACUUCUCCGGUGAACUGGUUCAUUCAUACGUUUAUCCUAUUAAGAGCAAAAAUGUAAGGAACUCAGAGAAGAGAAGACUAAAUUGUGAACUCAACCAUCAUGAGUUCCUCUUCAGGUACAAAUUGGUAUCAAUUAGGGUUUAAUUAGUUUCGAUAAUGUUUCAUUAUGACUAUAUAUAUUAUGUUUUCAUGUGGUAUCAGAGCCGGUCAAUCAAAGCCUUAAAUUUGCUUCAAAUAUCAAAAUUGUGUUGUUUAUUUCCGCUGCGUUUUUGUUUAUCUUAUAAUUGUACAUACUUCAAUUAUAUCGUCUGUUGUGAUGUUCAUAUCAACUCUCAAUCCUUUUCGUCUUGUUAAUAUGGAUGACAUUGGAGACCAUGCUUUUUGUUUGUCCGGUGGAUUUAAUAGAGGAGUUAUUUGACUAUAACUUAGGUGAUGAUUUUGAUUCCUCUCUUGAUUCUUUAAAUGAAUUACCAAAGUAGUUUAUUUAUCUUCUUUUUUUUCUUCAAAGGAUUCACUUAUGAAAAUAAGAAUGUAGUUCAUAUACAUAAACAAAUAAACUUGUUUCCAAAGAAAUUGUGUGCUGGGUUCGUUAUAACUUAGUGUAAGGUGAGUAUGAUUGACGUGAAGUUUUGUGAAAACUUCUUGCCCAAAGGUGGUGUUUUUUGCUUAAAUUCUUGGAUUUUAUAUUUAGCUAUUUAAGACUUGUAAAUUCAUUCAUAUAUAUAUAUAUAUAUAUAUAUAUAUAUAUAUAUAUAUUGACAUUUAUCUUGCCCAAAUGUCUGACUGGUUCUAUAGCUUUAGAGUGACAAUGCAGCUAUUUUUCUCUUAACUAUCACAAAUUUAUGGAUUUGCAAAGGAUGUUGUUAUGCUCAAUCUCGUUAAUAUUGAAGUUGAAAGGAAACAUUUUCAAGACUUGGAAGUAGCAAAUCGAAAUGCAUUUAAGCAUGUUGAGUUUCUUAUUGUUUUAAACAGCUCCAAUCUCCAACCCUAACUAGUGAGAGCACUAGUCAACAACGAGAGGAAUUUUCUAAGUGGGAAAAGGUGAAUCAAAUGUUUCUUUUCAUCAUGCAAAAUGCUAUGAAGGAUCAUAUAAGCGGUGGCAUUCCAAGCUGCGACUUGUCCAAUGAGUCUUAAACAACAGAAUUGCAUCAAACGGAUACCAAAAUAGAUUCAGGGCAUUGCAAUUAUGCUAAAAGGACAAAUUCGGGUCCUUGGCCAUGUCAUGCACAACAGUUUCUGCCGAACGGAAACUUAAUUUUUCAACUAUCUUCAAAUCACACCAAAUUUUACAAGCAUGUAGAACUCAACACAAUGAUCAACUUUCAUAACUAUCCCAAUGAUCAAUGCUAGCUGGAAACGGGCCAAAACCAUUGGGAAAAUUGGAAUUGGAUUUAUAGGUUAUUAGAACCAAAUUUGCGCACCUCCGUGAUCAAUGGUUGAGCACAAAUUCGAGUAAACUUGUGCAUGCAAAAUAGUAAAUCAACCGUAAGAAAACCUUAGGCCGAGGGUGUGCCGGCCAAAGGCUCUCUGACGGUUAAGUUAGUGAAUGAUUUUUAGACUCAAGCAGUGGGCAAGAGAAUUCAAGUGUAUAGAUUGCGUUACCGUAGAUGGAUCUUAUAUGGGUGUAUUCAUACUGUGGGAGAGAGACCUUUUUAGGAUAAAAUCUUCAUUCUAAGUCGAGAGAAUCCUAGAGGAUAUCUAGUAAGUAGAUAUUGUAUCCUCUUAGGAGUUGUGAUUACUUGUGGCGCACGCCUAUCCCUAGAUUGUAAGGACUCCAAGACUUAUAGGAUCCGAUUGUGUCUAAAUUCGAAUCAAAUCACGUGUCUUAUGAAACAAGUAUGGUCAUCCAACAGAGUCGCCAAGACUCUUCCUAUUGCCUCGGAGUAGAGUGAUGGUGGCACCCUGCUUCGUUUGAUACAGCUUCGCCCGAAGCUGGCAAUUACAUGACUGGACUUAUGAGAUAACAGUAUUCGUAUCAACCUUACUCUAGCCUUGAAAAAUCAAGGUCCCACAUAGGUUUCUAAAGACCCCACUCUAAAACAGAUAUCAACAUAGGAACAAAGCAUACCAACUUAAACAUUGUGUAGAAUGGAUGAAGUUUCAUACCUCACUCAAUGAAAAUGGUUGCUGGAUUCUCAGAAAAAGGGAAAACCGCGGUAAAAACCUUAGACUUUGCUACUUCGACUAGGAAAAGUGGGUAAAAAUUUGAAAAAUCCAACCCCAUCAGGACGUUCGAAUCGUCAAAAGCCUUCUAUAGACACCAAGAUCACCUAAAUAGAGGUCGAAUUAAGGAAAAAUAGUAUGGUGAAAUUUCAUGUGUUGCAAGUCCAAAACCGGGUAAAAAAGGACCCAACUCAAGUAUGUCUUGUUCAAAGUGGCUGCAGGGGUUUUUAUUAGAGGUUUAGGAGGAAAAUUAUCAAAUUGCCCCCAAACUUAAAACGCCUCUGACUUCUUCAUUUUUCUUAUAGACUCUGACUUCUUAAUUAUAAUUCUGAUUCGUGCAUGGAUUCCCCUAUGCACUUCUGGGAUUGAGCUCUAUCCUAAAAUACGAAGAGUGACCCAGAAAGGUCUAUGAAUUUUUAAUAACUAAUUAACAAAAAUCAAACUUUAUAACUAAGUAAUCAAAACUCUAUAAUUAAAGGAAAAUAAUAAUAAUUUCUUGAAAAUACGAAAUACAAAAAAUUAAAUAGUGAAAUCCGAGGACGGGACAACACUUGUGGCCCACCUCACUUGAGCUUAGACCUAGCAAUUUCUUACACAACAUGUUUACCCGACCCGAAACGACACAAAAAUAACGAGUUUCGGAUCAACACGUUAACUAAUUGUGUCGUUAUUGGCUCACACGUUAACAACUCCUUAAUAACUUCUUAACCGGUUUACCCACAGGUAACAUGCUUCAACCUGAUAAGAAAAAGUGAAUUUGAUAAUGUUAAACUAAUAGAAAAUCUUACUACAAUAGCCAUAGUAUUUAAUCUCACUUAGUUGUUCUUAUAAAAUUCCAAAACACCUUAAAAAUAAGCAAUUUAAAAAUACCAAAGCACAUUAAAAAAUUCAUAAUAAUUAAUUUAUAAGUGUGAAAAAAAGGUGAAAAAAAAUAUGCAAACACUCGUGAUCUCAUUCUCUGUUCUUUGAGGAUGGGUAUAUUAUCGUUUGGAUUUUUAAAAUCCUACAAACCCUCAUGCUUUUAGGAGGAGUUCAAAAUGAAUAAAAAUUCGUAAUAAUUAACGUAAAAGUGUGAAAAAUGUUAAAAGAAUGUACAAACGCUCGUGACGGCAUCCUUUAAGCUUAGACGAUGGUUAUAUCAUCGUUUAGAUUUUUAAAACCCUCCAAAUAGUCAUGAAUAGUGUUUAUUGUUCGAGCACAAAAUUAGAUAUAUAUAUAUAUAUAUAUAUAUAUAUAUAUAUCUAAUCACUUGUUAACCGUCGAUUGUCGUUUAUGCUCUAUUCUUCUCACUGAAUUUCAUUUUUCAGAGUUUCGCUUUUGAAAACAUGAACUUUUAGUGGAUGCAGAAGAUGAACUAUUCAGAUUGUCGAUAUCAUGUUGGAAUGUUUACGGUCAACUGAAAAAUGAAUCGAUGUUAUAUAAUUUCUAGAGACUUCAUAAACUCCGAAGAAUAUAUUCACUAACUGUAAAAAUUAGAAUAUAAUAUCAACGAUCUGCACUGUUCAUCUAUCUGCAUCCGCUAAAGUAUCAUGUUUUCAAGAAAAAUGAAUUGGACAAAAAAAAUACGAAAUCCGAUUUGAAGAAUGGAACGUAAACAUAAGCGAAAAUCAACGGUUAAAUUCAAAUAUAUGAUUUAUGGGAUUAUGGUAGCGAAUUUCGGAGUUGACCUCUUCAAGUUGUCGAGCUUGUCAUUACGAGGGUAUAUAUAUAUAUAUUUCACUCUUUUACAUUAAUUAAAAAAAAUUGUUAAAACAUCAUACCACAACAAUAGUCGUAUGAUUUAAUCUCACUUACAUUUUUUGUAUUACGUUUUUUAUUUACUUAUUUAUUUUUUAUAUAUAUUUUCUUUAACAUGUAACGAGUAUUAUACGACAUGACACGUGAAGAUAUCGGGUAUGUCAUAAAAACGACACGUAAACAAUGGCCUCCUCCGGUAUUGAGGAAGAAUACAAUUUGCAUCUAUACAUGCAGAUGAAUAGUUAAAAAUACGGGAAUAAGUUUCAAGUUUUUUCCCUUCCUUUUUACAGUUUCGUCAAGUUGGUUUUGGUUCCAAAUAUGUUGCUCUACGUAUGCAAUGGCAUCAUAGCAGAGAAUAAAAAGAGAAAACGUCACAGCCAUCCAAAGCAAAAUCGUGCAGCACUAGGAAACCCCCACCUAGGAAUUUACCAAAAACCGUCCACAUUCAAGAUUAAAAUUCCGCCACUGACACUAUAAAACUUACCAAUUGUUGCAUUGAUUUGCAUCAACUGGCUAGCUCUUCUUGCAAAAAAAACUUCUUUCUUAAACCAGCAUUAUUAGGCAUGGGAGAAGUUGAUCUAGCUUUCAUCCAGGACCCUGAUCACAGGCCUAAACUCUCCAUCACCGAAGUCGAGGGCAUUCCCUUGAUCGACUUGUCUCCGAUAAGCUCCCCAGACUCCGCUACUGACCCUAAACUCGUUGAAGAGAUUGUUAGGGAAAUAGGUAAUGCAUGCCAGGAGUGGGGCUUUUUCCAAGUGAUAAACCAUGGGGUUGUACUGGAUAAGCUCCGAAAGAUUGAGACUGCUGCUAGGAAGUUCUUUGCUCUGCCUUUGGAGGAGAAGAGGAAGAUCCGGAGGGAUGAAAAAAGCGUGUUGGGUUACUAUGACAGCGAGCGCACGAAGAAUGUCAGAGACUGGAAGGAGGUGUUUGAUUUCACAGUGGAGGAGCCUACUUUAGUUCCGGCUUCGCCUGAACCUGAGGACAAGGAAGAGACUGAGUGGUAUAACCAAUGGCCUGAUUAUCCUCCGGAGUUCAGGUAAUUCAUCGAAUAGUAUGAAUAGAUUUAGCUAAUCAUAAAUUGUUAUAGGUAGAAAAAGUUUAGGAUUCAUAGGGUCAAUUACACCUACCAUGCUAUAGUUAAAAAAAAUAAAAAAUAAAUAAAAAACAUCUCACUCGCAACAAUUCAUUUAUAUGAUGUAAUGCACUUCCUUGACCAGGGAGGUAUGUGAGGAAUAUGCUCAAGAAGUCGAAAAGCUAGCUCUGAAGCUGAUGGGACUUAUUGCCUUGAGCCUAGGCUUGCCAGAAGACAGGCUUAGCAACUAUUUCAAAGACCAAACAAGUUCUAUCAGACUCAACCACUAUCCGGCUUGUCCUUCCCCUCAGUUAGCUCUUGGUGUUGGCCACCACAAGGAUGGCGGUGCUUUAACCGUGCUGGCACAAGAUGAUGUCGGAGGGCUGGAAGUGAGGAGGAAAACAGACGGAGCAUGGAUUCGGGUCAAGCCCACCCCAAAUGCCUAUAUCAUCAAUGUUGGUGACAGCAUUCAGGUUUCACUCUUCAAACUUGAUACAAACUUAUUAUGCUCAUAAAAAACACGCAUCAAAUCACUUCACAUAACAAAUGAAUAUGUUUUAUGCAGGUUUGGACCAAUGAAAAAUAUCAGAGUGUGGAACACAGGGUUGUGGUGAACUCGGUGAAGGAACGAUUUUCUAUUCCUUACUUCCUCAAUCCAUCACACUACACACUAAUCAAGCCUUUGGAGGAUCUGACAAAUGAGCAAAACCCUGCCAAGUAUAAGCCCUACAGCUGGGGCAAGUUUAUGACCAACAGAAAGCUCAGUAAUUUCAAGAAACUUAAUGUCGAGAACAUCCAAAUUCAUCAUUUCCGGGUAUCAGAAUAAGUGGGUUGGAUCCUAAAGAGUAUUACUGGGUGAUAGUAUGUUAGUUCUUUUUCCUUUUGUAUAUCAGUUCCAAAAAUAAUGCCACGCUGUAUAGAGAACUUGUAACGAACUUGUGGACAUGGGCUGCUUAAUGUGUCAAUAAAAUCAGUAAUAUUUUUCUGCUUCAAAGACUAAGAACGAAUUUAAGAGAACCCCUUCACCUCUAUUAAUAACAAUAAUUAGUCCUAUUCUAUGUCCUUAUCAAGAAAAGAACGUAGCUCUGAUCGCAUUGAAAUUAAUUGUCUGUGCUGUAAGGAACCUAUGAAUUUAAGGGUUGAACACAAAUCUGGAACCUGAUUUAUCUUCAGAUCUGAGGUGUACGCAUGCUAUAACUUCCGAUAGACGUGAUUUGCAAUACAAUUAGCAAACGGGGUACAAGUAACAAUAGUACAUUACUCAAGUGACAAAAGACCUUGGCUUAGUUCUGAAUGGACUAAUAAUUUCGUAAAUUUUAUUGCGAGUACAGUAAACUGAUACAAUCUGUUUUAAUCCAUCCUACUUAUUUAAAAGCAUAAAGUAAUACCCUACAACAAAUUAUUAGUCUGCAAUGAGGUCACAGCAAAGAAAAAGAUUACCAAAAAAAACACACAAUUGACAUCCAUCCAAAAUUUUAAAACCUACAAGUCAAUAUACUUGUUGCCUCCACUGCUUUGGGAGAAGUUGAUCUAUAUUUCAUCCAAGACCCUGAUCACAGACCUGGAAUACCCUUGAUUGACUUCUCUCCAAUAAACUCACCAGACUCCAAUGUCGACUCAAAAUCCAUUGAAGAGCUUGUUAUAGAAAUAGGCAAGCCAUGCAUAGACUGGGGGAUUCUUCCAAGUGAUCAAUCAUGGGAUGGUAUUGGAUAAGCUAGAGAAGAUUAAGAUUGCUGCUAGGAAGUUCUUUGCUCUGCCUUUGGAGGAGAAGUGGAAGGUUCGGAGGGAUGAAAAAAGCUUGUUGGGUUACUAUGACAUGCAUGCUAAAAAUGUCAGAGACUGAAAUGAGGUGUUUGAUUUAACAGUGGAGGAGCCUACUUUAGCCCCCGCUUUGCCUGAACCCGACGACAAGGAAGAGACCAAAUGGUGUAACCAAUGGCCCAAGUAUCCUCGGGAAUACAGGUAACUCAUGUGAACUCUAAGGGUAUAAUAAGCCAAACUUAUCUUUGGAACUCGAUAUGUUUGAUCUAAUGUACUGCCCUGACUAGGAUUGCUUGUGAAGAAUAUGCUCGAAAAUCUGGCUCUCAAGUUGAUGGGACUUAUUGCCUUGAGCCUAGGGUUACCAGAAAACAGGUUCAGCAGCUACUUCAAAGACCAAACAAGUUCUAUCUUGAUCAAUUAUUAUCCGCCUUGCCCUUCCCCUCAGAAAGCUCUUGGUGUUGGUCCCAUAAGGACGUUGGUGCUUUCACUGUGCUGGCUUAGGAUGACGUUGGAGGAUUUUUGAACUGAAGAGAAAAACAGAUGGAGCAUGGAUUCGUGUGAAACCCACCCCAAAUGCCUAUAUCAUCAACGUUGCUGAUGUUCUUCACGUCCGCUCUUCUAACUUCACAUUAUCUUUUUGUGCUCAAGACCACUUUGAAAUUUGAGUAAUUUCUUUUCAAAUUAGUCAUUUCUCAAGAUGUGCUAACUAUCCUGUACAGGUUUGGAGCAAUGAUGGAUAUCAUAGUGUGGAACACGGGUUGAUUUUUUAAAUCCGAGAAUGAUAGGUUUUCGAUUUCUUACUUCCUCAAACAAUCACACCACCCAAAUCCAGCCAUUGAAGGAGCUCAUUAGUGAUGCCAAGUAUAGGCCUUACAACUGGGGCAAGUUUAUGGCUCACAAAAAAAAAGCUGAGUAAUUACAAGAAACUCAAUAUCGAGAAGUAUAUCAGAAUAAUCGGGUUGAAAGAUUAGACCCGGCAUUUUAGAUCCGUUAACCCAAUCCGACUCAUCCGCUUAAAUUAGUAUUUAGGUGGAUGCUUAACGAGUUAGGUUGUUAACAGGUGAAUCCGUUAAUCAUCCGUUAAAUAAUAGGUUAUCUUAGGUCAACCCACGAGAUUUGUUAGCACUUGCUAAGUGAGGAUGUUUGAGUAAUUUCAAUAAAGACUUAACAAGAAAACCUGGCCGACUCGCACACGCAGCCCCGCGCUUUGGUUGGCCCCCUUCUUGUGGCGCCUUCUCGCUCUCUACUCUUCUGAUGAAAGCCGCCUAAUCUUCUGAAGUCUUCAAGCAAUUUAACACUAAAAGCAAUACGCUCCAACCACUUCGAGAAAAAAAAAAAAAAAAAAAACAUAUGAGAAUCAAAAGGGAACAUUCAUACGGCAGACAGCUUGGAUACGAAAUAAAGAAACCCAACUGCCAGAAACUCACAGAAACAUAGAAAAAUGGUGAUAUUGAUAGCAUGGACAAAUUGAAAGCUUUGAAAUUUAAAAUGAAAUGAGCAAAAAGAGAGAAGCUUAUGGUUUUGGGUUGGAUUUGAUUUGAAUAUACUACAACUAAUGCUGGAUAGCAUGAAAAUAAUAGAAAAAUGGAAGCUGGGAGUUGGGAGUUGGGUAUGGUAUUUUUCUGGGACCAAGCUUCUCUGUCCUCCCAUUUCUCAUACACUCUCAUCCCUUUCUAUAUUGAUUUUUUUAUAGAAAUAAUAAGACAAAAAGCAAUAGUAAUAUAAAAUAUUAACGUGGUUUAACCAUAAUCGCAUAAAUAUGAGAGAAUGAGAGUGUAUAGGAAGUAGGAGGGCAGAGAAGCCAGGUUCAUUUUUCUCUGACCGCGCCAUAACCAAUGCCGGAUAGAUGAUUGAAGUUGAUGAUGGCGAUGAUGAUGUUACAGCCCAUCCUUUUCUUUUGCUUAAAAAAAAUAAAAAAAAAUAAAAAAAAUAAUUGAUAUGUGUGUGUACGAUGGUACUGUUCAUUAAUACUUGUGAUUUGAUUAAAAUAUGUGUAAAUUGUAUUGGAAUGAAAAAAUAAAAAAAAAAUUGUUAAUGGGUGUUAACGGAUGACUUAUUAAACUAACGGGUUGGAUUUUGUUGACUCGUUAGCUAAAUGGGUUGGAUUUGGAUGACCCGUUAAAUUAACCGAUUAGGUCGAAACCAAUCCAAAUCUAAUAAACCUGACCCAUUUACAGGUCUAGGAAGGAGUAUUACUGAGCAAUAUAGUUACCAGCAAACACAUUAUGCAUAAAAAAACCAGCAAUAUUAUCCAGAGUGUUGUAAACAUUCCUAGUUUAAGUGUGUACGUAAAUCCUAGAUUUGAUUUGAUUCUAGUUAUCUUUUCCUAUUACAAAUUGUAUUCAUUGGGGAUGAAUGAAUAUCUUCUCUCAUUUUACUAAUAUAAAUAAAAGCACUAUGUUGGAGGGAGUGCCCGCCCAUUCUGUCUCGCCCUAAAUGGAAUAGCUCUCUUAGUUAUACUGGGCCCCGACCCUACCAUUAUACAAACACAUGUCUCUCAAUCUCUCUCUUCUCCUUGAUGCCAGCCUUCUUACCCUUGUCAGAUAAAAUAGGUUAAAACAUGUUAUCAGCACGCUCCUACUGCUGCGCUUAGGAAUCUGACGUUGAAGAAUUUUUCUACAUCAAACCAGUUCAUCCAUAUCAUCACGCAAUCAGGUUGUUUCAAAACAACGGUUUUUAUUUAAUAUUUUUGCAGCCCUGAUAGCAUGAACAUUCACCAUUAUGCAUGACCUAACUUUACGUUUUUCAAAUUUUAGAUUCUACAUAAAUUGUGUAUGCAUUAUAUUCAUAAUUGUUGAAUUAUGUGAAUUUGAUAUUUUCCAUGAAUUGCAUUAAAUAUAUGUACAUGCAUUAUAAUACUAUUGAAUUGAAUAUGCUUUGAAUUAAAUUGUAUAUGAAAAAAAAUUUACGAUUGGUAAAACUAGGGUUCUUCGAACCCCUAACCUCACCCAGGCCUGCAACCUACAGACUGAGUUGCGCCAAGCCGAGAACCAUCACGCCAUGGAGGCAGAAGCUCCGAGCUUCACAACCCAGAAAACUCAACACCUCUAAUGGUGUCCGUGUCCACAUCGACCACAAGCAUGGCCAGCAGCCAUUGCCCUGAACCUUUGGUUCUUGUCGCCGACAACCAGAAGUCGUCCCUCACCGGAAAUUGGACUGAGAUUCGAUUGAAUCUCAUCGAAAUUUUUUGAAAAUCCAAUUUAAAUUUUCUAGGGUUUGGUUGUUAUAACGUUGAGAUUACAUCAUCUCCGUUCACCACCGUGGUCGUCAAGGACCACCAUGACUUAACCCGAGUCUUAACAAACCCCAGACUGUCGCCAUGAGCGACAGGUCUGGCGUUCUUCUCCGGCGAAACUCACCCAUCACACGUUAGGGUGUUUAGUUCAAAAACUUGAGCCUUUCUUAGGCUUCGCCCGUUCUCAGUGCAGCUCCAAUCCGUUGGGCUUUGGAGCUCCCUUCAGCCCAACUAUUUUCCCCAAGCCUACAAAGAAAAAAAAAACCAAUUUUUUUUUUGGGCUUGCUUUGAGGCAGCCCGUAUGAAAAUCUUUUUUAGUUUUGUUUUGGGCUUGCCUGCAGCAGCCCAUCUCCCUGGCCGUGUGGUUUUUUUUUAGGGGCUCACCUGAUGCAGCCAAUUUUGUUCCUCUCCUCCCCGUAGGCCUGAAGCCUGCACCCGAAAAACUCCAGCCCAAUUUUUGGGCCUAGGUCGCAUGGACCAAAUUUGCUUAGCCCACCCAUGGGCUUUGGCCUAUAUUUUUGGGCCCCGAGUUUUGAUUGUUUAAUAUUUUUAGACAACAUGGGUUUUAUAUUUUUUUCACCCACACUUUAAAUUUGGCCCGAAGUCCAAAUAAUUAAUUCAAUUAUAAUUGUAAACCUAAAGUUCCAUUUGCAUAUUCUUGUUGCAUAUUUUUGUGUAUAUAUUUGUGUUUGUCUGCAGGAACAUAUGAACUUGAAGUUCAUAAUUAUUUUGAAACCUGAAGUUUCUUAAAAACUUGCCUUGUUUGAAAACGUAAAGUUUUCAUUUAAAAACAUCACCCAUGAAAACCCGAAGUUUUUUCAUGCAAAAUUAAACCAAUACAUGUAUAUUAGAACGUGUUGUUCUACUUCUAUAUGAAUGGAUUGAGUUUUUCUCGAUUACACUAACCACAUCUUGUCCAUUUAGUUUGUGAUAGGAACAUGUCGAAUUUGAACAAACUCGACUUCACCGCUUUGGAAGUCUCUGGAAGGAACUACCUUAAGUGGGUCCAAGAUGUGAAACUCCACCUCACUGCAAAGAACUUGCAUCUCGCCAUUGAAGAAGAGAGGGACAACCCUGUUGGCGAAGCUGAAAAAGCCAAUGCUAUGAUCUUCAUCCAAUGACAUAUCCAUGAUGCCUUGCAAACUGAGUAUCUUACUGAGGAGGAUCCACAUGCAUUAUGAAUCACUUUGGCUGAUCAUUUUGAUCAUCAAAAUGACAUAUUCUUACCUGACGCAAGACAUGACUGGCGGCAUUUGCGCUUCCAAGACUUUAAGUCUGUGAAUGAAUAUAAUUCUGAAGUUUGUCGAAUCCGAUCACUUCUCAAGUUUUGUAACGAAACUUUGAUCGAAGAGAAUCUCCUGGAAAAGACCUAUUCGACCUUCUCUACUUCUAAUAUUGUUCUAUAGCAACAAUAUAGAGCUCAGAAGUUCACUAAGUUCUCAGAUUUGAUCUCUGUUUUACUUCUUACUGAAAAGCAGAAUCAGCUGUUGAUGAAGAAUCAUCAAGCUUAACCUACUGGGGCGACUACUAUGCUUGAAGCACAUUAUAGCACAACCAUCGCCCAAAACGCCAAAAAAGGCGUGGUAGGGGCAGCCAGAAGCCAUCCCACCAAGGUCAACAGAGUUAAGGCCCAUCCAAGGGAGGAAACAAAGCCAUAAGAGUUCAAACCUUUUUCCCAUGGCCCCGAACUUCAAGAAUAAGGGCAAAGCACCUGAAACCAUGAAUGCAGACAUGUGUUAUCACUGUGGUUCAAAAGACCAUUGGUCAUGUGUUUGCCGAGCUCCCAAAAAGGUUGCAGAUGAAUAUCAUUCUUGUUAUAAGAAGUUUGAAUCAAACUUUGUGCAAGUGGAUUGACCGGAGACUACAAAGAUGGAGGUUUUUGACUUUCAAAAGGAUACCACCCCCGUGGAAGAUUAGAAUCUUAGACAUAAACAAUUUUCGUUAGUUAAAGUUGAAUAAUGGGGCCAAAUUCCACCUAUUGGUCGAACCCCCCUCUUUGUUUUUUUGGUUGAUUUUUGAAUAAUUUUCCUUAUAUUUGGAUUAUUUGUUGGAUGUGCCUGAGAGGGUUGUCAGAGGUGCAUUCUUAGGUAUGAAGUUAAUGAAAAAUUAAUUUGGAUUAUUUGUUGGUGAUUAGUUGGUGCAUUCUUAGGUACCAUUGGACAACAUUUCACUAACUUCAUACCUAAGAAUGCACCUUUGACAACCCUCUCAGGCCCAACCAACAUAAUAGAAGGAUACGGUAAGGCAUGUAUAAUGUUGUCCAAUGGUAAAAUCUUGACCAUUACUGAAACACUCUAUUCUCUACAUUCCAGAAGAACGUUGUUAAGUUUCAAGGACAUUAGAGAUAACAAUUACCAUGCUGAAACCCACUUAGAAAAUAGAGUUGAAUUUCUAUGCAUAACUUCCUACGAAUAUGGCCAGAAGCGUAUUCUAGAUAAGAUGGAGCGUAUCCCGAGCGGUCUGUAUACUAUGAUCAUACGCCUUAUCGAAUGCCACUAUGUGGUCAACCCUACUACUGGGACCGUGAAGGGAUUAUUUUGUAAAACAUGUUCAUUUGAGCAACAUCAUAUAGCAUGCAAUUAACAAUUAAAAGGCGGAAUCAUGCUUGUAUACUCAAAAACAAAACAUGACCAUGAAAUUCAAAGCCUAGUAGAUUGGUGAACCAAUAAUCAACUCAAAAAUAAGUGAGUUGAAAUUAAUACCUUUGUAGAUUCCUCUUUGCAUAAGCAAAGGCUAAUCACCCAAAGAGAUAGGGCCUUCAUUCCUUGCUUCUUAGAUCCAUGGAUUUGGAUGGAAGAAUAGGUUCUCCAAGUUCCCAAAAUUGAGAACCUCUAAGUCUCUACACCAAGGAGAGAUUGGAUGAUGAAUGAGUGACCUUGGAGGAUUAGAUGACUAGCUAAUCACCUCCAAGGUGUUGGCCUCUUUAGAGAGAAAAUGGAGAGACAAUUCUCACCCAUUUUCCCCAAAAAUAAACCCUUAUUUCACUUAAUGAAUAUUUAGUUAUAAAGUCAUUUAUAUAGUCACUUCUUUAAGUGACCUAAAUAACCAAAACAACCCUAAUUCAUCUUCAUGGCCGGCCAUAUAGGGAUUUAUGGGCUUUUGGGCUUUAAUGAAUCUUUAUUCAUUAAAUUGUCAUACAACUUAAGUUAAUGGGCUUGACGUUCGAAGCCCAUUUGGGCCUUAAGGUCCAAAACUAUCCCGUGGUCUUUAACGAACUUAUUCGUUUGAUUAAUUAACAUAUUAAUUAAUCCUUGCCAUAAAUAAUUAAACCAUUUCAAUUAAUCUUACUCAUUUCAUUUAUUUCGUCCAUCUCUACCUUACACGGUGUACGAUCCAUUAGGUUCCUUUUAGCGAGGUAGUGGGCGAUUAAAACCAUUUUACAUCGAUUGUGAAUUGAAACUAUUUUCAAUUCUCCCUUUAGUGAUUACACACGUUUAGGGCUUCCACAAACCAUGAGUGACACCUAGCCGUAUGUCAUGGUUACCCAAGCUAAUCAGAAGAGGUGGAGAACCUAUUCAGUCUGGGAUUACAAAUGCAAUACGGUCUUUCUCUAAUCUAAUACUCUUGACCACAUUGUUUGGUUUGAUAGUUUAUUUUCUCAUGUCUACUAUCCAAUGUGUGUCUUGUGCUUAUAUGAUUACCUUGAAUGUGAUUAGGAACACAUUCCCAAAUCUCAUUCAUACUCUGGCCAGAGAUUCAAAUCAUAUCAGAGAGAGUAUUCUCCCUCAAACAGUUUGAAGGUUAGAGAUCCCUUGUUGCGCAUUCACUUGUCUCCAUAGCUAAGCGGCUUGACCCCAACGAUGCCGUGGACACCCUCCUGGUGGGAUGACUUUGACAUAAUCAAAGAUCAAGGUCUCUUAACCACAAGACAACUAUGAUGCCUCAGGUCAAAGGACUACUUUGCAUUAUCCCAACCAUGAGUUCUCAUGUGACAUGGAAUAUGAGAACUCUUCGUUGAUCGCGUUCAGUGAACUCAUUCUCUAUUGAGCACCUACCGCACUUGUCUUGAUGUCACACACACCAAUGAUUCGAGACUAAUCACUCUCCCUGAUGAGAGAAGACAUAGUACGUACCGAUCUUGACGGACUGUCAAUGCCCAAUUGGCAAUCCUAUGAUCAGGAACGUUUAGGAUGUGUCUACGAAAGAAUGGUCUCAAGAAUCUAACUUCAUUAGAUUACAUUCUCCCAAUCACAAAUUCCUUGGACUUUAUUGUUUAAGCAUAUAACAUUUAUAUGAGACGGCUCAAACAAUAAUGUAUGCCCUUUAUAUGUAAAACUAGAUUAGUUUAACAUGUGAAAUGUCCGUAAAGUAUCAUCACAUGAUUGGCUUUAGGGCACAUUUCCAACAAUCUCCCACUUGCACUAGAGCCAAUCAGCUUGAUCAUCAAUGAUGAUAUCUCUUCUGUAGUCAUUUCAUAAAUGGCUGAAUAGUAGGCCUAGACAGUGGAUAUCUAUAUGUGUUAUCCAUAGAAGCAACCUUGAGAAUACCGACGUCACCAUUAUACAUGAUUCUCAAUCAUGUGGUUCAGUCUCUCUCAUUUGUGUUCGGAUCUUGAUGAGACCUUGAUUCCCAGGCUUGAGCUAUCGCCCCAUUAGUGUCAUACACUUUCUGGUUGGAACCGAAUAGAGAGUUCAUAAAUGAACUUUCCCAUCCAAACAACAUUGUUGUAAACUUCUAUAUGGCAAUAUAUCUUGCAUUCAUAAUGGAACACACUAAAGUCAUUACUUUAAUGUUUCCAUCCAAAUAUCUCUUUAGUCAUAAUAAAGAGAUAUUCGUUUAUCUCUUCAUUCAUAAUGAAGAAACAUCCAAUGAUGGAUUAGAUUCAUAAUCUAAUACAUUUACGCUUCCAUUACGUUACUUUGAUUCUUCCUCGAUCUUUGAGGAAUUUAUCCUUUAGUAUUUCUUAAAUACUUAAGGACUCACUUGACAGUUGCCAUGGUUCUGAUCCUGGGCUUUCACUGAUAUCAUCUUGUACCGUUCUAGGUACAACUCAUAUCAAUGUUUUUCAUACAAUAUGAAAUACAUAAAUCACCUUUCUGCGUAUGCAUAAAGGAUUCUAUUUACGCAUUAUUUCUUUGGGAGUCAAAGGGGCACGUUCCCUUUGAGAAGGGCAACUUGCUAGUCUUACUAGAGUCAUCCUUCUAAUUGAAGUUUAUCAUCAUAUGAGAAACUUCCUAGCAUCCAUUGUCUAUUAUUAGGGAUUGAUAUAAUCCAAUUAUAUCAUGAAAUAUAUCAUUAUAGAUUUCCAUCCCAUGUAUAUAGACUAUAUCUCCCAUAUACAUUCUAUCUUCAUAUAAUGUAUUAAAGUCAUAACUUUAACGAAGAAGUAUUCUUUUCAUUUCCAAAAUUAAUAUAUCAUAUAUAUUUAAAUUUUUAGGAACAUGAUUAACUCCCACUAAUCUUUUGUAAAACUAGUAAACAAAAGAUUCAUUUACAUCUUUAUGAGAAAUCAAACGAUUUGAUCAUUUUUCUCAUAAAAUACAAAUAGCUCCCACUAACUUGCUAAGAUCCAUGAUGGAUGGAUCUCUACAACUUACAUGUCUUGUGAUUUAUAGUUUUAGACAUAUAUUAUCAAGACUAUCUUAAUAAUGGUUUCGGAAACCCAUAUUAUGUCCAAACAUUGAAUCACCAUUUAGUUGUAGUUAGCAAUCUUCGAAUUAAUUGAAACCAAGACUAUCUCAAAGAUGGUUUCUUCAAAGUCAACCAUUCUCUUUGAUUGUAGUCACCUUAAGCUACCAAUUAGCUAUGAAGGUUUCAUUAUUUCGAGUCAAAUGGUACUUUACCAUUUCCUUGAGUAUAUAUCGUAUAUGCACUCAAUGUAGUUAUAAGGAUUUUCAUUCUUAUUUCUUUCGAAUUAAGAGGUGCAACUCUAUGACAUAGUCAUAAAGUUCAAAACCAUUCAACUGAGACGGUUUAUAAAUCCUUAUCGACUACCUUGGAGCUUGUGGUAUAGGAACUAGGUUGUUAUAUUUGUUGAUUACUUUCUUGUCUCUCAAAGAACCCAUUCUUUGAGUUCUAUCUCUCGUUCAUUUGCUUUUAGGCAAUCACAUUGUAGAAUUACAAUGAACUAUCCAACAAAACAACAUUUGUUAGUUGGUUUAUAGAAGCGAUAUCCAAAAGUUAUUUUAAGGAUAUCCUACAAGAUUAUUAUCAAACAAAUAUUGCUUGUUAGCACACAACCCCAAAUCUUUAACAUGCUUAAGAUUUGUCUUUCUUUCCAACUACAUCUUAUGGAGUCAUGAAAAUAUUGGAAGAUCUUCUCAUUGACAAUCAUAUUGUUUUUAGAAGUAUAUAUCCUAUAUAUGGGUAAUAGAUAACAUCUAACGAACUAAAUCUUAUUCAAGUUCGUUCUUCUCCUAAUGGAGAAAUACAUUAUAUUAUGAUGCUAUUUCCUUGAUAUCUUUCAAGGAAACUUAUCUAAAGUGUUACCUUUCCUUGGAUCAAAUCUAAGGAGGUAAAUACUUUAGAUGUCUUACUCAUCAACUUACAUUUCUUGAAUUCUUUGAAACAUUUUUCAAAGUAUUCGGACUUGUGUUUAUUCAAAAUAAACUAUAGUCCAACCGAGAGUGAUCUUCGGUGAAUGUUAUCCAACAUGAGUAGUAUUAUGUUUGUGGACAAGUGCCACUAACAUCUAAGUGAAUUAACCUCAACAACUUUGUGAUUCUUUCUUCUUCCAAAAGAAUAAAGAUUCGAACAUUUCGCCUCUAUACAAUUUUAACAAGAAGGUAUUGGAUCCGGAUCUAACGAUCCAAAGCGUCCAUUUAUGACCAACUCGUAAUUUAUGUUUUAGAGGUAUCACAACUUUAGUUGGGAUUAGUCACUACCUUGCAACCUUUUGGGUUUUAAGCAUCAUUAUUUUCUAAACAGUUAACACCACCAUAUUAUCUCUACUAUAAAGAUAAUUAAUUAGAUUACCAUAAUCUAAUCAUUGAUUAAUAAAGAACAUUGUUUUGUCAAACAAAACAUUUAUCCAUUUCACAUAGUGACAGAAUUUAGUUCCUUAAAAUUGGAAUAUAAAGACAAUCUAUGUUUUUCCAAUUUCUUUGGUAGUUCAUAUGAGGAAGUAAGUACCAUCUGCUUUCGCAGAGAUCUACAUUUGAUUCACGCUUCGAAUGUGAAGUACUUUCUCUUCUCUCAUUAAUCUUCUACUUCUUAUUAGCCACACUUUUACAACGAUUGUAAAACAUAGUCACUAAUACGGAAUCAAGCAUUCAAGUAGAAGAACCAACUGUUUUGAACUUUUCAAGAACAAUUUACACCUUCGAAAAGUGUGUUCUUGACACUUGCAAGACAUUUCUUGCAAAUACCCCUUCCAAUGUCCAUCCUUUCAUAAAGAAAGUUUGUUCCCUUGGAGUUAUUUAUCUUCUUUAUUUGACUUUCACCUUUGACUACAUUAGUCAUGGUCCCUAAACUCUCACUAUCUCUCUUGAAACCUUUUUCAAUUGUGUUAUACACAUCAAACAAUUUUGGAGAGCAUGUGGUUAUUGUUCACUAUAUAGUUUACAAUAAACUUAGUGAACGAUUAGGAUAGGGAAACAAAGGUGAAGUCCUUGCCUAGUUUCCGUCUCGUUAAGUGGUUUAUCACUUCAACACUUAAUGAUUCAAAAUCAUCAUAAGUCCAUGUUAAUGGACUAUUUUUGUCAACCAACCAUUAUGUUCUAAACAUAAUUACAAACCUUCAAGAGUUGUACAAGGCAACUCUCAUUUCUUCAUACAACAAUUGUAAAUGAAGAAUCAUGGCACAUUUAAAGUGUUCAUGCCUUUGUGCUUUCUUCUCAAGUUCUUUGUUCAUUUAACAAAGAAACAAGCACUAAGUGUUUGCAUUGACUAAGAGUUGUUCAAAGCAACUCCUAUUUCUUCAUACAACAAUUUGUAAUUGAAGAAUUAUGACAUUAAAAGUGUUGUCCUCUUUAUGAUAGACCUUUUCUAACAUAUUCUUCUAAUGAUACAUUAUCAAUAGUAAGAUUGUGAGGAUGAGACUACUUUGGUACUUUUACAAGCCAUUAAAGACAAUCUAUGGUUUUGUAGUACCAAGUCCGUAAAACUAAAACGUUCGGUUUUGUCAAGUGUUGGAUAGCGUUUGCAAAAUAUAUUGGUAAUCAAAUACAUAACGAAUAUAAAUUGAUUGAUUUUAAGCCAUUUGAUUCGGGUCUUUAAAUCAAAAUAGCACCACCCCCACUAUUUUUGGCAAAUUCCAUAUCCCUCAUAGGAAUUCGAGAGUUUUGGAUGAAACUCCUAGUAGGUUAUGGGAGGCUCACUAUUACCAAGCCCACCUCACGAUGAUACGAUAUAUGGCUAGCAACAAUAAUAAUGAGAGAGUACGCUUACUCAUUUGCAACUCAUGCAAGUACCCAUCUUAUUUGGCCUCUAGAGAAUGUAACCUCACAAUGAUAUGAUAUUGGUUCCAUUGCACUUAGUUAAGUUCUUCCCACCAUGCUUAGUGUGUGAAGGGGUUCAAGAAUAGCCUCACGAUGAUACGAUAUAUAGCUAUCCUCGUUGCCUACACUCACCUCAUCAUAUGUAUAUGGAUUCCUCCUGAGUAUAAGCAUGCACUGUGUACUCCCCCAUGAUAGGGUGAAGCCGGUGUACAAGUCAUAAACGAUUGGAUCCCACCACGGUGGAAGGCCACGAAGAGAUAUUCUAAACAUCUCUCGCUUAUCAACUUAAUAUUGGUUUGGUUGAGGGUUUUAGGUCUCAUCACAUAUAAACAUACAUUUUAAUCUCUAUUAAAACUAUUUUGGUCCUAUAACAACUAUUGGUCCAUCUCAUUGUUUUAGUUGUACAUAAUACUCCCACUAUGCUUUUAAAACGAUUUUUAAAGCAAGAGUAUAUGAUACUACUAACAUAAACUUUGCAUUCAUUUGAUGGACUACAUAGUUGCCUUAGGGCCUAAGGAUGAUUAUGAACCUUUGUUUAGAUUCAACACGAGCCUUGUGUUGAACCUCAGUCUAGGAAUGAAGAUUGAUUUUAGUUACGCGUUUAAUCACAUUAAGGCGUGUUGUCUUAUGGCGUUGGACCCAACUACUUCAUUUUCAUGCAUAUCAUAUAAAAAGCAAGAAAGAAGUACUUCAAAGUAAAGGUGAGCUUAUGCUCAUUACAACAUUUGCAUAUAACAAAUUACUUUAAAGUAAAGAAGAGCUUAAGCCCUUUUUACAACAUUUGAUCAAAUCAAAUUACAACCAAAAUUUAAUCUACACAUUCCCAUGGUUCAAACAAAUUUGAAACGCCUUUCACAUAGCUCAAUUAUAUUAGGCUUAGGUUCAUAAUCACCCUUUAAUUAAUUAACACUUUAACUAAUUAAUUGAAUGCAACAUUUUCAUUUGGUUUUUGUAUCCAUAAAAUUGAUUUAAAUGGAGCUAAACAAAAUGAAAAUCCAAUUCUCAUUUAAAGAGACAAAACAAUUUUGUUCUCAUCCUAUUUGGGCCAUCUUGCAAUUAACCUCAACUUUUGGGCCAUAUUGCAAAUACAAAAACUUUUGGGGUCACUUUGUAUAAUACACAAAAGUCACAACUUCAUGUAAAUACAACUAGAACCCAAACUUUUAAUAAUGCAAAAACAUCAUUAAAGGAACAAAACAAUUUGUCCUUUAGCGUUUUUGGACCUAAACGUAAAAACGUAAACUUUUGGGCCAAAGUGCAAAUACACAAAAGUAUCAAAACUUUAUGUAAUUGCAUAAAAGCCCCAAAAGUACUCCCUUUGAGGGAGUGGCUGGUUUUAGGGAGGGAUAAGGUUGGUGUGUGUGUUGAUUAGUGAGUUUUGUCAAAAAACAUGCAAGUGUAUGUAAGAUAAGUUUAUGAAAUAAUUCAAUCACAAUUAUUUCAAUCAUCAUUUAUACAAAUAUCUAACACUUUAAAUACAUAAUAAAUCAUUUAAAAACAUAUCACAUAUACUUUAUGAAAUAAUUCAAAACUUUGAAUCAAUACACCAAACCUUUUUGUUCUUGGCAAGAACAUCAAGAACAAUGAAGAACAUCCAUGAAAAACCCAAAUUUUUCCAUGAACUUUUUCCACCCAAAAACAUUCCAAAACCAUUCUUACUUAAGGGAAAUAACAUCUAACCAAACUAGGGUACUUAGGGGUUCCAAAGAACACAUUAAAACACUUUUAACAAGUCAAACAAGAACCCAAAAAUUCACCCUUUGAUUUUGGCCGAAUUUUCCCAAAAGCAUGGCACCAAAUUUUAGCUCCAAUAUUCAUGCUCAUAUGAACAACAUCUACAACAUUUGAGAUAGCAAAUUUUCCAACAAAAUUUACUUUCAAAGAAGCAAGAAUAAAGCUUGUAACAAUUACAACUUUUAGAUCACAUACUAUGAACUACAAAACCCAAAAGGAUUCACCAACUACUAGACCUAGGCUCUGAUACCACUUGAAGGGAUUAUUAUUUUGUAAAACAUGUUCAUUUGAGCAACAUCAUAUAGCAUGCAAUUAACAAUUAAAAGGCGGAAUCAUGCUUGUAUGUACUCAAAAACAAAACAUGACCAUGAAAUUCAAAGCCUAGUAGAUUGGUGAACCAAUAAUCAACUCAAAAAUAAGUGAGUUGAAAUUAAUACCUUUGUAGAUUCCUCUUUGCAUAAGCAAAGGCUAAUCACCCAAAAAGAGAUAGGGCCUUCAUUCCUUGCUUCUUAGAUCCAUGGAUUUGGAUGGAAGAAUAGGUUCUCCAAGUUCCCAAAAUUGAGAACCUCUAAGUCUCUACACCAAGGAGAGAUUGGAUGAUGAAUGAGUGACCUUGGAGGAUUAGAUGACUAGCUAAUCACCUCCAAGGUGUUGGCCUCUUUAGAGAGAAAAUGGAGAGACAAUUCUCACCCAUUUUCCCCAAAAAUAAACCCUUAUUUCACUUAAUGAAUAUUUAGUUAUAAAGUCAUUUUAUAUAGUCACUUCUUUAAGUGACCUAAAUAACCAAACAACCCUAAUUCAUCUUCAUGGCCGGCCAUUAUAGGGAUUUAUGGGCUUUUGGGCUUUAAUGAAUCUUUAUUCAUUAAAUUGUCAUACAACUUAAGUUAAUGGGCUUGACGUUCGAAGCCCAUUGGGCCUUAAGGUCCAAAACUAUCCCGUGGUCUUUAACGAACUUAUUCGUUUGAUUAAUUAACAUAUUAAUUAAUCCUUGCCAUAAAUAAUUAAACCAUUCAAUUAAUCUUACUCAUUUCAUUUAUUUCGUCCAUCUCUACCUUACACGGUGUACGAUCCAUUAGGUUCCUUUUAGCGAGGUAGUGGGCGAUUAAAACCAUUUUACAUCGAUUGUGAAUUGAAACUAUUUUCAAUUCUCCCUUUAGUGAUUACACACGUUUAGGGCUUCCACAAACCAUGAGUGACACCUAGCCGUAUGUCAUGGUUACCCAAGCUAAUCAGAAGAGGUGGAGAACCUAUUCAGUCUGGGAUUACAAAUGCAAUACGGUCUUUCUCUAAUCUAAUACUCUUGACCACAUUGUUUGGUUUGAUAGUUUAUUUUCUCAUGUCUACUAUCCAAUGUGUGUCUUGUGCUUAUAUGAUUACCUUGAAUGUGAUUAGGAACACAUUUCCCAAAUCUCAUUCAUACUCUGGCCAGAGAUUCAAAUCAUAUCAGAGAGUAUUCUCCCUCAAACAGUUUGAAGGUUAGAGAUCCCCUUGUUGCGCAUUCACUUGUCUCCAUAGCUAAGCGGCUUGACCCCAACGAUGCCGUGGACACCCUCCUGGUGGGAUGACUUUGACAUAAUCAAAGAUCAAGGUCUUAACCACAAGACAACUAUGAUGCCUCAGGUCAAAGGACUACUUUGCAUUAUCCCAACCAUGAGUUCUCAUGUGACAUGGAUAUAUGAGAACUCUUCGUUGAUCGCGUUCAGUGAACUCAUUCUCUAUUGAGCACCUACCGCACUUGUCUUGAUGUCACACACACACACCAAUGAUUCGAGACUAAUCACUCUCCCUGAGAGAAGACAUAGUACGUACCGAUCUUGACGGACUGUCAAUGCCCAAUUGGCAAUCCUAUGAUCAGGAACGUUUAGGAUGUGUCUACGAAAGAAUGGUCUCAAGAAUCUAACUUCAUUAGAUUACAUUCUCCCAAUCACAAAUUCCUUGGACUUUAUUGUUUAAGCAUAUAACAUUUAUAUGAGACGGCUCAAACAAUAAUGUAUGCCCUUUAUAUGUAAAACUAGAUUAGUUUAACAUGUGAAAUGUCCGUAAAGUAUCAUCACAUGAUUGGCUUUAGGGCACAUUUCCAACAGACCGCGCAUGAAAUUAUACUUUGGCAUGAUUAUUUAGGACAUCCUGAACGAAUAGCUAUGCGCUGAAUCCUCAAAUCAUCACAUGGGCAUCCAUUGACCCGAAGUUUAGGUUUGAUCCAAGGAAUCGCAUGUCAAGCAUGUUCCAUGAGAAAUCUUAUUAUUAAGCCUUCUUAUGACAAGAUUCGUUCGAAUCCUCCUAUUUUUCUACAACGGAUUCAGGGGGACAUUAUGGACCGAUUCACCCUCAUUGCGGACCAUUUAGAUACUUUAUGGUUUUGGUUGACACUUCCUCACGUUGGUCACAUGUGUGCUUGUUGUCCAUAAGGAACACUACAUUCUCCAAAUUGUUGGCUCAAGUUAUCAAGCUCAGGGUUCACCACCCUGAUUAUCCGAUCAAAUCUAUUCAAUAGGAUAAUGCUGGAGAAUUCAUAUCUAAAACUUUUGAUGACUAGUACAUGUCGGUUGGGGUUGAACUUGAACAUCUCGUACCCCAUGUUCACACAUAAAACGACCUGGUAGAAGCUUUCAUUAAGUGCUUACAAAUGAUUCUUCGAUCGUUGGUCAUACGUACCAAGUUCCCGAUCGUUGCUUGGGACUAUGCAAUAUUGCACGCAUCAAAGUUGGUCCUCCUGAGGCUUGUUAUGACACAACCAUUUAGUGCCCUUCAGUUGGUUAUCGGAUACGAACUCGACAUAUCGCAUCUGCUCAUUUUUUGUUGUGCGGUUUAUGUCGGAUAUGAUUCUCCUUCAAUUAUUCAUUACUUAGAACCUUUGACAGACAAUCUAUUUACCACUUGAUUCAUGGAUUGUCACUUCUAUGAGAUAACCUUCCCGUCAUUAUAGGGAGAUAAGAACGUCAACAUUCCUUAAGAACAACGCGAUUUAUCAUGGAUGACCCCUACUUUGUCUCAUUUAGAUCCCCGCACUACUUAGUUUGAAACUGAUGUGUAAUGCAUAUUAGAUCUUUAGAGUAUAGCUCAGAGCAUGCCAGAUGCUUUCACCGAUCUAACGCGCUUGACAAGAUCACAUAUUCCAGCUGCGAAUACUCCUGCCAAGAUGAAUGUAUCAACUGUACGACGGACUUCUCUCAUAGAGCUCGGGGCACCAAUCUUGGUGAUCCCUGUACAUUAGCAACUAGCCAAUCAUCUGCCCCUAUACAAAGCAUGACAGACCCCUUGGUUUAAAAGAUUCACACCCCCGAAAGAGGAAAUCCAAGACACAAGGUCCUGAAGAGCCUAUCGUGAAUCUAUCACUUACUCAUUCUAUCCAACUCAUGAGGAAAUUUUAGAUUAUGGAAGCGUCUUUGAAGAGACGAGUCCUCCUUCUAAGAAUCGUAAGAUUUCGGUCUGUUAUGCUAGGUUAAAUGAUGUGUGGCAUAGAAAUGAGAUGAUUGUCGACGAUGCAUUAGCAUUUGCAGUAGCUACUGAGAUUAUGUUAGGCGAUGGCAUUGAACCACGUUCCAUUGAUGAAUGUCAACGUAGAACUAAUUGGUCAAACUGGAAACAAGCAAUUCAAGUCGAACUCAAUUCAUUUGCGAAACAUAAGGUGUUUGGACCUGUAGCUCAUACUCUUCCACAUGUGAAGCCCGUUGGCUAUAAGUGGGUUUUCGUUCGGAAGCGUAAUGAGAAGAACAAAAUUAUGCGUUACUAUGACGAAACUUAUUCACCAAUUAUGAAUGUGAUUACUUUUUGCUACCUUAUCAGUUUGGUAGUUUCUGAAAAACUGAGUACACGGCUGAUGCACGUAGUAACCGCGUAUCUCUAUAGGGAUCUUGAUACAUAAAUUUACAUGAAAGUUUUCGAAUGACUUACAUUGACUGGUUCAAAUAUUUCCAAACGCCUCGAACACGCUAUCGAUUCGGCUGAGGCGUUCACUCUACGGUUUGAAACAAUCCAGAAAAAUGUGGUAUACCCGUCUGAGUGAGUAUUUGACUAGUUUGGCAUAUGUGAACAACGAAUUAUGCCCUUGUGUGUUCAUUAAGAAGUCAUAUUCUGGAUUUGUGAUUGUUGCAGUAUAUGUUGAUGACAUGAAUCUUAUUGGAACUCGUGAGAACUACAGCAUGCAUGAAGUCAGAAUGUGAGAUGAAAGAUCUAGGUAAGACUCGAUACUGUCUCGAUCUCGAGUACAUCAAUCGAACUACACCCAGAAGGUGUUGCACCGUUUUAAUGAGGAUAAAGCGAAGCCUUCGAGUACUCCUAUGGUCGUUCGAUCGCUAGAUACAAAAAGAGAUCCAUUCUGUAAUGAAAAGAUUUUGGAGCCUGAAGUUCCUUAUCUAAGUGCGAUAAGAGCUUUAUUGGACUUAGUUCAAUGCACUAGACCCGACAUCUCAUUUGUUAAUCUUUUGACAAGAUACAAUAAUGCACCUACACGCAGACACUAGACUGGCGUGAAAGACAUCUUCCAUUACCUUAAGGGUAUUACAGAUUUAGGCAUGUUCUGUCCUUACGAAUCCUCGAGUGAUGCUGCACUCUCUACUUCUCGAGUCGAUUCUUACCUUAUUGGUUAUGCCAACGCAUGAUACUUAUCUGAUCCGCACAAGACGUAUUCUCAAACGGGUUAUGUCUUUACCGUUAGAGGCACCGCAAUCUCUUGGAGGCCAACUAAACAGACCUUAGUUGCCACUUUAUCCAACCAUGCUGAAAUUCUCGCCUUACAUGAAGCAACUCGGGAAUGCUUUUGGUUGAAAGCAGUUAUGGGCCAUAUUCGAAGCUCCUACGAUCUUUAUCCUGUUGUUGAUGUCCCAAUGAUGAUCUUUGAAGACAACGUAACAUUCAUCGAACAACUCAAUAAGGGUUAUAUCAUAUGAGACAACACCAAGCACAUUGCACCGAAGUUUUUCUUUUCACAUCAACAAAAAGAGCAUCAGAAGAUUGAAGUCACGCACCGUUCACAAGAUAAUCUAGUCGAUCUCUUCACCAAAUCAUUGCUGAAGACGACAUUUUAGAAGCUUGUUCAAGGAAUUGGUAUACUUAAACUUUUUGAGUUGUAACAUUGCUAUUUCUCUUUGGAAUUAUGUCAAACUCAAGGUGAGUAUCCUGAAGAAUUCUUGCUUGAUCUUAAUUUACUCUUUUUCCCUACAAUUGGGAGCAGUUUUCUCACUGGGUUUUUGCUACUUAAUUAGGUUCUAACGAGGCACCCACCUUAGGCUGGUCAUAUCCCUGAUGACAUCCUAUAGAUGUUUCUUUUGACUUUGCAUUUCUCACACAUUUUUCCUUAGACUAUGGAUUUUGUCCAUCAUCGGGUUUCUGCCAUAGCCUUAAGGUUUUUUAGUAAGACUGACUUACUUAUGCAAACUCCUACUUUAUUGAGAAUAAGCGUUGUUCCUUAGAUUCAGUGCCAACGAGUCGAUUUCCUCAACUUCUGCAUGAUAAUAAAUAUACGUUGAGUAUUUACACACUCAAUGGGGAGUGUUGUAAACAUUCUUAGUUUAAGUGUGAUUAUGUAAAUCCUAGAUUAGAUUUUAUUUUAGUUAUCCUUUCCUAUUACAACUUGUAUUCCUUGGGGAUGAAUGAAUAUCUUCUCUUCUUUUACUACUAUAAAUAAAGGCACUAUGGAGGAGGGAUAACACACAUAUUCCCCUACAAUUAUACAAACGCAUAUCUCUCAAUCUCUUUUCUUCUUGCCGUCGGCCCUCUUACCCUUGUCAGAUAAAAUAGGCUACAACACAGAGAACCAUUUUACCACUAUUUCAUUUAGGUUUGCACUUAUUCUAUUCGGACCUCAUGAUUUCAUUUAUUCUAUCAGCAUCCUGAUGCAGGGUGCAUCGGAUAAAAACGAUUGAGAACAUAAAAUUAGGAUAAAAAGGAUGGAUAGGUAGUAUAGAUAGAUAGAUAGAGUCCACUAUCUCAUUGUGCGAGAAGAGACCUAAAAAUCCUAAGAACUUUGGUUCUAGUACCAGCCUACAACGUAAAUAUUAGAAAGAACAAAGAUGCAGACUCUUAAACAAGAGAAAGACACAUAAAAACGAGUUUACAACUCAAAUAUCAAUAUGAUAAUUCAAGCAACUUAUUCUCUUCUUCUUUACAAAUACAAGUAUUUAUAGGCUUAAAACAUAAGUGAAAAAUAUGAAAAGGCAUAAAAAAAAAUAAAGGCUUACAAUAUUAUCUUUUGUGAAGUAGAAAAGGAAUUGGCUACAGUCACACAUUUGCCAUUCGAUUUUCACAUUAUUUACAACAAUGCCAGAUAAACGGGCUAGGUUGAAAGGGUAAUUACCAAAGUUAGGAGGGUAAUAUUGUCCGUAUGAUUGCGUUCCCUAGGCCUGAUUCGGGCUUAUUUUGAGUUACUAGUUUUGGGCCAAGUAUGGGCUUCGGAAGUGGGUUGUCCAAUGUGUUGGGCUGGCUUGCACAGAAAGUCGUCAAAACGACUCUUUUGCCCGCUUCAAUCCAGAUCCAACGGACAAGAUCUGGAGGCACUUUUGUCAUUCUGCGUUUAGGGGUGGUUGUUGUCGAUGUGGUCAGAGGCAUGGUUCGCAGAGGGGUUGAUAGGUUGCAGGUAGAGAGAGCGUUAAUGGGAGGGGUUCCAGGUGGACAUAGUGAGGUUUAGGUGCGGGAUUACAGGGAGAGAAGGUGAGAAGGUGGGUGCGGUCAAGCUUGAUAUGAGGGUAAGGUUCUGGGAGAAGGACGGGUGUUUGUUGCACAAGGAGAGAGAGAGAGAGUGAGAGAGAGAGGUAUGGUUACCCAAGGGGGGUGGGGUUGAGGGGAUGGCUAUAGAGAGAGAGAGAGAUGUGUAGGUUAAGGUGCAGAUGUAGGGUUGGUUAUUUCCACACCAAAAAUCAUCAUCCUCUUUUGAUAUUGGAAAUUAGGCUCUGAUUUAUCAGUCAUAUGCUUCUUUGCUGUAUAAGAUGAGUUUGGGUUAUAUUACUCAUAAAUGAAAUUUUUUUUUUCAGUAAGAGAGUGAAAAUCCCUAGCCUUAAGAUUUUCAGGUAUUUUGUCGGCCAUAAUAAUUUGUUUUUGCUUCUUUAUAUGUGUGUCUGUCUCCAAAUAUGAGAAUCUCUUAAUUUGCUUAUGUAGCUUUUGUAAUGUAAUAUGAUGAUCUCUUAAUUUUCCUUUGCAUAUCUUCUUUGCUUCCUCUGCUAGCUCUAUAUGUCAUUCUAUCUCCAAAUAAUUAUUCCAUAUUUUCUAUUUUUAUAGGAACCAAAUCAUUGAAUACACAUGGAAAAUUAAAAGGGGUUUAAUUUUUGGAUUGGUUUAAAUUUUUUAUUGUUAUUGGUUGUAUUGCUGUCAAAUAUUUGAUGGGAAGUUUAAAAUGGAGAACUUGGUUGAUUGGGACAGAGAGAAUCCGACAGAUGCAGACUCUAAUUUACUGGCUUCGAAAUGAAGAAGUUAUUUCUCGGUUUAGUUCAGUUCUCAAUUACCACUUUUCUGUAAUGAAACAUUUGAAUAAUACUCACCGGGAUAUCCAAUUAAUUAGGUCAGUUUUUGUUUAAUUGGGAUUCUUAAAUUUGAUAUUAGGUAUUUGAAUUUGAUUGGGUUUUGGAUUGCAUUGUACACUGUUUCGGGUAUCUUUAGCAAAAUAGGACCCGUCUUCUCUGCCCUCCCGGUUCCCAUACACUCCAUCCCCUCCUAUUUUGUGCGGUCACGGUUAAGCCACGUCAACAUUUUAUAUUGAUUUUUUUAUAGAGAUAAUAAGAAAAAAAUUAAUAGUGAUAUAAAAUAUUGACGUGGCUUAACCGUGACCGCACAAAUAGGAGGGGAUGGAAGUGUAUGGGAACUGGGAGGGUAGAGAAGCCAGGUCCAAUAAAAUAGGAUAUUUUCUUUUUAGGAUUCUAGAAGUUUAGUUGAACGCCAAUAUUAAAUUUCUAACCCCUGUGGUGCCUCUCUCUAUUUGGAGAAAUUUUUAGUUGUGACGUUAACAUAGAUGAUACAUCAUGUGUUUUUAUACAAGUGGUGGAAAAUUCUAAUUUUUAAGUUAGUAACUUUUUAACAUACAUAACCCACAAUUUAUAUAAGAACAUGUGGUGUACCACCUCGUGUGACAAUCACACUGAAAAAUCUCUCAUCUAUUUGAGUUUAAGUUGGGGAUGGUGGGACUGGCUUACAUUUUUCUUCUUUUUGCUUUGCCUAUAGUAAUAUUAUUGUUUAUUUCCAAGAUCUGAGUUUGUCAUUCAGAAGAGAUGUUUCAUUCAGAAAAUUGAAAUUUCCCAAAUCUUUGUUAAUAGUUGUAUCCCUUGCAGAAGGAUUUAAUUUUCUUGUCUACUUUUGAGCUUAAUGUUUUCCAUGUAUGCAGCAUUACUAGACCAAUAAAAGUGCAGUGUAGUGGAGUAAUUAGGACUGUUUCUGUUCCUUUAUUUUUUAUUUUUUAUGUUGAAUUGACAAGUGGUUUUAAAAAAUGGUUAAUUGUUUUUAUUGGUUUUAGUUUCUAUGUUUGGUUUGAGAGUAAAUUCAGAGAGCUAAAAGGCAGUAAAGUUUGAUAUUUACGUUUAAUGUUGUUUUGGGUUUGGAUUAAUUUUGUUUGUUUGAUAUUAGAAAUUGAGUGAUAGGGAAUUCGCACUUUUCUCUCUUUUGAAUAGCGUUGAACUCGUUUCUCAUUUUCUGUUUGGUUUCGUAGAAAAUUGAGGGAAAAAGGGAUAGAAGAUUAAUGUAUUCACUGAUUUGAGUGCCUUAAGUUCAUUUAUGAUUGAAGUUAUUCCCAUUGCUUUCAUCAUUUAUGUUAUGUUGUUUUGGGUUUCUAGCACGUUGAAGAUGGUAAAAUCAAUUAUUUUGAUUUUGGAAGUCGAGUUUGUUUUUCAGCUUUAGUGCUUGGGAGAAGCAAAAAUGUGAUUUCAUGUAUGGUUGUUGUAUUUGUCUGUCAUUUGAAAGGAAUUCAGACAGAGAGAGAAGCAGGUUUAUCCUCAUCCAGUGGAACCUGUAACUGAUAGCUGUAGGUUUAUCCUAAUUCUCACUAAACUAGAGCGUAUCUUUAUUGGACUCCUCAUGUUAAAACAUCAUGCGCCUACAUUACUCUCAAUAAGAUUCCUUUACAUUAAGUUUAUUAAGCAGUAUAAUCUUAUUUAAGUUUUAAUUGUGCAUUUUGAUUUGUAGCUAGGGUGACUGAAUGUGAUUUAGUGAAUCCUAUUAUCCUAUUGUUGGAACAAUUCAAAGAGUGUUUUGGCCUCUAUUUCCUUUCGUUAUUGGCUCCUAAGGUGAAUUUUCCCCCUUACCCAAUUUACUGUUGUGCAUUUGACCCAUAAUCAUACAUAGGAGAUAUUGGGUGAAAAAUUGUAAAAGGAUCUUUUGAGAAAAAUAUGGAGAAUACCUCCUUAAUUCUCACUUUCCCCUUAAGAGAUGUACUUCCAGGCAGACAAUGAUUGUUUGCCCUCCCACUUCCGGUGCCCUCCUAUUUUGUGUGGUCACAGUUAAGUCACGUCAAUAUUUUAUAUUUUUUUAUAGAGAUAAUAAGACAAAAAUAAAUAGUAAUAUAAAAUGUUAAUGUGGCUUAACCGUGACCACACAAACAGGAAGGCACGGGAGGGCACCGGAAGUGGGAGGGCAGACAAUCCUUGUCCCUUCCAGGCAGUGUGAUGUUGAGAUAUUUUUAAAUUCUUUCCAAUUUUAGUAAAAGGUAGCAUACUUUUCUUCCCACGGUUCACCCAUCUCUUGGUUAUUUAAAUUCUCAUCAGCUCGGUUCACCCAUCUCUUGGUACACGAAGGUAUCAAGAUGAUCAAUGCUUAGUAUUUCGGGAUUAAUAAAGUAUGGUACAAACAUUGGACAAUAAUGUUAUUUCAUGCAACCAAAUUUUACUUUUUAUUUUAUUCCCUCACCCACAUGUUAUCAUUAAAAAAUAUAAAAUAUAAAUAUAAAUCUCUUUCUGCUUCACGUUUUUUUUUCCUUCCUCUCCAAUUACAAUUCUCUCCAAUCUCUAUAUUGAAGUCAAAUCCGUCGACGAGCAAUACAAAACAACACAAAGACAACCUCUAGGUUAAGUAAAAGUCUUUUAGUAUGAAGAAGUUGAGAUUCCAUCGUAAAACCAAUUGGUAAAAUGAGGAGUAGUCAAACUAUUUAUAAACACACGUAAGGUUCAACAUCGCAUCAAUAUGAGAUUCAUUCUCAACACAUCUCCCUCACGUGUGGCUAUUUUUAAGCCUAACAUAUGGACAAUACAACUCUGAUGACAUGGAGCUCGUAUAGCCAUUGGACUUAACACGUGGGACAACUUGUUCUUAUACCAUGAAGAAGUUGAUGUUCAAUCAUAAAACCAAUGACAAUAUAAGAAGUAGCCAAAUUACUUAUAAGCACAUACAAUAUCACUCUUUUCAUAAAUGUAAGAUUCAUUCUCAACAUAUUAUUAUUUUUUUUUUUUUACGACAGAAAAUAAUAUUCUAAACUACCUUAAUACAUGGUUGGGAAAUUGGAUUUGAACUCAAUGCAAAGCGAAAGACACACUGAUCAGUCUCUUCCAGUUAUGUGGCUCUACGUUUGCAAUGACAUCAUAGUAAAGAAAAAGAUGACUCAUAAAUCUCCGCCUACUAAUUAACAAAAACCCGUCCAGAUUCAGUAUGUCAAACUUCAACCACUCCCACCAUAAAACCAUUACAAAACCCCGUCCACUAGCAACCUUCUAAAAUCACAAUCAGCAGCCAUGGGAGAGGUUGAUCCAGCUUUCAUCCAAGACCCCGAGCACAGGCCAAAACUCUCCGCCACCGAAGUCAAAGGCAUACCCUUGAUCGACCUCUCUCUGAUAAACUCUCCACACUCCGUUUACGACCCCAGAGCCUUUGAAGGGCUUGUUGCAGAAAUAGGCAAUGCAUGCAAGGACUGGGGUUUCUUCCAAGUGAUCAACCACGGGGUUCUGUUAGAGAAGCGCCAAAGGAUCGAAGCUGCUGCUCGGAAGUUCUUUGCGCUGCCUUUGGAGGAGGAGGAAGAUUAGAAGGGAUGAAGGGAAUGUUGGGUUAUUAUGAUACCGAGCAUACCAAGAAUGUCAGGGACUGGAAGGAGGUGUUUGAUUUCACUGUGGAAGAGCCUACGUUAGUCCCGGCUUCGCCUGACCCGGAGGACAAGGAAGAGACGGAGUGGUAUAACCAAUGGCCGGAGUAUCCCCCUGAACUAAGGUAACUCAAUGAUCACUAAGAAAAUACUGAAUACAUACACUUUAAUUAGCAAUUGGUAAUUAUAUAAACAUGUACUUGUAAUCAAAAUUGUAUGAAUCUAAGAGUUAGACCGAAUUCCUUGACCAGGAAUGCUUGUGAAGAAUAUGCUCGAGAAGUUGAAAAUCUAGCUCUAAAGUUGAUGGGAUUAAUUGCCUUGGGCCUAGGCUUGCCGAAAGACAGGUUCAACAGCUACUUCAAAGACCAAACCAGUUUUCUCAGACUCAACCACUAUCCGCCUUGCCCUUCACCUCAGUUAGCUCUUGGCGUUGGCCGGCACAAGGAUGGCGGUGCUUUGACAGUGCUGGCUCAGGAUGAUGUUGGAGGACUGGAAGUGAAGAGAAAAACAGACGGAGUGUGGAUACGGGUUAAACCUACCCCAAACGCCUUUAUCAUCAAUGUCGGUGACGUUAUUCAGGUACCAAUCUUCGAACUUCCUAAGUCCUCGCAUUCAGCUUCAUUCGCAUAACAAAUGUAUAUGUUUAUGCAGGUUUGGAGCAACGAGAGAUACGAGAGCGUGGAGCACAGGGUGAUAGUGAACUCGGAGAAGGAAAGGUUUUCCAUUCCCUACUACCUCAACCCAGCUCACUACACACAAGUCGAGCCAUUGGAGGAGCUGAUCAAUGAACAAAACCCUGCUAAGUACAAGCCCUACAGCUGGGGAAAGUUUAUUACUCACAGAAAGCUCAGUAACUUCAAGAAGCUUAACACCGAAAACAUCCAGAUUUCUCAUUUCAGAAUAUCGGAAUAAUUUGAUUCCAAGGAGCGUUCUGAGCGAUGAGAAUGGGAUUUUAGCUUCCUGCACAUGCCAUGCUGUGUAUAUAUCCACCCAGAGAAUAAUACCUCCUCCUGUGUUGAAAUUUAACUACAAAGCUAAAAAAUAUAUCAUUUUACCUCCUUUAUAAGCUCUGUCCAAAAAGAAUCAAAUCAACUUAGUAAAGAACAGAACAAGAGCUCUUGAUCAAGUCCAAAAUUCUGCAAUAUUGUAUGUUGAAAGUUAGCAUCCUGCCACAAAUGCCAUCUAAUCUAUCUCAACCUUAGUUGAAUUUUUAUUUCCUUCGACGUUUGCGACGGCAUCCUGUAAAGAAAAAGACAAUAAGAACAAUAGUAACACCAUAUGAUGGUGUUAUCAUCAUAAAAUUUCUCCAAGGCCAGCACGAACUGUCACAACCUUCCAAAAUAACAACUGACAAAAACCUAUCCAGAUGAUAAAACUUCAAUGACAGUCACAUGAUAAAACCUGCCAUUAUUCUAGUAGCAUUCUUGCACAAAAGAAAACCAUUGAGUUGCUUUCUAUCCAAAUCAAAAUCACCUACCAUGGGAGAGGUUGAUCCAGCUUUCAUCCAAGAUCCUGAGCACAGGCCAAAACUCUACCAUUGAUUGACUUGUCUCCCAUAAACACCCCGGACAACAUUUCUGGCCCAAUGCAUGCAAAGAUAGUAGUGCUCUGACCGUGCUGGCUUAGGAUGAUGCUGGAGGGCUGGAGGUGAAGAGAAAAGCAGAUGGAGAGUGGAUACCGGUUAAACCAACCCCAAAUGCCUAUAUCAUCAGUGUGGGUGACAUUUUUCAGGUUCCGCUGAUAGGAUUAAAGCACACCACAAAGUAGCACACAAUUGUCCUAUUAAUUUUCUUUAUUAACACUAAGAUAUUUUCAAUUCUAGCAUAUGAAAAUAAGGAUCUUUCCCGCAGAAGAUUGUUUUAUGUAAUGACUUAAAGUAUCACAAAAACAGGUUUGCUGUCCCUACUGACCAGCCACUGGAAAAUAAUUAUUAGACCGACUUACAAUUAUCUAAAUUCAAUGAACUUUUAUGGGCAGACACUAGGCACACAGAGGUACAGUGUCACAAAUAUUUGGGAUUUUUGGAGUUGAUUUGUUAUUUAAAUUAAAUCGAACAAAAACAUGACAGAAACAGAUUUUAAAUUAUAAAAAUAGAUUGUAUUUCACAAAUUAAGAAAAUGAGUUAGGGGAAGUUCUAUCCACCACCAAAUAAUCAUGCAAACAUGUUAUGUUUCAUUCAAAUUCCUUUUAUUUCCGGAUGAAGAUGCUUAGGUCGGUUCAAUGUUAGAACAUAAUCUAUUACUCUUUCUUACGUUGUAUGUUAAGAGAAUGGCAUUUUCAAUGUAACUUAGUCCCUAGCAUGCAAUCUAGAAUGGUGUGUUCAUAGAUUUAACAAGUAGAAAUCAUUAAGAACAAAAAGAGUUUGAGUCAUCACAAAGCAUCGUAAGUAUUGGCGUUGUCUUACUUAUCCUAGAAAUUGGUUCACAUGUUAAUCGUAAUUAACAAGUACUACUUUAUAACAUAUGUAGGUCCUCAUUCAAAAAUGGCAGGCACACACAUAUGCAUAGUAUUAGAAUUCUAGAUAUGCUUACUACGUAUGCAUCCAUAGAGAACACAUAGAGAAUUCAUUGCUGACAUAAGUAGUGAACUAAUUUUCAUCUUUUCAUAAAAGAAAUUGAAACAAAAUGUCAUAACAAACUUGCAAUCAUAUUCGAAGCUUCAAAACAGCCCGUAAGUAGUAAAAAUUUACUUACACAUUAUUCUCAAAUUAAACCAAAAGUAAGACAUGAGUUUGAGAAGAUAGAACCGAAAGAAGAGAAUGUCAAGAUUUCCUCCUUCCUCUAUUGCUUCCCGUUAGCUUCCAAUGCAACUGCCCUUUUGUUUUCUCUUUUUCUUUCUUGCCGCUGCAACCUGCAGCCUUCUCUUUUUUUUUUUUUUUCUAAAAAAAAAUUAUUUCCAUAAAACUCUCCUUUAUUUCCUACCCCAACGUUCCUUUAAGCCAAAUCCUUGCUGCAUUAUUUACUUCUCCAUAACUCCCCCUGCUAAUAGCAAUUUAGUGAUGACAAUAAGUGAGAGGAAAUGGUAAAACAAUUGUAACUUUUUGGGUAGCCUUUAUGCCAAUUACUCCCACUUAAUCCUCAUCUUUAAUUCCAUUUCCUUUGAUAUUUAAAUAUGUGUCAGCUGGCUUGUUCUUGGCUGCAUCAAUUUUGGCUGCUAGAUUUAUUGGGUUUAUUGCUUUCAUUGCUUUCUCGUUAGUUACAAACUGCUCAGCUGCUAGGGAACCUCUCAGUGUUAAAACAGGCAUAACUUCUUCUGAAAACAUGCUCCAGAAAAUAGACAUCUGUAUAUUUCCAAGCAUAUAAGGCUCAUUCUCUAUUUCGUUCUGAGUUAUUCGCAACUCGCUUCCAAAGUCAGCUUAUCUGCUUAAGCAGUUUUGACGAAUUUGUUAUUUAAACUCCCACUUGUCCUAUUUUUCUCUUCUUUGCUUAACAAUUCCUUCAAAACACAAAAACAAAAUAAAUAGCUCAAAAAUAUAAGGAACUAACUAAGUAAAGACAAGUGAGUUUGAUGUAAAAUAUAUAUAAAUAUGAACUUAUCAUCCUCUCUCCAAACUUAAUACUAGGAACUUAUGUGCAGGAUGCUUGACUACGCAUUCUGAUUUUGGUAGGCAGUACGUGGCGAUCUUAUGUGCAGAUUAUUUAGAAAUUUCCUAGUAGCCAAACUUGCUUUCGACUUCCAACAUAAGGACCAAAGGACAUGCACAAGAAUUUAGAACCAUUUUGAGCAAUGACAGAUAUGAGAGUUUGGAACACAGAGUGGUGGUGAAUUCGAAGAAGGAAAGGUUUUCCAUUCCAUUCUUCGUCAACCCAGCACACUACACCAUAGUCAAGCCUUUGGAAGAGCUCGCAGAUGAACAAAAUCAAGCGAAAUACAAGCCGUACAACUGGGGAAAGUUUUUCAGUCAUCGAAAGCUAACUGAUUUCAAGAAAAACAGUGCUGAAAACAUGCAGCUUUGUCAUUUCAGGGUAUCAGAAUAGCACCGAUUGGUUAUAGUAUUAUUUCAGCUUAUUGCAGAUACAACACAAUGCGUGUUAUACGAAAUAAUUUGUUGUUGAGAAGUAACCAGUAAGGAACUUGUGAAACAUGGAAUGGUUGAUGCAUCAGAUGAGCAAUAUAUGUGUAGUUUUGCUUCAAAAACUAAAGGCAUAUUUCCAUAGAACCCUUUUAGAAAAUCAAUGUAUGGGAUACAAGCAAGCAUCUAUAUUACUCAAUCAAAAGAGUCACUGGUUAGUUCUAUGUUAAACUGCUAAUACUGAAAGGAACUCGAAAUCCAAAUCCCAAGUUCCUAACCUAUUUUCCGACCCACUCUCACCACUUGGAACGUCCAAAGGAACUCGAAAUCCAAAUCCCAAGUUCCUAACCAAGUCAAUCAUCUUUGUGGUUUACAUGGACUUGUUGGUUAGACGGUUCAAAUUUUUACAUUACAGGGUAUAAAUAUGUGAUAUGAUGCUAUGAUUGUAUCAUAAAUCACAUACUGUAAACCUGUACCACAUUUCUACAUUUCUAAUCAAGGUGGACUUCACUUACUAGUUAAAAAGCAAUCAGUACUAGACAAAUUUGCAGGUGGUUCAGUAUUUGGCCAACUAAAAGGGAACAAAAGGCUUUACAUGUCAAAGUCUGGUUGGUUAGUCCAAGCACGAAUGAAUACAAAAAUAAUACACAUGAGCGCGGAUCAAUUCUUUGACGAUCCUACAAGAUAUGACAUUGAAAAGUUGCUCUCACCAUCUUCCACAUUCUCAAGCAUUUGGCAUCAGCAAAAUUAACAGUAAAAGACCAAAUGCUUGUUUAUUCAAGUAGUAACCUCUAAGUCUCUGGACAUGCAAUUUUAAAUUUAUCAGUCAAAUUCAACAGAAGUUUUUGGUCCAACCCAAACUCUCUUUACUUUUUUAACUCAAUAGUAUAAAUACAUAAAACAAUGAAUCUGUUUUCCAAUCAAUUUGGUGGUGACCAAACCACCAGAAACACAAACAGAUAUAGAUCAAAGAAAGCAAAAUUUGAUUCCAUCAAUCUCUACUUUUCUCAUCGUUCUUCUUCUUUGUGUAGCAAAUGAAAUCGAGUCGGCACCUACAAACCCCAGCAAGCAGCACUUUGUGUUAGUUCAUGGGUCAUGCUUUGGUGCUUGGUCUUGGUACAAGCUUGUAACCCUAAUCAGAUCAUCCGGUCACAACGUCACUGCCCUAGACCUAGCUGCUUCCGGGGUCGAUCCACAGCAGGCAAAAGAUCUGCGAUCGAUUUCCGACUACUUGAAGCCCUUGAGGGAUUUCAUGGAAGCUGUUGAUGGAAAGGUGAUCCUUGUUGGUCAUAGUCUUGGCGGGUUGGCCAUUUCUCAAGCCAUGGAAAGAUUUCCAAGUAAGAUAUCUGUGGCUAUUUUUGUCACUGCCUUGAUGUCAGGCCCGGCCAACAUUUCCAGCCUUAAUAAAGAGGUAUCUAGUUGCACUUUUUUAUAUUGCAAAAAGCCCCAUCAUAUAACACUAAUGGCACUUUUCGUAACCGUAAUCAACUACAGAAAAAUUAGAUUGAGGAGAAUCAAAAUCCAAAUUUUCAUAAAAGUUGUUUACUAAAGUAUUUUAGAAUCGGAUUAGAAAUAGUAUUCAAUCUAUAAAACUGUUUACUAAUUCAACAUAAUCGGAAUAUAAAUUAUGAGAAUUACUAAAAUGCCCUUGCCACAAAUCAUUUUAUAUGCUUAUUUUCUUUAAUACAAUUUGAUAUUAUCUCUACUAAUUAAUGAAACCCUCUUUGUCAACUAAAAGAUGAUGAAAAGACAACUUAGUCUUCUAUCACAAAAAAAAUAAUGGGCAAUAAUGUAAUUUCACAUGUCUAAAUUUUACUAUUUUUUAUUGAAGUCUCACCCAUAUGUGACGUUAAAAUACCUCUGACUCCACCCCCCACGUUCUCUCUCUCUCUCUCCCCCCCCCCUUCUCAUGCACUCUGCAGUCGCAUCUUCUUCCUUUGGUUUUUCUCACCAUUUUUUCCUCUCCUUCUCCUUCCAUCUGUUACCUACCCAGAAAUAUCAUUCUACAAAAUGGGGCAUAAAGAUUAUUCCCUCUCCUCCUUCCUCUCUCUAUUACCUACCCAAAAAUAUCAUUUUAUGAAAUGGGUCAGAAGGGUUAUUCAUCCCCUCCUUUCUUUGUUUUUAUUUCCUUUUCUUACCUCUCUUCCUUUGUUUUUCCCAUUUUCCUCUGCUCAUUCUCUUUGUUACCUACUCCGUCGUUGGUACAGGUUAGAAUUUAGGGGAAUAGACCUUCAGAUCCGGGAAUUCACGUGCACGCAACUACACGCUGGGCCAAAUUUUGCAGGUUGUGCUGAUUAGUCAAAACCUAGAAGUCAUGCAACGGUGCAAGGGCAACUAAGCUUCUGUCGACGACUUCGAACUUCACUCUGGUACUGUGCAUGUGAAGAUGGCGGUGCAGGAUGCUGAAGCUGUAAGGGAGUUGGCGAGAAAGAGAAACAUAUGAAGGGGAGGCUUAGGCAUUGAAGCGUUUUAAGGGCAUUUUGGGAAGGAAAGUAUGAUUCCGAAUGGAGGCUUGGACCCUACCAUGUUCUCAUUCCCAUAAGGAUUAGUAAACACUGAAAUAUUUUCAAUUAGGGAAUGAUUCCUCUUCAUUUCAUCUCAGGGUAAAUCGCCAAAAUGGUCCCUAAGAUUUGCAUAACUCAUCACUUUGGUCCUUGAGAUUCCAAAUCGAUAAAAGUGGUCCCUGAGACUGUCCACCAUCCAUCAUUUUGGUCAUUCCAUUAAAAACUCAGUUAAGUGUCCCGGAGCUCUUGGCCGAAAGUUUGGGCAAUUUUCAACGCUUCGUAACUCAAUCGUUUCUUACCCAAAUUCGACUCAUAAUAUAUCGAAAUGAAGAUAGGAAAGUAUAAAAUACAAUUUUACCUAUUUUGUAGCCUAAUGGUUGUCGGGCCAAAAAAUAGCCUCAAAGUUGACUGGUCCGAGUGAAAACUUGAAAACUAGUCGAAAACUGGGUAAAUUUUAAACGCUCAUAACUUCUUCAAUACUCAACGAAAUCAAGUGACUAAAAAUGAAAAUUAUACUUCUCGACGAGACGAAGAGAAUGAUACCUUUUUAGAUGGCUAACUCGCUGUGGUUUGGACAAAAAACAGCUCGAAAAUGGCUAACUCGAUACCAAGAUAGCCACUUUCAAGCCUUUUUUCGACCAAACCACGGCGAGUUAGCCAUCAAAAAAGGUACCAUUCUCUUUGUCUCAUUGAGAAAUAUGAUGUUUGUUUUUGAAUCACUUGAUUUCGUUGAGUAUUGAAGAAGUUAUGAAUGUUUAAAGUUUACCCAGUUUCCGGCGAGUUUUCAAGUUUUUACUCGGACCAGUCAACUUUGAGGCUCUUUUCUGGUAAUCUUCGACAACCAUUGGGCUUUGAAAUAGUUAUAAUCUUAUUCUAGACUUUCCUAUCUUCAUUUUGAUAUAUUAUGGGUCGAAUUUGGUUAAGAAACGAUUGAGUUAUGAAGCUUUGAAAAUUGCCCAAACUUCAUGCCACGAGCUCCGGGGCACUUAACGGAGUUUUUAAUGGAAUGACCAAAAUGAUGGAUGGUGAACAAUCUCAUGGACCACUUUUAUUGAUUUGGAAUCUCAAGGACCAAAGUGAUGAGUUAUGCCCUCAGGGACCAUUUUGGCAAUUUACCUUUUCAUCUCAUAAUCGAUGUGUAAACACGCCCUAAGGGUAUGUUAUCCACACACUUUUUUUACUUCUUACACACCUUUGUUAAUUUUUGUUCUUUGAUCUUCUUUAGUUCAGUUGAUCUGACGGUCGCAAAUUAAGAUGGUGUGUAUAAAGUAAAAAGGGAUGUGUGGAUAGCACACCCUAUAACACUAUUGUUUUCUGUAAUGCUUUGGCAUAAUAGAGAACCAGCUUUAUUAGAACAUCUCCAACCCUUAGGUUAAAACCUAAAAUUUAGGAUUUAACCCAGAAAUAGUUUUUCUGCUCCAACGGUCUAACCCUUCUAGGUUAAAUUUUUAGUCCCGAGAUUUUUAAAUAAUAAAUUUAGGAUCAUUUUUUGCUUAAAAUAACAUUAAAAAAAUUAUGUGGACUAUCCUAAUUUAAUUUUAUAGACAUUUUAACCUAAAAAUAUUUAGAUUCCAAUAAGUAUCGAAAAAUCACUAAACCAACACUAUGAAACUCGUGAAACACUAUGAAAGAAUCUGAAACAUAUUAAAAGAUAUAUUUUUUUUAAUUAUUUUAGCCAUUAAAUUUAAAUUUAGACCGUUAGAUCUUUUAUUUUUUACCUUUGCAUUUGAUCAUAUUAUAUCUUAGUUAUGACAGCCCGUCCCUGAUUUUAAGAGUUUUAAAGUUUUAAUAAAGGAUUUUACAAAAAUGCACUUUGAGGCACGCGCAUUAUUCAAGGUUAAUCGUUGUGUCGUGCCAUCUAAGAUUUGUUUUCUUGACUUAUCCUCGUAGUACUCGUCGCUACGAACGUGGGGACGCUGACGGUUCGUUAUUUGGAAUUAUAACGAAAAAGAUUUUAAAGUUUGAAGUUUGGGCAUUUUAUAAAUUUUAUUAUUAAAAUUUGGAUGGCCCAGAUUAAAGGAAAUUUGAAAUGGAUGGCUUGGAUGUAAGGGAAAUAAAAAUAAAAAUAAAAAGAUGUAGAAGGGUUUUGUGGUGUGUGUAUGUAACGGGAAAUGGGGAAGAAAAGAGAAGAAGAAGAAGAAGAGGGAAGGAGGAAGUCUGUUGCCCAAUCAGAGGAGAGGAAGGGAGAGACUGCCCAAUCAGAAGCAGGAGCAAGGAAGGAAAGGAGAGAGUGUGGCGUGGGGGGGAAACGGGGAAACGAGUUCCCCAACCCGCGACCCGUGUGCACCCAUUUCCAUCCCUUCAUAUUUUCCGGUGGUUUUCCACCGGAUUUCUCACGAAAUUGGACUAAGAAACCAUCCCCAAUCAUUCCCUAGUCUUUUCCUCUUCCAUUUUCAAUCAAAUUUUAUGGGAUUUGAACUUGAAUUCGAGUAGAACGAAAAUAUGGGUUCCGAGGAUGCCAUGGCAAAAUCCGACGAUCGUGAAGGUAAUCCAACAAAUUGCUACCACCACUAGACUCCCCUAGAACCCAGGAUCAAAGCCCAGGCAGUGGUGGAGGCGUCGGAGCAAGUUUGAAGGCCGAAUCGAAUCACACCCAUUUCUAGGGUUUGCACGGAAUUUGAUGCAUUUGAAGUGUUUCCAGGCCAAGUUGGCCUUGGCCUCAGGUAUAAAUUUUACUCUACUCAUUGAGAUCUUCAAUUCUUUAUUUUUUGAGAAUUUUUUGAAAUAGUUGGAUUUUCCGGCGAGCCGGGGCGGCCGACCGCCACCCGCGGCGGCCCGUGCGGCGGCGCGUGGCCAAUGUCAUUCUUAGCAUGUGUUUAAGGUUCUAGGUUCAGUUUUGAUAAUUGAUGGACGUAAAUUGAAUAAUUGAACCUAAGUUCGUUACGAUUCGUGGUUAGGUGAAAAUGUGAAUUGACGAUCCGACCGUUGGAUCGUCACCAAACUUUGAUACGUUGUGAUACGUAAUAUUUGAGGAUUAUAGGAACUUAUGGAUUGGGAAUCCGAAUUACGGAUCUUCCGGAAUUGGAGUUGUAAGUUCAUAAAAUAGAAUGUUAACGGUCUCUUGGUUUUGGCAAUUGACGGAGAUCCGACCGUUGGAUGGUAAGGAAAUUUUAGGAUGUUGUUCUAGAGAUAUAUUGUGUACCUCUGGAAGUUAUGGAUUUGAAAUCUGAGUUGCAGGUCUUCCGGAUCGAACUGCAUAGUGAUGUGUUUUAUAUAAAUUAUAUUCUAUCGAUAUGAUUUCUGAGGUUGGAUUUGAUUAUUGUUCUAGGCGUCGAUCGUCAUGACGCCUUGAUGUGUUGUGCUAGGGAGUUGUUGGGCGAACUCCAGGUGAGUGGGCAGUACUUUCUAUUUAUACCUAUAUACUAUGAAUUUUCCCAAAAAUUGAGUUUUAAUGAAAGUAUGUUUCUAAAAUGCCAUGCAUGCAUAAUAUGAAUGAUAUGAGCUAUAUGAAUUGAUAAUUGAUGCAUAUAUAUAUAUAUAUAUAUGUGAAUUGGUGUUGUGGACGCACAGGUAAGUAUCAGGUGAGUUUUAUAGUAUUCAUGUGAAUCAUUGAUGAUGUAUAUUAUGUUGAUAGCUCAUAACCUGCAAUCAUGGUGUUAGUGCUUAUAUUAUUCACCUCGCACCGCACGCUGACCUUGGAUCCAAGUAGGUGCAUGUCGUACAGACCAUGAGAGGGUUCCGACUGAUAGGUGACCUUAGAUUAUGUGCACAGAUGAUUGAUGAGAGAAGCACUAGAGCGUAUUAUUACACCAUUCAUGUCGUACAGACUACUUCAAGUAGUUCCGACUUAUAUGCAGUGUAGUGCCGUACAGGUCACCGAGGUGACUCCGGUUGGAUUGGAUGUUGAGCUAUAGAAUUAACCGUACAGGACCAACUGCAGGGUCUCCGAUUAAUUCACCAUUUCACCUGUUACAUUGAUGCAUCAUUCAUUCUGUUUUUGAAAUUAUAACAUGGCAUACUUUCUGGUUUUUGAGAAAAAUUGAUGAUUUGAGAUUUUUGAAAAGUAUUAUGCUAUUAUGCUAUUUUCUGGGAAAGUAUACAGGUUUUACAGCGAGGGGUUAGAAAUGUUUUAAAUGAAAAGUUUUCGAAAAACUUUGUUUUACUGACCCACUCAACUUUGUUUUGCGCCCCUCCAGGUUCUUGAUAGCAGAGCUUUGGUGGCCACGAGGAAUCAUACGGUGUUCUGACAGAAUUCACAAAAGUAUGACUCACCCUCGGGUGUUUCAUCUUAAUAAUUGUAUUUUUUUUAAAGCUUCCGAACUGUGUAAAUGGUUACGUCACACUCACGUGACGGCCAGCACACCCUCAUUCGAGACAGGGUGUGUCAUUAGUUGUUGAAUUCAAUGAAUUUAUAAAGGAAGACUUUAGAUAUAGUCCUUAACUAUAAAUAUUCUUUGACUGAAACCUUGUGGGUUUUUAAUUUUUGAUCAAGGUCCCUGAAAUUAAUGUGAUAAUUUAUUUCUAUGUACGUUACUAUAUUUUUUUAAAUUAAAAAUUAAAAAUUUUAGUUGUUUAUAUAAAUGAGAUUUUAAAUAAAAAACCAUAACUUGUGGAAUUAAAAAUAUUAAAAUAUAAAUAUACCAUUGUGUGUGUUUAUAUAUAUAAACAUGGGUACACUCAUCAAAAUUAACCAAAAAAAAUUAUUGUAUCAAAACAUGGGUACAUUCUUCAAAAUCACAAAAAAAGAAAAGAAAAAGAUAUUAGGCUUAAUAACAUUAGUAAAUUUCUUAGAUUAAACUUGACAUGGAUACAUUUUAAAAUCAAAGAAAAAAGAAUUAAUGUACCCAUAUAAGUUUAAAAAUGGAUUAGAAAAAAAUUGAAUAGGUUUUAUAUAUAAAAAAAGGUACAUUUUACAUAUAACAAAUUGAUAUAUUUAAGAAUGAGUACAUUAAAAAGUUUUACAUGAAUAGGUACAUAUAAUUAGCAUGGGUACAUUUAGCAAAAUAAAAAGUACAAAUAAAAAAAAUAUGGGUACAAAUACAAAUAAACUUUAAAAAAAAUGGGCACAAAAAGAAAUUAAUAUAUGGGUACAAAUUAAAACUAAAAUAAAAUUGGUAAAAAUUAAAAAAGAAUUACAAAUUAAAAAUGGGUACAAACUAAAACUAAAAAUAUAUGAUAAAAAAUUAGUCAUAAAUAUAAAUAUACUAAUUGAAACAUUUUUAACAUUAAAUGAAUAUAUUUAGAAAUAAAAAAAAUAUUUUAUUAUUGAAAUAAUUAGUGAUGUUAUUAAUACCCAAGGACCAUAAUAAAAAAUUGAAAAUGAAUAGGAUUUUAAUCAUGGAGUAGCAAAAGGAAUGAUGAAAACCUAAUUUCUCCAUUUAUAAAUAUAAAACUAAUAAAAAACACAUAUAUGGUGGGCCUGCCCACUAACCUAGGGAGAGUUAUGGCCUAAAUUUUCCCCAAAAGUGAGUUUUGGGUUAAAAAUUAGGCCUAAUCGGAUAAAUGGUCCUUGUGGUGACAAGAUAAUCGGAAUAUAGCCCUUGUGGUAAAAAAAUUAGGAUUUAAACCCUCGUGGUAUUAGUCCGUUAGCAAAUUUAGUCCAAAAGUAAUUUUUCCAUUAAAUGUCAAUUAAAUUUAGCGAUAAAAAUGUACAUUAAAAUCAAGUGAUGGAAGCUCAAUAAAAUCAUAUCCAAUUCAAUUCAAAUCCGAUGUAUUCAUGCCAUGCAAUCAAAGAUCAAUGCCUUCUUCAAACCCUCUUCUUCUUCUUCACCCAAACCAGCUGCCCCACCUCCGCUUGUUAACGAUGGAAACGACACUUCAAAGUCUUUGUUUUUAUUUUACAUUGUAAAAGUAAACUUGUAUUCCUCACCAACACAAAGACAAAGAGGCUUGCCAUAAAAUAAUAAUGGCUAGGUUGUAUAUUGGCUACAUAUAUUUAUGAAUCCAAUGAUGAACAUAAUUUAGUCACAAAUUGGACGCCUGGGAAAAGACGCAGCACCAACACUACCACUCCUGCAAGCGAAGAGCUCCAAGCCCGCAAAGGUUUUUUUUUUUUUUUGUUCUGGGAAUUGAUUUAAUUUCUACUGUUUGCGUGCUAAGAAACUAUAUAUCAAUUUUUUUUUUCUCUGGGUUCUUGAAUCUACAAGGACAAAAAUAAGAAAGAAAAUACAUUCAUUUAAUGCAACUAGGAAUUGUAACAGAGAGCAAUAGUGUUUCGAACGCUGUAUGUUUGAUCCCGUGGAGUGUAUGUAACAGAGAGACCAGAGAGGCAAGGAAGAAGAAGGUGCACAAGUUAAAGUACAUGUUUACCCUUUAAUUAACAAACAUUUAACAAAAAAAAAUUGGGUAAAAGAUUGUUUACUACCCUCAUAUUUUGUGGUUUUCAACAUUUAGUACAAAAAGUUUUUUUCGUCUCAGAUUCAUACCUAAAGUGUAAAUUUUGGGACAGUCUCAUACAUCUGUUAGUCAAACUGUUAAAUAUACCGUUAAUUGUGAUGUGGAGCCCAUGUGGACAAUGACUGGGCGCCACGUGUCAUCCACGUUUUUUUCUUUCUUUCUUCUUCCUUCUUCUUCUUCCUCCGACUGCAACUUUUUUUUUUCUUCCUCCUUCUCCUUCUUCCUUCCUCCUUCUUCCUUCCCCUUCCUUCCCAUUCUUCCUUCUUCUUCCUUCUCCUUCUCCUUCUUCUUCUUCUUCCUCCGGAAGUUUUUUUUCUUCUUCUUCUUCUCCUUCUCCUUCUUCUUCUUCUUCCUCUGGAAGUUUUUUUCUUCUUCUUCUUCUUCUUCUUCUUCUUCUUCUUCUUCUCCUUCCUCUUUCUUCCUUCCUCUUCUUCUUCUUCUUCGUCUUCUUCUUCUUCUUCUUCUUCUUCUUCUUCUUCUUCUUCCUCUGAAUCUGCCCAGAUUCAAUUUUUUUUUCUUGUUCUUCUUCUUUCUUCUUCCUCCUUCUUCCUCCUUCUUUUUCCUUCUUCUUCUUCUUCUUCCUCCGACUAUAACUUUUUUUUUUCUUCUUCCACCUCCUUCUUCCUUCCCCUUCUUCCUUCUUCUUCUUCUUCCUCAUCCGAAUCUGGGGAAGAUGAAGUUUUUUUUUUUUUUUUUGAGGAAGAUGAAGAAGAAGAAAAGGAAGAAGAAAAAAAAAAGUUGCAGUCGGAGGAAGAAGGAGAAAGAAAAAAAAAACUAAAUCUAGGCAGAUUCGGAGGAAGAGGAAGAAGAAGAAGAGGAAGGAAGGAGGAAGGAGAAGGAAGAAGGAGGUAGAAGAAAAAAAAAAAAAAAACUUCCCUAGAUUCAGAGGAAGAAGAAGAAGAAGAAGGAGAAGAGAAGAAGGAAGAAGGGGAAGAAGGGGAAGGAAGAAGGAGGAAGGAAGAAAGAGAAGGAGGAAGGAAAAAAAAGGUUGCAGUCGAAGGAAGAAGAAGAAGAAGAAGGAAGAAGGAAGAAAAAAGAAGAAAAAAAAAAUGUGGAUGACACGUGGUGCCCAGUCAUUGUCCACAUGGGCGCCACGUCACAAUUAACGACAGAUUUAACAGUUUGACUAACGGAUGUAUGAGACUGUCCCAAAAUUUACACUUUAGGUAUGAAUCUGAGACGAAAAAAACUUGAUGUACUAAAUGUUGAAAACCACGAAACAUGAGUGUGGUAAACAAUCUUUUACCCAAAAAAAUUACUUUUGGACUAAAUUUGCUAAUGGACUAGCACCACGAGGGUUUAAAUCCUAAUUUUUUUACCACGAGGGCUAUCUUCCGAUUACCUUGUCACCACAAGGACCAUUUAUCUUAUUAGGCCUAAAAAUUAUAUUUGGCCCAAGGGUUGGAGCAAGUUUGAGUAGGUUUAGAACCAUAAAUUUGAGUUUUACUUUAAGGGUUAGAUUAGGUCUCAGAACCCACAAACUCUUUGAACGCUCUUUAUAGAAAAACUUUUCCAAACGAGCUCUAAUUAUGUAAAUACUUUGUGGAGAACCACUUAAUAGGUGUUUUCUCAUGAAUUUCUUUCAAGUGGAUUCUUAUUUAUUAUUUGAGUUAUAAUGAUUUUUUUUUUUAAAUUUUAAUAUCUUGUAGAAGCAAUUGGUUUUUUAAAUGUUUUAUAUGCUUCUAAUAAAUAGACUGUUGCCACUUAAUUUUUAAUAGGGUCAAAUGCUAUUUAUCUCUACUUAUAAGUAGUAUGUUUCAAGUUCAAAUCUCGUAGAUAAUGAGUUCAAACUAAAUUAUUAUGGCAGACUCAUUGUGUGAUUUGGUUCAAAUCUCGUAUUCCUUAUUAAAAUAUAUAAUUAUUUUAAAACAUAAUAAUAAAUGUAUUACUACUGAAUGUUUACUUACUUGGAGUUGGAGAAACAACAAAUGGGCGUGGGAAAAACAUGGUCAUCCCAAAAAUGAUGUGAAUGAGAAUCAGACCCAUUAUUAUUAUGUUUUUUUUAAGAAAGUAUGAUAUUCAUUAAAACAGCUGAGAAUACGUAUAAAUUGAGCAUAAUGUGCAUACUAGGCCUCGAUAAAAACCUUGUCAGGGAUUUCAACCUAAACUAAGAAAAAAAGCGUCCCGCACAACAAUAGACCUAUCCUCAAAUGAACAAUCAAAUGGAAAUUACAACCCUUCUUCAAAUGAACAAUCAAAUGGAAAUUACAACCCUUCUUCAAAUAAAAUGUCCUGAAUCAAAUCUGAAGGCUCCUCGAACCACACCACCUCCUGAGAAGCCCCAAGGCCCAUACAAGCUAGACGAUGCGUGAUAUGAGCAUAUUUAUGCGACUGAGUUAGCUUGUUCUCAUGCAUUUAUGUUGUUAUUUCUUAGUUAAUUAUGUAUUUUAAGCUAUUUUCGUGUGUUUGUAGGUGCAAAGGGUUAAUGUGGCAAAGAAGUGCAUUUUGGAGCAUUUUGGAGCAUUUUUGGGCAUGGAAUGGAUAGCUUAUGCUUGGAGCAAAAGGAAUGGACGAAAUUUGAAGUUUGUGCAUCAUCCUCUCCCUAUAAAUAACCAUUUUAGCACACUCAUUUCACCCAACACAUUCACCUACCACUACAUACACUCAUUUCACCUAAUACAUCCACUCAUUACAACCACCCAACACAUUCACCUACCACUACAUCCACUCAUUUCACCCAACACAUUCACCUACCACUACAUCUACUCAUUACCACCACCUACUACAUCCUCUUCCUAGCCUAUAAAUACAUUCAUCCACCCUUCAUCAAAAGAGAGAGAUAGGCCAUCAUCCAAAGACACUACAUUUCACAUCUCACAACUCUCCACCCUUCACCAUAACUCACAUAUAUCCAUCCACCACCACAAGAGACCAUUCAUUCACCACUCACACCUUGGUGCCGCAUAUUUGCAAGGAAGGAGGAUUGCUUGGAGUUGUGCUAGUCAUUCAAUUUGGAUUGCUGGAGCAUUUUAGGUGUAUUCUACUUUGGUUUUCAAUGUCUAAUUUCAAUUGUUUCUGUUUAAUUGCAAGUAUGAGGAACUAAACCUCUUUUGGCUAGAGGAGAAUUCGAAACCAUGAAUAUAUUUGCAAUAUGAAUUGAUUUCUUCCAAUUGUGAUUUGAUAAGUUGUGAUUGCAAUUCAAUUAUCUAUUUUAUUCAUAACAGAUUUGUGUAUGUUUAUUAAGGAUGCAUACUUAGUUUUCAUGCAUGAAUUUGAUGCUAGGAUAUAAAUAAGUUUCACCUAAUCGUUACAAGUUUAUAUUCAUGAGUAGUGAAGGUUGCUUGUCACGAUCGCGUUAAUUGAAUUCUUGGCAAACGUAUCAUGCAUUCAUAGUUACAAUUGUCUCGUCAACGCUUAUGAUUUUCAUGGAACGUAAUGAUCUUUAAUUGUAUCUCUAUUAUGCAUUCAUAUAGGGGACUUUUAGAGAAUGAUUUGGGUUGUCGCAUGCAUUCAUCCAAUUCAAUGAGUAAAGGAAAAUCUGAGGGUUAAUUUGUGCAUCACGGCUAAUCUGGGGUGUUGAGCAUCAUAGUUUAUUGAAAAGCAAUUGGAGAUUGAUUUGUAUGCAAGUGUGUCAUGUGUGGAGAAAGACCUUCUAGCCAGCCCAUCAUCCAUCCAAAACAACCAAUUUUGUGCAAAUCUGUUUAGUUCUAAUUUCUGUUUUGUUUUACUUUAUUUUCGUCCAAAACACAAUUCCCCUUUACUUUAGUAUAUCUAAUUAGUUAGAAUCUGUUUUAGUUUGUGUUUUUAAGUGUUUUGAGUCUAUAAAGUCUAGUUAAGUGUUUUUAAGUUUCUUUUUAUAAGUCAAUUUAGUUUAGAUUAGCAAUCCCUCCUAAUCCCCGGUCCAGAACGAUCCCUACUUAUACAUAUACUACAAUUGUCAAAAGAGGGUUUAAUUUGAGUGCUUAACUUUCAUCGCAUCAAAUUUUGGCGCCGUUGCCGGAGAUUAGCAACUUUGCUAAUCCCCCAUUGUUUCUUUUUAUUUCUUUUUCGUGUCUUUUGUUUUAGUUACUGACUUUGUUUCUUUUCUUGUCUUUUGUUUUUAGUUUUUGUUUUUGUUUUGUUUUGUUUUGUUUAUUUUACUUUUGAUAUUUGAUUUAGUUUUCUUUCCUUGAUUUCAGAUACAAGAGAAGUAAGACAUGGAUUUUGCUACCAUUCAAGCUCAAUUGGCAGAACUUACUUCUCAAUUGUCACAAUAUGCUGAAAGGACCACAAUGCAAAGUGUCCCUACAUGUGGUGUGUCCUAUGGGCAAGGAUAUCCAAUUCAGCAAUAUUCUCAAUUCACUGCGAAUGAAGAUGCUUGGGGUUAUCAAGGCCAUAGCCAAUCAUGGGAAAGCAUGUUUUCCAACGCUUACAAUUCAGAUUGGAGAGAUUAUUCAGAUUACAUAGAACCUCAACAAUUCCAACAAGAUGGAUAUUGGCAACAAGAAAAGGAGUUCCAUUCAAGACCUAUGCAGCCAUCACAACCUCAUAUACAAUAUGCUCAAUCAAACUCAGGUUCGUCAAUAGAUUAUGAUCGAAUUUUUGAUGGAAUAAAUUCUAUGGUGCAGGGCUCACAAAAUCAAAUCAAGGAGGCUCAACAAGAUGGAUAUUGGCAGCAAUCUGAUGAGUUUUAUUUAACACCUAUGCAGCCACCACAGCUUCCCUACAACAAUUCCAAUCAAAUUCAAGUAUGUCCACGGAUAGUGAUCAAAUUUUUCAAUUACUAACCUCUUUGGUGCAGGGGCAGCAAAAUCAAAAUGAAACAAUGCUCAAUCAAGCUAAGGAGAUGAGUUAAUUGAAAAAUCAACUUGGAGAGAUUAUGGAGUUCACGGCACAAAUUCAAGAGCAAAGUGAACUCUCCAACUCAACUAUUGAAAAUUUGAAGGAAGAUUUUGAAAUCCAUGAUGCUAUCACUUUGGGAAGUGCUAUGGAGGUUGAAGGUGAACCCAAGACAUCCAAACCAAGCCAAAACAUGGAUAAACAGCUGAUGCUCGAAGAAGAGGAGAAUAACAAGGCCACGGUAAGGGAAGAACCACCCUUACCGCAGCCCCAUAUGCCCUCUAUGCCGUCCACUACAAACAAGGUAGGCCUAAAUUCAAUUCGUCUUGACCCCGUUUCACCAAAUGUCCUUAUUCCUUGCAGGAUCAAGCAAUCCAAGGAAAAAAAGGGUGAGAAAGGUAUCUUCGAAACCUUUCCAAAGAAUCAAGAGCAAGAAGUAGAUGGGGAAUGUCUAGAAUUCAUCAAAGAGGAUGUGCUUGAGAUAACCAUUCCUAAAGAAGUUGAAUUUUAUGACACGGGACAAGUCCCAACCAUCACAUUCAAUCUGGCCAAGUCAAAUAUCCCUGAAACUUUCAAAAAAGUGGUGUUUGUCAUUAAGUUCUUGUCGGACAAAGCAAGUAAGUCAUCUUCUCCAAUUUUACAUACGUUUUCCACUAACUUGCUGAUUUUGAUGAUUCAGGCACCCACACUAGAAUUUACACCAUUGCCGGAUCACUUCAAGUAUCACCUUCCAUUCGAAGAUCACUUCUAUGGAACCUAGGGGAAUGUGACGGGAGGUAUCGUCCGGCUGCAAGACGUUAAAGAAAGCGCUUCUUGGGAGGCAACCCAUGUAUUCAAAAAAGGAAGAUCUAUGAAUCGCUCUACAAUCAGUUUUGCGUUUCUAAAAACCUUCCCUUUUCUGCAUUUCUAUUUUGCCAUGAUUGUCAUUUUUUAUUUUUGUUGUUUAUUUAAUUAUUUUUGGGUGUGGGUUUAUUUUUUGAAACAUUGAUAGAUAUGCAAGAUAUUCUUACAUUCAUUUUCAUGAAAAAAAAAGAACAUUAAGCAGGAAAUUACAAGAGGGAGCCUUCACAAAGGCUGCUUAGGAGAAAUCUCAGUAGUCGGCGGAGCCUCAGCAGUCGGCGGAGCCCCAAAAGAAGAAGGCAACGGAGGUUGAUCAUUUGGAGCUUCAGUACGCGGUGCAGCCCCAGAAGACUAAGGCAAAUGCUGUUGGAACAAACCCACAAACCUCCGAUGAUCAAGUAAAAUCUGACCAUCAGAUUCCUGCAUCUGAUCAAUUUUCCUCUUCAUAUUUGUGGCAUAGUUGUGUGCGAGCUUGUGCAACUGUUUAUUCUCAUGCUUGAGCCCUUUGAUCUCUUGUUUGAGACUCAUCACUUCAGCCGCCAACGAUUCAACUUGACGGGUUCGAGCAAAUAGGCGUUGGGCCAUGUUGGACACAGAACCCGCACACUGCACACUAAGAGCCAGAGACUCCUUAACAGCCAACUCAUCAGACCGUCUGGAAAGCAGUCUGUUAUCUUUAGGAGUGACAAGGUUCCGGGCCACCACGGCAGCGGUCAUGUCAUUCUUCAACACCGAAUCCCCAACGGUAAGAGGACCAGUAGGGGAUAUGAUGGAUGGGCGCCAUAUGUUGUCUGGAGAAGGCGGGACUGCCUCUUCACCAAGGUUUAAGUCAAAACAACAGUUGGAUGGGCCAGACAUUUUCACAGGUGCUAAAGAAAGAAAAGGCCGGACAAGUCAAGAUCGUAAAAGUGCAAUAAUAGAGUUUUUACAGGCAGAAAUUCAAGUGUGCUUUGAACGUUCUGCGUACCUCUAUAAAUAAGCACUCGAUGGGAUUUCAGAGAUCGAAGAGGCGAGCUCAGAAAUCGAAAAGGCCAACUAAAAAAAGAGGCGCUAGCUUUCUCAAAAGCUGAGCUUGCUCAGAAACCACGGCCAAUCUUCUUUUCCAGAUUUGUCCGCACUUGUCACAAGCAACUCGACGGGAUUUCAAAGAUCAAAGAGGCAAUUCCAAAUAUCGGAAAGGCAUCUGCUUUUGCAGACGUGCCAACAUUUGUCACAUGCAGAGUAAGCUUUGCAAAAAUCACGGGCAGUUUGUCGAAGCGCCGAUUCCAACCAUCUGAUUUUGCAGACGUGUCAACAUCUGUCACAUGCAGAGUAAGCUUUGCGGAAAUCACGGGCAGUUUGUCGAAGCGCUGAUUCCAACCAUCUGCUUUUCCCAACGUGUCAACAUCUAUCACUUGCAAAGUUAGCUUUACGGAAAUUACGGGCAAUCUAUCGAAGAUCUCCUGUGAAGUAGAAAGCACGUGAAGUUUACUAUUAAAUCAUCCAACGGUUGCUGAUAAGAGUGAAAGAAUAGUACCGGUUAUUAAUUCCUAUAAAUGUCAUCCUUCACCCUCAAUUGCAAGGUAGACAUACAUAACCCCCCUUCUUCUCAGAAAAUGCCUUUCCAACACACCUUCUCGAGUCACUCAGUGUUCCUAAUUCCUUGGGGUACCUCUGCAAAAGUAUUUCAUAUCAUGAAGGUUGAAAGCAAGAGUAUCUCAUAUCAUGCUUUCUCCCUGUCCUUCUCCUUGUCUUUGUUUUAGGACAAGGAGCAAGAGAGCAAUCAGCCAGCACUUGGUAUCAAUCUUCCGAUCUGGAACCGACUGCCUGGAACCCCUUCCUAAUUGCUUACCUAGCCUUGCUCUCGAGUACUCAUCUUCAUCAUCUUAUGCUUCUUCUUCGUCUACCACAUCUGCCUGGGGAACAGAUAAGGGAAGUGAAAAUGAUACCUCGAAGCAUGUGGAGACAAUUUACCAAUUCAUCCUCAGCUAGGGACAAGGAGAAACAAAGCAAGAGGUGGGCACUUGGAAAGAUUGAAGAAAGAAACAGACCAACAUCUCUACCUCGUGCCUGCCUGCCGUGCAGAAGAAACAAGCAGAGAGGAAUGCAUACUGCACAAUCAAAUCAGGGAACUCUCAUAUUCCUCGCUCAGAAUUCCAAACCAAUUCAAGAUCAACGCUGUGGAAAGUCAACAAGAUCAUCUAUCUCCAAAACCAGAUUUGCGUUCUUAAACUCUACUCUGUUUGGUUUUUACUUUGCUAUACUUGUCAUGUUUAUUCGUCGUUUGUUUGUUUACUUGUUUUUGUGCGAGUUUAUGCUUAAAACAUUGAGGACAAUGUUUGAUUUAAGUGUGGGGGAGUAACUAUUGUUUUGCAUGAAAUUCGUAGGAAUUUAUCACCCAUUACUUCUAGUGUUGUUCCUUGCUGUUUUUUUUAAGUGUUUUUAAGCUGUUUUGGAGUGUUUUAGUGUGUUUUGAUAUAAAAAUCCGAAAAUCUCAUAAAAAUUUGAAAAAUUGUUUUGAAAAACCCAAAAAAGAGUCAUUUUUGUGUGUUUAUUUGUGUCUUAGGGUACCUUCCAACACAAUAAUGAGGAUUUAGUUUUUAAUUACAUGACUGUUAAAGAGAGUUAUAAACAUGGAUGAAAAUUUGAUUUACUCUUUGGUGUAUGCUUGGUUGUGGUUAUAAUUUAUGAAUUCACAUGCAAUCAUAAAGGAAAAAUCAGUUUUUGUAAACAUGCUUGAAGGAAGGAACUCAAAUGAACGCUACAACCUUGUGAGACUUGAGCCUAAACGUUUAUUUGGAGAGUUAAUAAUCUGUGCAUCAUUGUUUUCUAAAGUCGUUGCAUGAUCUCAUUAUUCUUUGCUUGGUUGCUACUUAGAAGGCGUUUCAUCAUUUAGUUCCAAAUGCUAGAACUCAUGCCUAUUUCAUUCAAAGCAUGCUAUUGAUUUGCAUAACACAUAUUCAAGAUGAAGUUGUGUAGUGACCACCAAAGCCAAAUUGUCGUGCCCCUAUUUCAUUAUGUGUUUAAGUUUAACCCCGUUGAGCCUUGUUAAGCCUAUGUUCUUUGUUAAUCCACACUAUCCUUACCUAGCCUAGUUUUAGGAUCAUCCAUACCCUUGUUCUUGAAGCAUAGUAAAGCAUGACUUAAAAUGAACUUUUUUUUUUUAUCAAUGCAUUGCAGAAAGCAAGUGUGGGGGAAGUGAUUCUUGUGUGUGUGUGUGUGUGUGCCAAAGUCCUUAAUAAGGCACGGGUAGAAAAGAAAAAAAAAAGUGAAAAGAAAAAAAAAGUUUGUUAAAAAAAGGUCUAAAACAUUGAAUUCGGCCCUAAGUGUUGCAUAAAUCUUCCCUUUGUAUUUAAAAGUUGAUUCUGCAUUCUAAAGUGAAUUCCAAGUGUCUAUUUCAUUGCUUUGCUUGCUAUCGCUUUAAGAACGUUUGUUAUUCCUAUCCUUUCUUUGUUAGCCAUUACCCCCAAGCCCUGUUACAACCCUUGACUUCAAUCUUGAGUGUUGUGUGUUUCAAUUUGUGGAGUUCGAAAUUGGUAUGAGCAUAUGGUGUCACUGGUUCUCGCAUCUAAGUAGUAGCAUUCCAUUCAUGAGAUCAUAUCUAAACAUGCUUAAUAACUCCAGAAAAUUGCUUUCUUUGUUAUAACAUAUGUGAGUCCUAGUCUUUCGUGUUUACAUUAAUCUUCUCACAUAUACUAGUGUAGGGUGUGUAGUCAGAAAAUGUGUGUGAAAAUAGAGAGUAAUCUUGUAAGGAAUUGAGCAAAUUCUCUAAGGCAUGUUACUACAUUCAAAACAUUCGUUUUAAUUAGUUAAUUGUGAACUAGUAAGUGGUGACUGUGAUUAAGUAUGUGCUCAAGUGUAAAGAUGACUAAAAUCUGUGGGAAUGAUGAUUUUUAACAUGUCAUGUUUCAUUAAAAAUCCCUGAGGCAAAUGUUGGAAGGUCUAGGUUGUGUUUUGUUUGUUUCGUUUGUUUUGUUUUGCUUGAGGACUAGCAAAAGCUAAGUGUGGGGGAAUUUGAUAGGAGCAUAUUUAUGCGACUGAGUUAGCUUGUUCUCAUGCAUUUAUGUUGUUAUUUCUUAGUUAAUUAUGUAUUUUAAGCUAUUUUCGUGUGUUUGUAGGUCCAAAGGGUUAAUGUGGCAAAGAAGUGCAUUUUGGAGCAUUUUUUAUGCUUGGAGAAAAAGGAAUGGACGAAAUUUGAAGUUUGUGCAUCAUCCUCUCCCUAUAAAUAACCAUUUUAGCACACUCAUUUCACCCAACACAUUCACCUACCACUACAUACACUCAUUUCACCUAAUACAUCCACUCAUUACAACCACCCAACACAUUCACCUACCACUACAUACACUCAUUUCACCUAAUACAUCCACUCAUUACAACCACCCAACACAUUCACCUACCACUACAUCCACUCAUUUCACCCAACACAUUCACCUACCACUACAUCUACUCAUUACCACCACCUACUACAUCCUCUUCCUAGCUUAUAAAUACAUUCAUCCACCCUUCAUCAAAGGAGAGAGAUAGGCCAUCAUCCAAAGACACUACAUUUCACAUCUCACAACUCGCCACCCUUCACCAUAACUCACAUAUAUCCAUCCACCAUCACAAGAGACCAUCCAUUCACCACUCACACCUUGGUGCCGCAUAUUUGCAAGGAAGGAGGAUUGCUUGGAGUUGUGCUAGUCAUUCAAUUUGGAUUGCUGGAGCAUUCUAGGUGUAUUCUACUUUGGUUUUCAAUGUCUAAUUUCAAUUGUUUCUGUUUAAUUGCAAGUAUGAGGAACUAAACCUCUUUUGGCUAGAGGAGAAUUCGAAACCAUGAAUAUAUUUGCAAUAUGAAUUGAUUUCUUCCAAUUGUGAUUUGAUAAGUUGUGAUUGCAAUUCAAUUAUCUAUUUUAUUCAUAACAGAUUUGUGUAUGUUUAUUAAGGAUGCAUACUUAGUUUUCAUGCAUGAAUUUGAUGCUAGGAUAUAAAUAAGUUUCACCUAAUCGUUACAAGUUUAUAUUCAUGAGUAGUGAAGGUUGCUUGUCACGAUCGCGUUAAUUGAAUUCUUGGCAAACGUAUCAUGCAUUCAUAGUUACAAUUGCCUCGUCAACGCUUAUGAUUUUCAUGGAACGUAAUGAUCUUUAAUUGUAUCUCUAUUAUGCAUUCAUAUAGGGGACUUUUAGAGAAUGAUUUGGGUUGUCGCAUGCAUUCAUCCAAUUCAAUGAGUAAAGGAAAAUCUGAGGGUUAAUUUGUGCAUCACGGUUAAUCUGGGGUGUUGAGCAUCAUAGUUUAUUGAAAAGCAAUUGGAGAUUGAUUUGUAUGCAAGUGUGUCAUGUGUGGAGAAAAACCUUCUAGCCAGCCCAUCAUCCAUCCAAAACAACCAAUUUCGUGCAAAUCUAUUUAGUUCUAAUUUCUGUUUUGUUUUACUUUAUUUUCGUCCAAAACCCAAUCCCCCUUUACUUUAGUAUAUCUAAUUAGUUAGAAUCUGUUUUAGUUUGUGUUUUUAAGUGUUUUGAGUCUAUAGAGUCUAGUUAAGUGUUUUUAAGUUUCUUUUUAUAAGUCAAUUUAGUUUAGAUUAGCAAUCCCUCCUAAUGCCCGGUCCAGAACGAUCCCUACUUAUACAUAUACUACAAUUGUCAAAAGAGGGUUUAAUUUGAGUGCUUAACUUUCCUCGCAUCAAUGCGCCGGCGCAUUACCUUCCCUAUGUACAUGGCUACACUCCGAAUUCGGCAAGCCUAGGAGGAAGAAUCUCAAAUUGUUUAUAAUAGAACCCUAGACAGAGUAAUCAUCCCCUUGUCCUUUCAUGGCAGUUAUGACCACGCUAAAGUCUCCUUCAAAUUUAACCUUCACAUCAUCUGGAAAACUAUUAUUAACUAGCCCCAACACACAACGAGUUGCAACUAACUUCAAGUGCAUAGCACAGACCGAUCAAAGGGUCCAGCAAGAGUUGCCAGGAAUUCACCCAUGUGGCCCCGAAUGAUGAUCCCAUAGCCUCCCCACCCCCCACAAACUCCAUCGUGACUCCAAGCACCAUGAAAAUUACAUUUGAUCCAUCCCUCAUCGGGUUUCCUCCAAUUCUGAACCUCCAUAGUAACCUUCCGAGCCUCAAGCUUAUGCCAUUUAUGAAACUCAUGCAUCCAUCCUUCAGAUAUCAGAUAUCUGCAUAAUCUCCUAUGGCGGCAGCCUCAACCCGUUCCAUAGGACAUCAUUCCCAAGUUUCCAUAAUGCCCAUAACAACAUCAAACAAAGCUCGAACUUUGAAACCACACCGCCCUCGCCAAGCUACAAUCUCUAAACACAUGCUCCAUUGAUUCGUCAUGCACACCACAAACCACACACACCUCUUCACCCAUCACUCUCCUUUUGCUAAGGUUCAAAUGUGUGGACAGAGAAUCCAAACAUGGCUGCCAAGCACCAAUUUUUACCUUUCCCGGGACAUUUUCAUUCCAAAGUUUCUUCCAAAACUACUCCCCCACACCACUAAAGGAGGAUGACGAGCCAACUACAUCAUUGCCGUGACUUUCUAUUAUUCCCCGAGCCACCUGGUAAACGCUCCGAACUGAGAACUUCCUGCUUCGCUCAUAAUGCCAGAUUCUCCUGUCUUUGACAUCCCGUACGCUAAGCGGAAUGCUUUGAAUUGCCUCCACCUCCUCAGCAAAGAAAAUAUCAUUUCACAACUGCACAUUCCAUUGCUUCCUUCAACAUGAUAUAGAGAAUAAUGCCCAUAUUAAAUAUAAAAAAAAAAGGCAAAAGACUGUUUACUACCCUCAUGUUUCCUGGUUUUCAACAUUUAGUACAUCAAGUUUUUUCAUCCCAAAGUCAUACCUAAAGUGUAAAUUUUGGGAUAGUCACAUACAUCCGUUAAUCAAACUAUUAAGUCUCCCGUUAACUAUGACGUGGCGCCUAUGUGGACAAUGAUUGGGCGCCACGUAUCAUCCACGUCUCAUUAAAAAUUUAAAAUAAUUAAUUAAAUAAAAUAAAAUAAAACCAAAUCCCCACCCGUGCCCACUCACCUAUCUUCCACCUCCCUUCCUUCUUCCCUCUACAACACCCUUUUCGGCUCCCCCUUUUCUCUCCCCCAUUUUUAUCCCCGCUUCUCCACAAUCACCACCUCCUCCAUCAUUCCUCUCCUAACCCCACCCCCUAUUCCUCCUCCUUAUCCUGCACCCCGUACACAAAUCCCAUUUCACCAAAUCCAAUUGAUUUUACAACCACCUAAUUUCCCAAAAUUUCAAAUUGAAUCAAAAAAAUAAAUAAACAAUUAAAUUUUUUGAGUUGUUUGAGCUGCUUUAAUGGCUUUGUCGGAAAACAUGGCAAGCAUGAUGGCGUUGGCUUUCCAACCUAACACCUUACCUACUAUUAGAUCUUUGACGCCUUUGCCUUCUCCCUCCCUUCUCGGCCUCCACUACAAAUCCAACCCUCUCCCUCCCUCAACCCACAACCCACUCAAUUUAAAAAAAUAAAAAAUAAAAAAAAUAAAAAAAGUUUAUGGGCACCCUACAUCCCUUCUCUUCCCUAAAUCCACGGCGACGGCUGCACCGCGAGCUGAGGAAGUUCCAGACCCUCGCGGUCUGCUACGUCGAACGAUUGCUCCGAUUCAGGUCAUGGUGAUGAAGAUGAAUGAUGAAAUGACGUCGCACUCUGAAAUCGUACGGCUCGGAUUUGGUCAUGGCGAUGAAAACGAAGGACGAAACGACGUCGUUGUUCUUCACGACGUUGUUGGAGUACAUUAAGAGCUCGAAGAAGAGCCAGGAUUUCGAGAUCCUGUCAGGUCGGCUGGCGAUGGUGGUUUUCACAGCGACGGUGUCGGUGGUCCCGUGGAGGUGGUGACUGGUAGGGGUGAGUGCAGAGAAAGUGGGGAGAAUAAGGGAUGGGGUUGGUAAGGGUGAAUGCAGAGGAGGGGAAUGGAUGGGUGUGCGGGGAAAAGAAGGGAGGGAGAAUGAGGGAGAAGAAAGAAUGGGGUCGGGAGGUGGGGAAAGGAUGGAUGUGCAGAGGUUGGGUAGGUGCUGAGAAGAGAAGAGAGAGAGAAGGAAGGGGGUCAGGGUGGGGAAGACGAUAGGGUUCUAGGUUUUUUUUUAAUAUUUAAUUGAUUAUUUUAAUAUUUUUAAUGACACGUGGUGCCCAAUCAUUGUCUACAUGGGCGCCACGUUAUCACUUAACAAGAGAAUUAACAGUUUGACUAACAGAUGUAUGAGACUGUCCCAAAAUUAACACUUUAGGUAUGACUCUAGGAUGAAAAAAACUUCAUGUACUAAAUGUUGAAAACCAUGAAACUUCAGGGUAGCAAAUAAAGUUUAACCCUAAAAUGAUUAUUUAUUAGAAGACUCAAAAUCGUUGACCAAAAGAAAAUAUCUCCAAACUGAUGGAAAUAAUUAAACAAAUUGGUCAUUAAAUAUCUACAAAUGUACAUCUUCAUAUUUUUUUAAAUACAUUCAAUAUUAUUUAUACUAGGAGAUGAGAGAGUGGGUCAUAAUAUGAUAGUUAUAAUCCUUUGGUACGAAUUCGUCUUUAGUAAGAAUCAAAUCUGGAUCUCUCACUUCCAUGGAAAAAAUAAAUAUUACUAGAUUGUAGUACUAAGUGACAAAAAUUUGAAAUAAGAAUAAUAAGAUAUUUUGUACUUUAAACCUAGGCCUGGUAAUUCCUGACACGACCCGAUAACUCGACACGACACGACACGACACGAAAUUAACAGGUGUUUGGGUCGACACGAUACGAAUCGAGUCGUUAUCGGGUAACCUGAUAAGCACCUGUUAAGAUAACAGGUUGGUUCGGGUAUACACGUGGGUAACACGAUACACGAUAAGCAAAAUAUUAAUUUUAUAAUUUUAUAACCCUACAAAAAUACUAUAAUAAUUAUAUAUAUUAAUUUAACAAAAACUAUAACAAUUAUAUAUUUAUAUAAUUAAAUAUUAAAAAUUGGUGACCAUUAGAUCGGCUUAAAUAUACAUACCAUUCAAUUUCUUAAGAGUUAUACGUACAAAAUAAAUAAAUUUAAAUCUACUAAAUAAAUAUAUAUAUAUAUAUAUAUAUAUAUAUAUACCAUUGAACUUGAUGGGAUACGAAUUCUACGAAACUAAUUUCAACUAUCCAACCGUCAAAUUUUUUUGUAUAUUCUUCGAGAUCACAUCAACAAAAAAUCGCAAAAAUCAAACAUUCAGAGAUCAAGUAACGGGACAAAACUUUUCGACGGUUAUCAACGAAAAAUCACGAUUUAACAGGUAUUUUCACUCCGAUUUCGAUGAUUUUUUAUAGCUACAAUCCUUGACCCUAUAUGAAUACAAUGAAUGAACUCGAUCUUCAAUUUAAAAUAUUUACACUAGUGGAUACCACAAAAUCUUAUGUUAUACUUAAUGAAAGUAUGAAUAAACUCUUCAGUGUUAGUGAUUCUAUUGUUUUUAUGGGAUACGCAUUCUACGAAACUAGCUUCAACGAUCCAACCACCAAACAUGUUUGUAUAUACUUCAAGAUCGCAUAUGCCAAAAAUUACAAAAAACAAAACAUUCAGAGAUCAAGUAACAAGACAAAACUUUUCGAUGGUUAUAAACGAAAAAUCACGAUUUAAUGGUUAUUUUAACUCCGAUUUUGAUGAUUUUUUACAGCUACACUCCUUUACCCUAUAUGAAUACAAUGAAUGAAUUCGAUCUUCAAUUUAAAUAUUUAAUCUAGUGGAUACCACAAAAUCUUAUGUUAUACUUAAAAAAAGUAUAAAUAAACUCUAAGUGUUAGUGAAUCUAUCGUUUUGAUGGGAUACGCAUUCUACCAAACAAAUUUCAAUGAUCUAACCGUCAAACUUGUUUGUAUAUGCUUCACGAUCACAUACGCCAAAAAUCGUAAAAAAACAAACAUUCAGAGAUCAAGUAACGGGACAAAACGUUUCGACAGUUAUCAACCAAAUAUCAUGAUUUAACGGUUAUUUUAACUCCGAUUUUGAUGAUUUUUUUACAGCUACACUCUUUGACCCUAUAUGAAUACAAUGAAUAAACUCAAUCUUCAAUUUAAAUAUUUACAUUAGUGGAUACCACAAAAUUUUAUGUUAUACUUCAUGAAAGUACGAAUAAACUCUUUAAGUGUUAGUGAAUCUAUCGUUUUGAUGAGAUAUGCAUUCUACGAAACUCAUUUCAACGAUCCAACCGUUAAACUUGUUUGUAUAUGCUUCGAGGUCGCAUAACCUAAAAAUUGCAAAAAAAAAAAACAUUUACAGAUCAAGUAACUGGACAAAACGUUUUGACGGUUAAUAAUGAAACAUCACGAUUUAACAGUUAUUUUAUCUCCAAUUUUGAUGAUUUUUUACAGCUACACUCCUUCACCGUAUAUGAAUACAAUGAAUGAAUUCGAUCUUCAAUUUAAAAUGUUUACACUAGUGGAUACCACAAAAUCUUAUGUUAUACUUAAUGAAAGUAUAAAUAAACUUUAAGUGUUAGUGAAUCUAUUGUUUUGAUGGGAUACGCAUUCUACCAAACUAAUUUCAACGAUCAAACCGUCAAACUUGUUUGUAUAUGCUUCAAAAUCACACACGCUAAAAAUCGCAAAAAACAAACAUUCAAAGAUCAACUAAUGGGACAAAACUUUUCUACGGUUAUCAACGAAAAAUCACGAUUUAACGGUUAUUUUAACUCCGAUUUUGAUGAUUUUUUACAGCUACACUCCUUGACCCUAUAUAAAUACAAUGAAUGAAUUCGAUCUUCAAUUUAAAACAUUUACUCUAGUGGAUAUCACAAAAUCUAAUUUUAUACUUAAUGAAAGUAUGAAUAAACUUUCAAAUGCUAGUGAAUCUAUCAUUUUGGGGUACGCAUUCUACUAAACUAAUUUCAACGAUCCAACCGUCAAACUUGUUUGUAUAUGCUUCAAGAUCGCAAACACUAAAAAUCGAAAAAACCAAACAUUCAAAGAUCAAGUAACGGGACAAAACUUUUCGACGGUUAUCAACAAAAAAUCAUGAUUUAACGGUUAUUUUAACUCCGAUUUUAAUGAUUUUUUACAGCUACACUCCUCGACCCUAUACAAAUACAAUGAAUGAACUCAAUCUUCAAUUUAAAAUAAUUACACUAGUGGAUACCACAAAAUCUUAUGUUAUACUUAAUGAAAGUAUGAAUGAACUCUUAAGUGUUAAUGAAUCUAUUAUUUUGAUGGGAUGCGCAUUCUACCAAACUAAUUUCAAAGAUCAAACCGUCAAACUUGUUUGUACAUGCUUCGAGAUCGCAUACACUAAAAAUCGCAAAAAAAACAAACAUUUAGAGAUCAAGUAACGGGACAAAACUUUUUUACGGUUAUCAACAAAAAAUCACGAUUUAACGGUUAUUUUAACUCCGAUUUUGACAAUUUUUUACAGCUACACUCCUUCACCCUAUAUGAAUACAGUGAAUGAACUCGAUCUUCAAUUUAAAAUAUUUACACUAGUGGGUAAUACAAAAUCUUAUGUCAUACUUAAUGAAAGUAUGAAUAAACUCUUAAGUGUUAGUGAUUCUAUUGUUUUGAUGGGAUACGCAUUCUAUGAAACUAGUUUCAAUGAUCCAACCGUCAAACAUGUAUGUAUAUACUUCGAGAUUGCAUACGCCAAAAAUUGCAAAAAACAAACAUUCAAAGAUCAAGUAACAGGACAAAACAUUUCGACGGUUAUCAACGAAAAAUCACGAUUUAACGGUUAUUUUAACUCCGAUUUUGAUGAUUUUUUACAGCUACUCUCCUUGACACUAUAUGAAUACAAUGAAUGAAUUCGAUCUUCAAUUUCAAAUAUUUACACUAGUGGAUAUUGCAAAAUCUUAUGUUAUACUUAAUGAAAUUAUAAAUAAACUCUUAGUGUUAAUGAAUCUAUCGUUUUGAUGGGAUACGCAUUCUAUGAAACAAAUUUCAACUAUCCAACCGUCAAACUUGUUUGUAUAUGCUUCAAUAUCAUGUACGCCAAAAAUCACAAAAAAACAAACAUUCAGAGAUCAAGUAAUGGGACAAAACUUUUCGACGGUUUUCAACAAAAAAUCACGAUUUAAAGGUUAUUUUAAUUCCGAUUUUGGUGAUUUUUUACAACUACACUCCUUGAGGAUUGCAAUGACAUACGGGCUAUCUUGCAUGAUUACGAAUAGGCUUCGGGUCAGGUAGUUAACUAUCGGAAGUAUGCCCACAAAGCCACUCAUUUGAUGUAAUAGCUUUUGGAAUACUUAUUGUGUUAAACUAUUAUAUGUUUAAUGAAGGGCAAGGCUUAUUGUUAAUCACUAUUUAUUGUAUUAUGUGUUUAAGCAAUAAGGGAAUCUAAGAAAUGUAUUUAAUCUAAGAGAGAAGUGAUCUAAGGAAGUUAGAUUAACGAGACCUUUCUCUUAUUUUCAUUCCUAAAAUGUUCCUAGCCAUAGGAUUGCCAAUUGGGCAUUGACAAUCCGCUAAGGUUAGUAUGUGUUAUGUUAACUCAAGCAUGAGUAUGACUAGUCUCAAGUCAUUUAGUGUUGGACACUGAGACAAACACGUAGGUGCUCAAAAGGUAAUCGAGUACAUUGAACAAUGAUCAAAAGAGAGUUCAAACAUACAUGUCAUGUAAGAACUCAUAAGUUGCAAUAUGCAAAUUAGUCCUUUGACAUGAGGCAUUAUAGAUGUCUAAUGGUUAGGUCAUUGAUCUUUGAUCAUGUCAAGGGCAUUCCAUCGAGAGUGUCCAUGACAUUGUUGGGGUUAAGCUGUCUAGUCAUGUAGGCAUAUGAGUGCACAACAAGGGAUCUCUAACCUUCCAUGGUGGAGGGAGAAUGCAUUCAGGAGUCUUUGGAUAAAGCAUACAAAUAUGACUUAGGAAGUUUGUUCCAAAUCAUAUUUAAUUGAAUCAUAUAGAGAAAUAUCAUAUUGAAUAGUAGACAUGAAUCAAACUAUCACUCAAACAAUGUGAUUAAGAGUAUUGUAUUAGAGAAGGAUCGUAUUGCAUUGUAAUUGUAACGGGAUAGGUUCUCCAACCACUUCUACUUGGCUUGGGUAGCCAUUACAUACUGCUAGGUGUCACUCAUGGUUUGUGGAAAGCCUAAAGAUUAGCAAACACUAAUCUUCAUCAAAGGGAGAAUUGAAAUGAAGUUUCAAUUCACAAUCGAUUGUGUAACAAUCGCCCACUGCCUCGCUAAUUGGAACCUAAUGUAUCGUACAUCGAGUAAGGAUGAAAGUGAAAAAAUAUAAAUGAGAUGCAUAAACAAUGAAAUGGUUUAAUUGAGAAUGGUCAAGAUUAAUUAAUUAGUUAAUUAAUUAUAUAAAAGGUUCGUAUUGGGCUUUCAAGUUAGUUUCGGGUCUUGGGGCCCAAAAGGGUUUCUUGGUCCAUAAGGCCCUUUGAGUUUAAGUUGUGUGACAACCAAAACUAAAUGGAAAAUAAACCAAAUACAAAGUUAAAACCGGCCAUAAGUUGAUUGGUAGCAAACUUGGGUUAAUUGCAAGUUUGCCAAUGAUGCGAAAAUUAACUUAACACUCAAAUUAACCCUCUUGUUGUCAAAUUGUAGUAUAAAUACAAGUAGAGAACGUUCUAAACCGGGGAUUAGGAGGGCUUGCUAAAACCUCUAAACUGACUCAAAAACAUAAAAGCAAAGUUAAAAACAUUAGAAUAAACUCAAAGGACUCAAAACAGGUUCACAAGACUCAAAACAACUUCAAAACACUCAAAACUGCCUAAAAACACCAACUAGGCAGUUUCUGACUCUAAACACAACUUUGGACGAAUUUAGAUUUAUGGCUUGACUCAAAACACUCAAAAACACAAACAAAACAUAUUCUAACUAAUUAGACACUCUAAAGUAAAGGGGGAUUGGGUUUUGGACGAAAAUAAAGUAAAAACAAAACAGAAACUAGAACUAGACAGAUUUGCACGAAAUUGGGGAUUUGAAUGGAUGAUUGGUUAGCUAGACUUCCUUCUCCACACAUAAUACACUUGCAUACAAAUUGAUGUUCAGUUGUUCUUUCGAUAAACCAUAAACCUCAAUGCCCCAGAUUAACCGUGAACUGCACUAAUUAACCCUCAAAUUUUCCUAGUUUCAUUUAAUUGGAUGAUUGCAUGCGACAACCCAAAUUAUUCCUCACAAGUUCCCUACAUGAAUUGCAUAAUAGAGAUACGAACAAGGUUCAUUAAGUUCUAUGAAAAUCAUAAGCAUUGACAAGGCACUUGUAACUAUGAAUUGCAUGAUAUUUAUGACAGGAAUUUACUUAACACGAUCGUGACUAGCAACCUCCACUACUUGUGAAUAUAAGUUCAUAACAAUUAGGUGAAACUCCCUUAUAUUUUAGCAUCAAAUUCAUGCAUGAAAACUAAGUGUCGACCCUCAAUCAACAUACAAGAAUAAUUAUCAAUCAGGCCGUUAAGUAAAUUGCAUUCAAGGUUUAUGAAAUCACAACUGAAAGUAAUCAAUUUAUAUUGCAAAUAUAUUCAUCGCUUUGAAUUCCCUCUAGCAAAAACGAGUUUAGCCACUCAUGUUCACAGAACAAAGAUUAUUAAACUUAAACAUUGAAAACAAAGAAUGAAAACGCCUAAAAACGCUUCAACAAUCCAAUCUUGAAUGGCAAGCACGUCCAAGGGUCUCCUUCCUUCUCCUUUUCUGCGGCACAAGGGUUGUGAGAAUGGAUGAGUGGUGAAUUAUGGUGGUGGAUGGAUGUAGGUGAAUUAUGGUGAAGGGUGGAUGGGUGGAUGAUGGAAUGUGUUGAUGGAUGUCCCCAAUGGUGCGGCAUAAGGGCUUUAUUUAUAGGAGGAGGAAAGGGCACGGUUUUGAAGUAGUUUUAGGGAAGGAUUUAGCUUUCCAAAUCCCCAAGAAAAGCUAACAGAAAUCAAUGAAUUUAGGAAAGGAAAAUAUUUGGCAAAUUCGAAGGAAAAGAGGUAAAUAAUUGUGGCAGAGAAGAGGAAAGGUGGAAUUUGGUGCGGCAUAGGUUUUAAGGAAAAGGAAAUGUGUUUUAGGACAUAAAAUAGGAAGGAGAACCUCUCCCUUGUGCGGCAAGGGAUGGAACAAAACAGGAAUGUGGUUUAGGUGCAGAAAAUAGGAAAGAAAGGUUGUGUCUUGUGCAAUAAGGAACAAGAAAUCAAAGGAGUGUUGCGGCAAUAUCUAGGGCAGGUUCUAGGACUUCUAGAAACAUGUAAUUGGGCAACCUAACAUGUUUUGAAACCCUUUUGUGGCUGGAACAUAGGUGAGGAAGGAUUAGGAAACUUCCAAGCCAAGAAUAGAAACUUCCAACUUUAGAAACUUUGGCUUCCAAUUCUGAACUCUUUGUUCUUCAUUUCUUUCAUCUCAUUAUUCAUUCCUAGCCUUCUUUGAUCUUCAAUUUCGUCCAUCUACUUAGCUCUUCCAUGCCCAAAACUGCUCCAAAAGGCUCCAAAAUGCAUUUUCUUGCUACUUUAGCCCUUUGGACCUAUAAACACACAAAAAUGGCUUGAAAUACUAAAUUAACUAAGAAAUAACAACAUAAUUGCACAAGAACAAGCUAACUAAGUCGCAUAAAUAUGCUCCUAUCAAAUUCCCCCACACUUAGAUUUUGCUAGCCCUCGAGCAAAACGAAACAAACAAAAUAAAACAAAGUAAAACCUAGACCUUCCAACAAUUGUCUUAGGGAUUUCCAAUGCAUAAGACAUGCUAAAACUCAUUACUUACACAGAUUUUAGUCAUCCUUACCCUCGAUCACAUACUUAAUCAUAGUCACCAUUCACUAGCUCGCAUUUAAUCCUUAAAACAACAUUUUGAAUGUAGUAACAUGCCUUAGAAAAUUCCCUCAAUUCCUUACUAGAUAUGCACUCAAUUUUCACUCAAAUUUUCUAACUACACACCCUACACUAGGUAUAUGUGAGAAGAUUGAUGUAAACAUGAAAACUAGUACUCACAUAUGCUAUAGCAAAGAAAGCACUUUUCUGGAAUUAUUAAUGCAUGUAUAUAUAUGAUCUCAUGAACGGAAUGCUACUACUUAGAAGCGAGAACCAGGAAUAUCAUAUGCUCAUACCAAUUCCAAACUCCACAUAUUGAAACACAUAACACUCAAGAUGGAAGUAAAGGGUUGUAACGGGGUUAAGGGUAAUGGCUAACAAAGAAAGGAUAGGGAUAACAAACGUUCUUAAAGAAAUAGUAAGCAAAGCAAUGAAAUCACACUUAGAAGUCUCUCUUGAAUGCAGCAAUCUAUUUUGAACAAAAAGGGAAGAUUUACACAUUUUAGGGCCAUAUUCAAUGUUUUGGAUCCUUUCUUCAACAAUAAACACUUUUGAACUCAUCUUACUCCUUUUCAAACUCUUUUUCUUUCUUUUCUUUCUUUUCACACGUUUUCUCAUCUUUUUCUUUUCUUUUCAAAUGCAAAACUUAAAAUUGAGCUUAAAACAACCAAUCCUUCCCCCACACUUGUUUUUUUGCAUAAUGUAGAUCAAAAGGAAUUCAUUUUAAGUCAUGCUUCACUAUCCUUUAAGAACAAGGGUUUGGACAGUCCUAUACUAGGCUAGGUAAGGAUAAUGUGGGUUAACAAAGAACAUAGGCUAAACAAGGCUCAAAGGGGGUUUAAUCCUACAUAACAUAAGGAAAUAGAGGGUACGGCUAUUUGGCUUUGGUGGUAACUAAACAACUUCAUCUUGAAUAUGUGUUAUGCAAACUCAAUAUCAUGCUUUGAAUGGAACGGGCAUGAGUUCUAGUAUUUGGAUCUAUAAUGAUGAAACGCAUUCUAAGUAGCAACCAAGCAAAGAAUAAUGAGAUCAUGCAACGACUUUAGAAAACAAGAAAUCACAUAUUAAUAACUCUCCAAAUAACGUUUAGGCUCAAGUCUCACAGGGUUGUAGCGUUAGUUUGAGUUCCUUCCUUCAACCAUGUUACAAAAACUGAUUGUUUUUCUUUUAUGAUUGCAUGUGAAUUCAUAAAUUAUAACCACAACCAAGCAUAAACCAAAGAGCAUAUCAAACUUUCAUCCAUGUUUGUAACUUUCUUCAACAGUCAUGUAAUUAAAAACCAAAUCCUCAUCAUUGUGUUGGAAGGUACCCUAGACUCAAACAAACACACAAAAAGAACUCAAAAACAACACUUUUUGGGUUUUCAAAACAAUUUUUUCAAAUUCUGUUUUUCAAAUUUUCGGAUUUUUACUUCAAAACACAUUAAAACACACCAAAACACACUAAAAACACUUAAAAACAGUGAGAAACAGCUUUAGAAGUAAUGGGUGAUAAAAUCCCAUGAAUUUGCAUAAAAAACACUUAUUUACCCCCCCCCCACACUUAAAUCAAACAUUGUCUUCAAUGUUUCAAGCAUAAACUCACACAAAAGUAAAUAAACAAACAACGAAUAAACACACUAAACAUGGCAGAAUAGAAACAACAAAGAGAAGGGUUUAGGAAUGCAAAUCUGGAAGUGGAGUGAUUCCUAGGUCUUCCUUUGUUGAAUGCAUGGGUUGCCUCCCAAGAAGCACUUGCUUUAACGUCUUGUAGCCGGACAAUACUUCCAUGGAAUUGAUCUUUGAAUGGAAGGUGAUACUUGAAAUGAUCCGGCAAUGGUUUAAAUUCUAGUGUAGGUGCCUAAAUCAUCAAAAUCAGCAAGUUAAUAGAAAACAAAAUCGAAGUUAGAGAAGAUGGCUUACUUGCUUGCUCCGACACAAACUUAAUUACAAACACCACAUCUUUGAAGGUUGAUAUUGGACUUGGCCAGAUUGAAUGUGAUGGUUGGGCCUUGUCCCGUAUCAUAAAAUUCAACUUCUUUGGGCUUUAUUGUCUCAUGUACAACCUCCUUGAUGCAUUUUACACAUUUGCCAGCCACUUCUUUCUCUUAACUCCUUCUUCUUGGUGUACAAGGUUCUUUGAACAUUUCAACAUAAUCUGGAACUUGAUUUGGUGUGCCAAGAAUUGGGAUAUCACUUUGCACCUUUGGAAUGGCUUCCAGAAUGUCUUGUUCACUCUCAUCUUUCUUGGGAAUUAAAAACCUGCGAGGAAAAGGUGCAUUCGGAGGAAUAACAUUAGAAUGAAAUGAAAUUGGGACAUCCUUACUUGUGGUGGAUGGUUUAGAGGGCUUAAGGGGUUGCGGCAAGGGUUGUUAUACCCUUGCCGUGUGUAUGUCUUUUUCCUUCUCCUCAAUCAGUAGCUCCUCAUCCACUUCUAGGCUAUGUUAUGACAUUUUUAGGUCAGCUCCAACCUCCAUAGCACUUCCCAAAGUGAUAGCAUCAUGGAUUUCAAAAUCUUCCUUCGAAUUUUCAAUAGUUGAGUUGGAGAGUUUACUUUGCUCUUGAAUUUGUGCCAUGAACUCCAUAAUAUGCCCAAUUUGCUUCUCCAAUUCACCCGUCUUCUUGGCUUGAUUUUGCAUCUCUUUGUUUCUAUUUUCUACUUCCUGGUUCAAAGAGGUGAGUAACUUAUUAAACAUAUCAUUAUCCAAAGACGUACCUGAAUUGAAUUUCCCAGAUUGUUGUGGUGGCUGUGAUGGUUCAUAUGACCAGUGAUAGAACUCCUCAGAUGGCUGUGAAUAAUCUUCUUGUUGUGAGCCAUGCGUCAAAGAGGUUAGUACAUCAAGAAUUUCAUCAUAACUCAUAAGCAUACUUGAAUUUGAUUGGAAUUGUUAUGGGGGAGGUUGUGGUGGCUGCAUAGGUCUUGAAUAGAACUCCUCUUCUUGCUGCUAAUUCCAUCUUGUUGGAAUUGUUGAGGUUCUCCCCACAUGUAAUCUGAAUAAUCUCUCCAAUCCAAAUUGUAAUCGCUAGAAAACAUGUUGUCCCAUGAUUGGCUAUGGCCUUGAUAACCCCAAACAUCUUCAUUUGCAGUGAAUUAAGAACAUUGAUGAGUUGGAUAUCCUUGCCCAUAGGACACACCACAUGUAGGGACACUUUGCAUUGUGGUCCUUUCGGCAUAUUGUCACAAUUGAGAAGUAAGUUUCGCCAAUUGAGCUUGAAUGGUAGCAAAUUCCAUGUCUUCCUUCUCUAGUACCUGAAAUCAAGGAAACAAAACUAAAUCAAAUAUCAAAAGUAAAAAUAAAAGACAAACAAAAACAAAGUCAGUAACUAAAACAAAAGACACGAAAAAGAAACAACAGGGGAUUAGUAAAGUUGCUAAUCCCCGGCAACGGCGCCAAAAUUUGAUGCAAAAAUUAACUUAACACUCAAAUUAACCCUCUUGUUGUCAAAUUGUAGUACAAAUGCAAGUAGGGAUCAUUCUAAACCGGGGAUUGUAGUAUAAAUGCAAGUAGGUGAUAGGAGCAUAUUUAUGCGCCUUAGUUAGUUAGUUCUUACGCAUUUAUGUUGUGUUUUCUUAGUUAAGUUAGUCUUUUAAGCUAUUUUCAUGAGUUUUCAGGUUUUAAAGACAAAGUGAGCAAAAAGAUGCAAUUUGGAGCGUUUUGGAGCAAAAUUGGGCUAGAAUGGAGUUCAUGCAUAUGAAGCACAAAGGAUGGACGAAUUUGAGGGAUUGAUGAGGCUAGGAAUGUGUUUCAAAGUUGAAGACUUGAAGAUGCAAAGUUUCCUAAUUGAAGUGGGAAAGUGCUUAAUUGAAGAUGAAAUCCUAGUCAAACAUGGAUUCCUAGUUGAAGAAUGAUUCCUAAGUGAAGUUGGAUUCCUAGAAGAUUGAAGUUUCCUACUCAAACAAGGUUUCCUACUCGAAGAAGGGAAGUUAAAGCCAAAGAAUCAGCUCAAGUGAAGAAAUCUUAUCCAAAACAUUAUCCAAACCCUAUCCUAUCCUAUCUUAUCCUAAUCCUAAUCCACCUAUAUUUCAGCUACUUGGGAGGAUUCCUAGCUAUAUUGGGAUGCUUAAAAUCAGAUUUCUAGAAAACCUAAUCCUUUCCUACAAAAAUGGCGCCUAGAACCUUUCUAGAAGACCUUUGCCUUGCAUUGCAAAUCAGCCACUUUCCCUCCACUUUUGUGCCUUGAGUUUUUACCCAAUUCCCUUGGGAUUUUGGUUUCUAGAAGCCCUUAUCCCUUCCUAGAUAAGUGCCGCACCUUAUCCUCCCAUUCCCUUUGGAUUUCUGAUUUCUUUUCCUUCAAGGAUUGUGUUUUAUUUUCCUAUGCAACUUAGGCCUUUAAAUCCUUUUCCUUUGCUACUUAGGGGCUGUGAUUUUCAACCUAUAUAUAUGUAGUGCCACACCCUUUCAUUCUCACCACUCUCUACCACAUUUUCACUACACCAUUCACCCAAAAACCCCUCAUUGUGCUGUGAGUUUGCAAGGAGAAGAAGGAAGAAAUCUGGAGCCGUGCAUGCCAUUCAAGGAGCUUGGAUUGUUGGAGCGAUUCUAGGUGUUUUCUAUCUUUAUGUCAAUGUUUAAAUUUAUUUAUCUUUGUUUAUUUGCGAACAUGAGGAACUAAUUUCUUUAUAGUUAGAGGGGAAUUCAAAGCCAUGAUCAUAUGUUUUAUAUGACUUGAUUUCUUCCAGUUAUGAUUUCAUAAAUCGUGAAUGUGGUUUACUUAUCUAUUUGAUUGAUAACAUGUUUAUGUAUGAUGAUUGAGGGUCGACACUUAGUUUGCAUGCAUGAAUUUGAUGCUAGAGUAUGAGGGAAUUUCACCUAAUCGUUAUUAACUUAUAUUCAUAAGUAGUAAAAGUCGCUAGUCAUGAUUGUGUUAAGUAAAUCCUAGGCAAGAGUAACAUCUGUAUCCCAUAGUUAUGAAUGCCUCGUCAAUGCUUAUGAUUUCCAUUGAACUUAAUGAUCUUUGAUAUGUCUCUUUAUCAUGCGUAUUCCAUAGUUAGGGUCCUUGAUAAGAAUAAUUUGGUUGUAAUGCGUAUUCCAUUCAAUUCAAUGAAUCUAGGGAAAUCUGAGAAUUAAUUGGUGCAAUCUAGUUAAUUUGGGGCAUUGUCAUUCAUGGUUUGUUGAAAGAGUAAUUGGAAAUCGAGUCAUAUGCAUAUGGUUCAUGUGUGGAGAAGGAACCUUCUAACUAGCCUUUCACCAUUCUUUUUCAUCCAAAAUCGUUUUCGUUAAGUUUGUCUUUAAAGUUUAUGUUUUAAAGUCCAAUUUCGUCAAAACCAAACCCCUUGCUUUUAAAUCUUGUUUUUAGAGUCAAAACUUGUUUCCUUUAAGUCUUUUGAGUCUUUGAAGUUCUAUUUUCGUCCAAAUCACUUGUUAGGUCUAGAAUUGAGUCUUUUUUAUUGUUUCUUGCUGUUUUUAGUGUUUUAAGUUAGUUUUAAGUCUAUAGAGUCUCGUUUAGUGUUUUUGAGUCUUAUUUGUGUUGAUUAGCAUCCCUAGUUAAUCCCCGGUUUAGAACGAUCCCUACUUGCAUCAUUACUACAAUUGUCAUCAAUAGGGUUUAAUUUGUGUGUCAACAUAAUUUUCACAUCAGUAGGGAUCAUUCUAAACCAGGGAUUAUGAGCGUUAGCUAAAACCUCUAAACUGACUCAAAAACAUAAAACCAAAGUUAAAAACAUUAGAAUAAACUCAAAGGACUCAAAACAUGUUCACAAGACUCAAAACAACUUAAAAACACUCAAAACUGCCUAAAAACACAAACUAGGCAGUUUCUGACUCUAAACACAACUUUGAACGAAUUUAGGGUUAUGGCUUGACUCAAAACACUCAAAAACACAAACAAAAUAGAUUCUAACUAAUUAAACACUCUAAAGUAAAGGGGGAUUGGGUUUUGGACGAAAAUAAAGUAAAAACAAAACAGAAACUAGAACUAGACAGAUUUGCACAAAAUUGGGGAUUUGAAUGGAUGAUUGGUUAGCUAGAGUUCCUUCUCCACACAUAACACACUUGCAUACAAAUUGAUGUUCAGUUGUUCUUUCGAUAAACCAUAAACCUCAUGGCCCCAGAUUAACCGUGAAUUGCACUAAUUAACCCUCAGAUUUUCCUAGUUUCAUUGAAUUGGAUGAAUGCAUGCGACAACCCAAAUUAUUCCUCACAAGUUCCCUACAUGAAUUGCAUAAUAGAGAUACGAACAAGGAUCAUUAAGUUCUAUGAAAAUCAUAAGCAUUGACAAGGCACUUGUAACUAUGAAUUGCAUGAUACUUAUGACAGGAAUUUACUUAACACGAUUGUGACUAGCAACCUCCACUACUUGUGAAUAUAAGUUCAUAACAAUUAGGUGAAACUCCCUUAUAUUCUAGCAUCAAAUUCAUGCAUGCAAACUAAGUGUCGACCCUCAAUCAACAUACAAAAAUAAGUUAUCAAUCAAGCCGUUAAGUAAAUUGCAUUCAAGGUUUAUGAAAUCACAACUGAAAGUAAUCAAUUCAUAUUGCAAAUAUAUUCAUGGCUUUGAAUUCCCUCUAGCAAAAACGGGUUUAGCCACUCAUGUUCACAAAACAAAGAUUAUUAAACUUAAACAUUGAAAACAAAGAAUGAAAACACCUAAAAACGCUCCAACAAUCCAAUCUUGAAUGGCAAGCACGUCCAAGGGUCUCUUUCCUUCUCCUUUUCUGCGGCACAAGGGUUGUGAGAAUGGAUGAGUGGUGAAUUAUGGUGGUGGAUGGAUGUAGGUGAAUUAUGGUGAAGGGUGGAUGGGUGGAUGAUGGAAUGUGUUGAUGGAUGUCCCCAAUGGUGCGGCAAAAGGGCUUUAUUUAUUGGGGGAGGAAAGGGCACGGUUUUGAAGUAGUUUUAGGGAAGGAUUUAGCUUUCCAAAUCCCCAAGAAAAGCUAACAAAAAUCAAUGAAUUUAGGAAAGGAAAAUAUUUGGCAGAUUCGAAGGAAAAGAGGUAAAUUGUGGCAAAGAAAAGGAAAGGUGGAAUUUGGUGCGACAUAGGGUUUUAGGGAAAAGGAAAUGUGUUUUAGGACAUAAAAUAGGAAGGAAAACCUCUCCCUUGUGCGGCAAAGGAUGGAACAAAACAGGAAUGUGGUUUAGGUGCAGAAAAUAGGAAAGAAAGGUUGUGUCUUGUGCAGCAAGGAACAAGAAAUCAAAGGAGUGCUGCGGCAAUAUCUAGGGCAGGUUCUAGGACUUCUAGAAAUAUGUAAGUAGGAAACCUAACAUGUUUUGAAACUCUUUUGUGGCUAGAUCAUAGAUGAGGAAGGAUUAGGAAACUUCCAAGCCAAGAAUAGAAACUUCCAACUUUAUAAACUUUGGCUUCCAAUUCUGAACUCUUUGUUCUUCAUUUUCAUUUCUUCAUUUCUUUGAUCUCAUUAUUCAUUCCUAGCCUCCUUUGAUCUUCAAUUUCGUCCAUCUACUUAGCUCCAAGCAUGUGUUAUCCAUUCCAUGCCCAAAACUGGUCCAAAAGGCUCCAAAAUGCACUUUCUUGCUACUUUAGCCCUUUAGACCUAAAAACACACGAAAAUGGCUUGAAAUACUAAAUUAACUAAGAAAUAAUAACAUAAUUGCACAAGAACAAGCUAACUAAGUCACAUAAAUAUGCUCCUAUCAGCCAUCACAUGUGAGGUGGUAUAAAGGCAUCUUUAUAGCCAUUCUCUCACAAGGGUUUUUUUUUUUAUAGGCAAAAGAGAAAAAUUCUUUCUCUUUUUGUCUUCCAAAGAGGCUGGCCAUACUUAUAGGAAAAUAGCUAGCAAUCUUCUUUCCUCUAAGUCAUCCAUUUCAUCUUCACACCUCAUCCUCCUUAUCCUUGGUAUGGAGACUAGAGACACUAAACUUUUGGUGUUCUUGGAGUUCCUCUCCUCAAAUACUCAAGGACCAAAGGAGAAGCAAAGAAGCAACCAUCCAAGGAGCAAAUGAGGUGACUUGAAGGCCCUUCACUUGGGUGAAUCCCUUGUGUAAAUAAGGAUGAGCUUCAAGGGUAAUGAAACUCAAACUCUCUCUUCUCUUUAAUUUGUUAAAGAGUCCUUUGGUUCACCAUUCACUAGGCUUUGAAAGUCAUGGGUUUUAGAAUUGUUUUUGAAUGCAUGCCUACUUUAAAGUGUUAUUAGCUUGCUUAUGUGUUCAAAUGUUCUUAGCUAGGACAAAUUUUUUUUCCUUCAAGAAGCACUGUGCAACCAUGGUAAGUCUCAAAAUCCCUUUAAUUUUUCAUUUUAAACAUGAUCUUGUACCGUUUUUAACCUUUGUAUGUGAUUUGGGGAAAGGUUAGUGCGGAUUGGAUGAGGGAAGGAUUUUCCAGUUUUAUGGGAAAUGAAAACUGUGGCCUUCUAACCAUUUUCAGACCAAUUUCUCAGCCAACACUGACCACAACUAGACUUCCAAUAGGUAUAGAUUUAUUUUGUACACUUCUAGGUUCACUUGGGUUUUUGUAUCACUGGUUUUGGUUGAUAUUUGAGCUCAUUUGGAGCUCUAAAAGUCAGCCAUGCAAUCUGCAAAAACUACAGAUUUCAUCAAGAAGGCUUGUGAAAGCACGUGGGCAGCCACGAGUGGUGUAUGCAGUGCGUGGAUGCCAGUGCAGCCAUCUUGUGGUGGGGCGUAGAGGAACCCAAGGUCGCUCCUUUGGUUUCUCGACGUGUUAAACCCAAAUCUGCCCUCCGUUUUCUGAAAUUCGACCAUUUCAAAAUAGUUCCUUUAGUAGCCGUACUUAGUACGAAAAACACGUUUAAAUGUUAGUACAUUAUAUAUUUACAUUAAUGAUUUCGUUUCUAGGCGAAACGCAUCACAAGGAUCUUCAAAACCCACAGGCAGGUUCGACCCAAUGACAUAAUCUGUGAGUGGGUCUUUACUUAUAAAUAUCAUAUAUUUAUUAAGUUUCCAUUUACACAUUUGAAAAAGAAUUUUAUACGUAUGCCUGGAUUAGAAUAACGUUUAUAAGAAUUAGCGAAAUAAUAGAAUUUACAAAAUUAUCCUAAAUCCUAUGAGAUGGAUAUGUAUGUGUACUUUUAUGGGAUUUUAAUUACGGCCAUGAUCAAUAUUUUAUUUAUUAGUAUUAUGUUGAUGUGAAUUAUCAAUUUACUGUUGCGUGAUCGUAUUUACAUUAUUUGCUCAUCGUGUGCUACACUAGUGUCAGUACUCGCCCGGGCCAGGGCCAAUCUUCAUGUGUAUGUUCAUAUCGCACCGUACGCUCACUUUGGAUCCAUUGUAGGUGCCAGUCCUGUCCUAGAUUGCUAUAGGCAAUUACCCGUAUGUGACGCGCAUAGCGCCAGUCUUCACAUGAUUGUAGUACUAAAGCGUAAAUCAUACUUGUUUAUUUCUGCGAGAUAUUGUGAUUACUAGAAGUUAUAUGCUUAUUUACAAAUUUGUGAUGUAUUGAAGUCUUGAGAUAUUGUAGGCUACAGUAAGUAUUUUCAUACUAUACAUAGUAUGUAUAUUUUGGAAACUAUACUUGUUUUAUAGAGAGGGCUUAUUAUAUUUUCGAAAAUGUUUUUACAAAACUUUAUUUUUAGGCUCACUCACCUUGUUUUUCGCCCCUCCAGGUUUAGCAAUUGAGCUUUUGUGUCGACGAGGAUUUUUGGCAAAUCUCGAUGUAGGUGGUUACCUUCGAUGGUAUAAUCUCCUACUUUACUGUACUUUACUCGUGUGAAAUGGGUUCAUUCCUGCCCGCAAGUUAGCACUUUUAGAUUUAAAUUUAUUCACAUUUUCCACAUCACUACACUUUAUGGCUUCGUCACCCUCCUAGUGUCGGCCAGCACAGCUUGAUUCAAAGUUCAGGUGGACAUUCCGGGUCGGGGUGUGUCAAUGCUAGCAUGAUCGAUUAAUUGAUGUAAGGUACAAUCUCUAAACUUGGAUUGAUGUUUUCGAUUAUAGUGAUUGAUGAGAUUUUAUUAUUAUAGUAGUAAAUAUUAUUAUAUAGUCUCGCUAAAUAUGUUUUCAAAACAGGGGUCAUUAUGUUAAACGAUGAUUUUAUAACUGUGAUAAAACUGGUCCACUCAUGUUUUGUUUUAUCGACCCUUACUUGAUGUAAAAAGAGUAAGCAGAGCACUGGUGAUGAUGAGUGGGCUUGGUAGUGAACCUUUCAUCCUUUCAAUUUUCGGUGAUGGUUCAUUUACUGCAGUUUUAUCUUAGUUGUAAUAAUGGUAUAAUCGUACCUUUGAUUAUGCAUAGCACUACACUUUAUUGUGGUUAUUGUUGUGUGAAACUUCUAGCCGCUCUAAUGUGAUGUGAUAAUAAUAGGGUUAAACCCAAGAUAAUUUGUGUCUCCAAGUGGGGAGGAUGAUAAGUGAUUUAUUGUAGCAUCUUUGGAUUUUAUUAAUGAACAUCUUUGGUUCAAAUUCUUACACAUCAUAAAUAUCUUGCUAUGACUUCAUCAUUAAGUUCGCUUAUGAUGUCAUCUCCAGAUUGGGUCAUAUGGUCAAUUUAAUGUCGGCCAGUACAUCACGUCCUCAUAACUUUUGUUAUUAGGGUCGGGGUGUGUCAGGUGAUUUCAAAUUGGACUCAACCUCUUAAAACAUCUUAAAUAACUACUAACAUUUAGAAAAAUGAGGACUCGUUAGGUUACCAAGGUUAAGUGAUGAUUCAUUAGAAUUAAUUGAUAAUGCACUACAACAAAAAAAAACAAAACAAAAAAAAGAGGCUUUUGUGUACAAAUUAAGGACACAAAUGAGAAGUUUGCGUCUCUUUAAGCACCAACAGACUACAACAGCGCAUGUUCAAUAAAGGGCACCGCCUAUUGUGCCCAGUGGAAAAAAUGGACACAAAACAUUUAUGAACACGGAAACAAUGCAAAGUUGGACAUGUAUACUUUGAUCUGACAAAUUUUGACAAAAUACAGACAACAAAGGCUUCUUGUGUCUAUAAAUGUGAUUUAUGCACCAUCAUAUGUGUUUUACUUUAUAAAUUUGAGCACAAAAAAGAUAUAAAACAAACAAACAAAAAACUAAUUUUUAUUUGAUCACGGCACAAAAGGUACUAUUGUGCCCACUAAUCCAUUAAACUAUUUAAACUAGAGAACUUUAACAAAAAACUUCUGGUAUUGUUCACUUUAACGAAAAACCACAUUUUUACACUAAAAAGUCAAUCCUGAUACUAUUCACUUUACCCUUUAUUUUGUCUUUAUCGUUAAAACUCAAAAUUUGCAAAAAAAAUUCAUUAGUUUUACUUUUAAACUAACCUGCCAAAUUUGGGGAAGGAAGCCCAACCCACACAAAUUAUCUCGUAACUUUUUUUUUUUCCAUGGGACUUCAAAAGAUAAACCUAUUACUUUUUCUCUCUUUCCCUACAUUUUUCUAUUUCUUUCCCUCCCAAUUCUUCUCUAGCUCAUUUGAGGACGUAUCUCACAGCAUGUCAGUUCCUGCUCACAGAUAUCGAUUGUCCUUCUCUAACCAUCGUGUAUCUUCCUUCUUCAUCUUAUCUCGGCUCGCUGACGCUUCCAUACUUUACCACCGCUUACUCGUACUCGAUAUGAGAUCUACCCGCUUAGACGGCCUGCCAACUUGCAUGUUCUCACUUGACUAGUCGACAGCAUGUUGUCCAUACUUGAUAUGAGAUUUUUCAUGGUCACUACGAAAGCGAUUGGUUGGUUUUUUUUCUCUUUUUUUUUAUUGGGUAAUUUUUCAUUUGAUUUUCUUUUUGAAUUUUUGUAUUUAAUUAUUUGCCUUAUUUAAUCUCUAGGCUCUUAAAAAGAAAGGGGCGAAAAACCACCACCAGGGCAGUCCUGAGUUUUUGGGUGUCCAGUGCAAAAGCUCAAAAUGUGACAUUUUUUAAUACAGAAACAUAUGUUAAAAAAAAAAUUUAACGAAGGCUGGAACUCAAUCAAAGCUGAGAGGCUAGACCCUCACGCCCAAAUUAUAUUACUUGAAAAAAUAUACAACGGGGGGGACAUAGUACCUAAACCCCGACAAUCAAAAAUACAAUCAUAUACAACCAUUCCUAGCAAAGCUCCUUGAAAUUUCAACCUUUAAGAAAUUGUCUUCUAGCAUUUUUUGAAGCAAAAUCAUCAAUUAUAUCAUCAUACUCCAAGUCUUCAAUCUCAUCCUUUUCAAUGCAUAAGAUUGCUAAUCCAUUUAGCCUAUCUUGAAUCAUAGUGGUCUGCAAGUAAGAUUUUAAUAAUUUCAAUUUUGAAAAACUUCUUUCUGCAUAUGUCACGGUCACAUGUAUAGUCAACAGAACACGAUAAGCAAUCAAAACAUUAGGACACAUGUUAGUUUCUUUUACAAAGUUUGCUUUUUCCAGGAUGUCCAAGGGUUAUUAGAGAGAAAUGCUUCUUUAGGUAACAUCAUUUGCAACACUUGUAAUUCGGAACAUAAGUCGGCUCCAUCUACAUCCAUGGUAUUUCCAUGUUUCAAAUGUGCUUCAAGAUUCAUACAAUUUUCUUUUAGUUGUUUAUCAUCCAAUGAAAUUAACUUCAAUGCAUCAAACAAGAAGCCAAAAAUAGAUUCAAAAGCCUUUAAUUGUUCAAACCUAUGUUUCAGUUGAGAAAGAGCAAUAUCCACUAUAAUAAGAAAAUAAUAUGUUCUAAAUGAUUCUUCAGUAGACUGUUGUUCCCUCUUAUUACCAUCAACUUCAUCAUGAUGUCUUUUUCUAGGUCUAUGACGUUUAGUUUGAAAAAUAGGGUCAAUUUUCGAAUCAAGUGCAAUUUCUUUAGCAUCACGCAUGGCAAAAGCAAAACCAGUUUCUUUGUAGUUUUCAAAAAAGUUAACAAGUGCUUCCAAUGCCUUUACAGCAACAUCAAGACACAUGUCUUCAGAUUGUAAUUUUGUGCUCACCAUGUUAAUCUUCAACAAAAUGUGAUACCAAAUAACCAAACUUAAUACAAAAUCAAAACUGGAAAGUUCUACUGAUGCUAAACAUCCUGCAUCCCUACUCAAUUGGGGAUUCUCAGUAAUUUCCACCAAUGUAAACAAAGCAUUUCUAACUUGGGCUACUUAGGAUUUAAUUGCUUUAACACUUUCAAUGUGACUUUCCCAUCGAGUAGUUGACAAUGACUUCAAAGCUAAACCAUCAAUAUGUUUAAGCAAAAUAUUCCAAUGCUUUGUAGAGUUGGAAAACUCUGUAUAUAUGUAUUGACAUGCUCCAAAAAAAGAUUUUUCUUUAAGACAUGAACUUGCCAUAUCACAAACUAUUAAAUUAAGACAAUGAGAACCACAUGGCAUGUAAAAGGCUCUGGGAUUUAUGUCUAGUAAUAUUUUCUAGACACCUUGGUGUUUCCCUUUCAUGUUAGAUCCACUAUCAUAAUCUUGUCCCCUCACAUUAUCAAUAUCAAGAUCAAGAGACUUUAGGACAUCUUGCAACUCAUUAAAAAGUCUUUGUCCUGAUGUAUCUUCCACACUUAAAAACUCCAUGAAAUACUCCCUUAUAUUUAUUGACCUACUUGACAAGUCAACACAUCUCAAAAUUAAAGUCAUCUGUUCCACAUAACUUGCAUCAAAAGUACAAUCAAGAAUGACUAAAAAAAAUUUGGCUUCUUUUACCUUUUUAAUGAUUGCGGUUUUGACUUUUGAAGCUAAAGUAGCUAUAAACUCAUUUUGGAUUUUGUGGCUCAAAUAGUGAUGAUGAAUCUCUUUAUUCUCAAUGAGUUGAAAAUGCUUUUGCAUUAUUGGAUCAAACUCCACAAUCAUUUCAAGUAAACCUAAGAAGUUGCCAUUAGAGUCUUCGUAAGGUCUUUCAUUUGUUCCAUGAAAUGCUAAGCUACGUAUGGGAAGACAUUUCACAACAACAAUAAUUCUGAGCAUCACUUGUUUCCAAUGAUUUGUCUCUUUCUUGAUUCGCAUUUGAAAUUCUUUAUCAAUUGUCUGAUUUUUUGUCAAUCUACUUUUCAACUCAAACCAAGUUCUCGAAUUAGUGAAAUGCUCUUUACUCUUUUCAUGUUGGUCAAGCUUCACACCAAGAUGUCUCCAAUCAUUAAUUCCAUCUUUUGCUAUCUCACUUUUUGAGGCAAUUGUUUUAAACAAUUUACAACAAAAGCAAAAGACUUUAUCCAACUCUUUUGAGUACACGAGCCAUUUCCUAUCAUAAAUUUCACCUGUUAGUAAUUUUCGAUCAUAGUAGUGUGAGGAAAAUUUUCUAGAGAGUUUGUCCUUAGGAUAAGUGAGAUUAGUUUCUCGAAUUGGUCCCUUUUCUACAAGUAAAUCUCUCAUUUCUUUAUUAAGAUCAUCCCAAACUCUUGGAUCAUAAAUAUUUAAAUGGAUAAUAGGUUCAGGAGAUUCAAUAUUUUCCUCUACACCAAUAUGAUCAUCAUCAACAUUUAAAUCCACAUCACCACCAUUUUCAUGGUCUUGAGACUCAUCACCAACAUUUUCUUCCAAAUCACUACCAUUUUCAUGGUCAUGAGACUCUCCAACAACAUUUUGUGACUCUUCACCAACAUCAUUUUCUCUCAAAUUUUUAACUAACUCAUUCUUUGUAGAGAAAAAUUUAUUAAGAGAUCCGUUUAAACUUAUGGCAAUUUCGUUAUCCUUUGCCUUUUUUUUCCUUUUCAUAUUACCAGAGAGUUGUUUCCUAAAAGACAUGGCUUCGAUAAUUUGUUUACAAAAAUUACCUACACAUGAUAUAACAAAAAUAUCCUAUCAAAAUUAUCAUUCCAACACAUAUUAUAUAUUUUAAAAACACUAACACAAAGUCUAACAUAUUAUAAAAAAUUGGGUUUGAAAUAAAAUCAAAUAAUUCAAUUAGUCAAGAAUUCAAUUCAUCAACAACAAUUCUAUAUCACUUGCAAAAUUUUAUAUUAAAUUAUGAAUUGAUAAUUCAAAUUUUAAAAAUUAAUUUACCUCAAAACUCAAAGGGGUUGGUGGUGAGUGAAUGCUCUUGCACUUGAGCAACCAAUGCCCAAUGUUCUGUGACUGCUGUCUGCCUGCGUGCAACAGCUUGCUAUUGAACUUUUGAAAGGGAGUCAGGAACUGAGGAACGGCAGGGAGGAAGUGGGAGAAGUGGGGAACAAAGGGAGGGGUGGCUUGGGUGGGAAUUAGGGUUGUAAGGUUAUAGGAAAUCGGGAAAGGGUUGUAAAAUGGGGACCAAGUGGUCCCUCUAAUAGUCAAAUGUUUGAUUGUUUUUUUUUUUUUUUUUGGCUAUAACUCCCAAAACCUGGACCUAGUGGUCCCAAAUCCCAAAACCUGGACCGAAUGGUCCCAAAACCUGGGCCCUUUUUAAAAAUUUCUUGGGCUCUUGCCCUCCAGCCCCUAUUUGGGCUCUGGACUUUUUUUUAUAUUUUUAAUUUAUAUAUAUGUAUACACCUAGUUAUUUGGGGUUUUUUUUUUUUGGUGCCCCCUUCAAUUUGGGGGCCUAGACAGCUGCCACUGUGGCACUGGGCCUGGGCCGGCCCUGACCAUCACUCAUGGAAAAGAUUGUGGUUAAUGUUGGUGAUCUAAUGAAUGUCUAAUUUUAGGGUUGUUGACCCUAAAUUGAACAGUCUUACCGUUGAAUUACAACGAUUGUUGACCUUACUGUUGACCUUUGACUAAGGGUUGACUUUUAAUUAACACGUCCCGAAUCUAUCUAGAAUGUUGUAGUUGAAGUGUACAACCUAGAAUUAUGCGUUUUUUAUUGGUAGAAUUCAAACACGAGACUUGUGCUUUGUUUUAGGCAGUAAUUGUAGGUAUUGCCUUGAUCUUUGUGCUAGGGUGUUGUAUAUUUGAAAUGUUUAUGAAACGUGAGGGCUAGUAGAGGAUUGUUAACACAUUGUAAUGGGGAGUUGUGACGUCACACUUGUAUUAUGUCUAGUUCCUUUGAGUUGUUCUAAACUAAGUUCUUAUAAUUUUACACAUUUUCGUUAAGUUGGUCAGGAAUCGGGUUUCGUUUAGGUUUCGUUGAGUUGGUCCAGAACCCAACCAUGCUCUGUUAGGAUUCCGUUGAGUUGGCUCAGAAUCUCGCUCCCUAUUCGGUUCCGUUGCGUUGGCCUGGAAUUCCAUUCCCUAUUCAGUUCUGUUGAGUUGGUCUGAAACCCUACUUCGUUCAGAUUUCAUUGAGUUAUUUCAAAAUCUUGUUUCCAAUCUGUUUCUGUUGAGUUGGUCCGGAACCCUCCUCCAUUUGGAUUCUAUUGGACUACUUCGGAAUUCUGCUUCCGAUUCAGUUCCAUUCAAAAUUGUUGAGAACUUUACAUCUUAUGGAUUCCAUUAAGUUGGUCUAGAAUCCCACUCCCUACUUUCUAGCUUCAUUAAGUUGGUCUAGAGCUAGAUCCCUAGAAAUAUUUAGGUUCCUUUGAGUCAAUCCAGAAUGCAUAACUUAAAUAUUUAAAAUUUCCACCAUUUAUAUAAAAACACGUGGUGAACCACUUAUGUUCCAGUCACAAUGAAAAUUUUCUCCUUUUGGUGACACAUCACUUAGUUUGCAAAUUUUGUCUCCUAGCAUUACCCCUUUUUAUUAUAGGAAAAUUAACAAAAAGGGUUUUAAAAUUUAAAUCUUUACUAAAAGCAUCAUAACAACUUUAUUUAAUAGUUAGAAUGAAAUCUAUUAUCAAAUCAGCCCAAUUAAAUUAGCCAGAAAAAAAAAAAGUAAACUAUCUAGUUUCUGCUUUAGCCAAACAACAAACCUUGACCCCAUUUAAUCUCUCUCUCUCUCUCUCCGCCUGAUCUUAGUUUAGUCUUUGUUUCCAAUUCAAUUCCAAUUCCACCAUUUUUGGCACGUCCCAAUCCCAACAUAUGUCCAAGAUCGACACGUCACUUCACCACAUCCCUGUUUAUUUAUCAUGUCUCACCUUCGAGACAAGACCAAUACACAAACAAUGACUCACAAGCAGUCCUUUUCUUUUAUUUCAUGGUUGCAUCUAACAUUUGCAUUAGACUGCCUGCAUACUAUAAGAAGGGAUAAAGUCAUUCGUAGUUCACCAUUCAUUACACUCCGAUGUUUAUCACAAUACAUUCUAACAGAAAGGCAUAACAUUCCUCAAUCAAUUAUUGGAACUUGACAAGCAUGAACUACUAGAUUCAGGCUACAUAACAAACCUAUAUGACAUUCAAGAUUUCCAUUUCAUCAAUCAUAUAAUCACUAUGUUUUCAACAUAAUACCGCAAUCCAUAGCACAUAACAUAUCAAAGAACCAACGAAGUGCAAUAUUAUUCUCUAGCCAAAUUGAUCAACUAAUCUGAUCAUAAUAAUAACAAUCAUAUCCAAUAUCAUUCAACAAUCACGUCAAUUAAUCAAUUCCAUGAAUAAAAAAAAAUGAACGAUAUAAACAUUUAACUACGUCAAUCAAUCAACAAGAUCACAUAUCAUUUCACGAAAUUUAAUUAGGAAAUCUACAUAAUUCCCUACCUGGAUUCCAAGUAAUAACAUGGUAAAUCUAAUUUAUAAUCAUAAUGUCUAUUGUGAGCAAGGACGGGGAUUGCGGAUCACUUAAUGGAAUCCAACUAAAAUAUGGUCACCUAUUGAAAUGUACCAAGUACAACUAAUCCUCAUAAACCUAAAUAGGCAGUAUCACCCAUCACAGAUAUACCAAGUACGACCACCCCUAGAAUGUGUAUGGUUCUCCAUUGCGGAUAUACCAAGCCGAACCAUAAGCAUAAUCUAAUCAUGCAGGCAGUGAUCACCCAUUGUGGAUAUACCAAGCAUGAUCAACCCUAAAAUACAUAUGGUCCCCCAUCACGGAUAUACCAAGCAGAACCAUAUCCUAACUCUAGGUAGUGAUCACCCAUCGUGGAUAUACCAAGAAUGAUCACUCCUAGAAUGCGUAUGGUCCCCUAUAGCGGAUAAACCAAGCAGAACCAUAUGCAUAGUCUAAUAACGUAAGCACUGAUCACCCAUCGCGGAUAUACCAAGCAGGACUGUAUCCUGUAACUCUAGGUAGUGAUCACCUAUUAAUGAUAUACCAAGCAUGAUCACUCCUGUAAUGUGUAUGGUCCUCCAUUGUGGAUAAAUCAAACAAAAUCAUAGGCAUAUCUAAUUGUGUAGGUAGUAAUCACCCAUCGCAGAUAUAUCAAGCAUGAUCACCCCUGAAAUAUGUAUGGUACCCUAUCGCGAAUAUACCAAGCAGGACCAUCCAUGUACCACUGCUACAUAGUGCAGUCAAUUCAACACACAACCUAUCCAUACCUCAACCCCUAUGAUUUACAAUGUAGACACAUGCACAAACAAUUUCUCAUGACCACUAUCUUGUCAUAUAAGCAUAUAAGUUCUACAAAUUACUUUUAAUAAGAUUCCAGGCCUGCACUUCUAUACCAACAAUUGUACAUUUCAUUCAUAUCAUCUAGAAAUUCAAUAAACAUGUAUAACACAAUAAGGUAUUACUUGCACAUAAAUAGAGGUUCACAUGUAUCGUACGUACAAAUUUUUUUUAUAACAACUCCUUAACAUAUUAUCAACAAAAAGAAUAUAUAUCAACACCUUAUUAUUUAUAGGAUAAGUGUCAGUACAUACGUACACAUAAAGCCAGCUUGGAGCAAAAGCUAUCAAAACGGGUGAUUAGCGAAGGAAAGAUAGGUCCAUUCACAAACAUUAUUGGUUGGUUCACUCCUCUCGCGGGAACGACGACAACCUAAUUAUCAGCUGAACUACGUAAUCAAAGAAUCCACAAAGGCAUGGAAUUAGUAAAAUUGCCCCUUGUUGUGUUGGGAAUGGUCUGUUAGCUUCAAAUCUAACUUGUCUUAACUCUUUAGUCUCUGUCCCGUUGCAAUAUGUACGAAGGUAUGGAAGUGUGGGUAUAUACGUACACAUAGGUACGAAGGCUUAAGUGUCCGUACACACACACACACACACACACACACACACACACACAGAGGCACAUAUAUAUAUAUAUAUAUACACACACACACAUACACACACACACUUAAACCUUCAUACCUAUAUAUAUAAGAAUGGUACGAAGGUUUAAGUGUCCGUACACACACACACACAUAUAUAUAUACACACUUAAACCUUCAUACCUAUACACAUAGGUGAUACGAAAAUUAACUUAACACACAAAUUAAACCCUAUUUUGACAAUUGUAGUAUAUGUAUAAGUAGGGAUCGUUCUAGACCAGGGAUUAGGAGGGCUUGCUAAUAACCUCUAAACUGACUCAAAAACAUAAAAACAAAGUUAAAAACGUUUGAAUAGAUUCAAGGGACUCAAAACAGGUUCAAAAGACUUAAAACAACUUAAAAACACUCAAAACUGCCUAAAAACACUUGUUGGGCAAUUUCUGACUCUAAACACAACUUUGAACGAAAAUUGGGUUUUGGCUUCACCUAAAACAAUCAAAAACACAAACAAAACAAAUUUGAAACAAGAAACUAAGAGGGAGGUUUUGAUUUGGAUGAAGUUGAAACAAACAAACAAGUAUGAAAAACUAGACAAAUUGUAAAACAAAUUUGAGAAAUAAGAUGAUGGAUGGGAUAGCUAGAGGCUUUUUCUCCACACAUGACUUGUAUGCAAACAACUCAAUUUCCAGUUACUACUUCAUUGAAUUAUGAACGACAAUGCCCUAAAUUAACUGUGACAUCACUACUUAACCUUCAAAGUUUUCUUGUUUUAUUGGAUUGGAUGACAUCUUUCGACAACCCAAAACAUUCGUCAAAAGUUCCCUCCAUGACAUCAUAAUAGAGAUACAAUCAAAGAUCAUUACGUUUAAUGAAAAUCAUAACCAUUGACAAAGUACUUGCAACUAUGACAUCAUGUCACUCAUGCUAGAAUUAAACUUAACGCGAUCGUUUAUAAGCGACAUUCACUACUUAUGAAUAUAAGUUUGUAACGAUUAUGUGAAACUUUCUUAUAUUCUAGCAUCGGAUUUAUGCAUGCCAAUUAAGUGUCGACCCUUAAUCAACAAAUACAAAUAAGUUAUCAAUCAAAUAGUUAAGCCAAAUGCAUUCAUGAUUCAAGAGUUCAUAAUUGGAAUUUAUCAAAUCAUAUUGCACACAUAAUCAAGGCUUUGAAAUCACCCCUAGCUAAGAGGGGUUUAGCCACUCAUAUUCACAACAAAAGGAAAGAUAAUGAAUUUAAACAUAGUAAAUAAAGAACAAGUUACAACUAAAACGCUCCAAUCUUCAAGCUUGAAACGCCAAGGACCUUCUUUUUCACCACCUUGUUACGGCUUAAGUGUCUAAGGAUGUGUAUGGAUAUAUGGAAGGGAAUGGCUGAAUGUGUUUAGGUUGGAUGGAGGUCAUGGCAAGGAAAGGGAAAUGAAAGUGCUUGAGAAAAUGAAUGGAUGUUUAUGGAUGAAGGUUGUAUUGAAAUGGUGAUGAAUGAUCAAGCAAAAACUAAACUCUAUGGCUACCACUCACACUUCCUUUUAUAGAGGAAGUGCACGGCAAGGAGGGGAAAAUGAUGGUGUGUGCAAUGAUUCAAGGGUGAAAAUGAAGUAAUGGUGCAAAGCAUGGGGGGUAAAAUGGAGUGGUGUUGCAGCAAUGAGUGCAUGGAGUGGUGUUGAAAUGAUUCAAAGGUGAAAGUUAAGUGAUGAUGCAAAGCAUGGGGGAUAAAAUGGAGUGGUGUUGCAGCUAUGAAUGCAAGUAAGGAAUAUAAUGGCACAUAUAAUAUUAUACCUUUUUUAGUCAUUUCACAUAGUCACAGCUGUUUUACAUAAAAGUUUACCAAACACUAUAAUACUGUUUUUUUUCUUUCCAAAAGCACUUUUACAAAAAAAAUUUACCAAACACUCUGUUGCUUUAUUUUACAGCUGCUUAUUCUCACAACACAAUAGAAACAGCACAGCAAUACCAAACCAGCCCUUAGUUGUAUAUUGUAUUUUGUGUUCUUACAAAUACCUCUUUUUAUGAACCAGAAGUUGAUAAGUAAAUUCGAACAUGCAGUUUUGAAUUUAGUGCCUUUGAAACCCGAAGUUUUCAUAAAACAAUACACCUAUGAAAACCCAAAUUUUCCUGUAAAUCAUGUCUCAGGACUCGAAUGUUCUAACUUUGAUGCUUUUGGAUAUUUUAUUUUCCAUAGCACCAAUCACAAUCUUGUUCCCUCCAUUCAGUGGAUUGUCGAACUAGUUUGAUUUCAUUAAUUUGUACGAUUCUUGACAGAAAUGUGGGUACAAGACGUGAAUCUCCACUUGACUAUCAAGAAGCUGAGAAACAAUUGAAGCCAAUAAUGGCAUGGAAGAGCUGAAUAAGCCUCCGCCAUGAUCUUCACUCGAAGACUUAUGCCCAAAGCAUUACAAACAGAAAUAGCUCCUAAACGAGGAUUUCAUGGCUCUUUGGCUUGCUUAUACGGACCGUCUAAUCAUGAAAGACAUUGCCUAAAGUACAUCAUGAUUACGUCCAUGAAUGAGUACAAUUCUAAAGUUUAUAAAUCCGAUCGAAUUUUGACUGGAGAAUAUUUUUCUCGUCCUUCCUUGUUUCUAACUCGCUCUCAAAGCAACAAUGUAGAGAACGGAAGUUUACCAAAAUUCUAGGAUCUGAUUACUACCACACUUGUGAGAGAAAGUUACCCCAUCAAUUUAGCUGGGAGGUACCGAAUGGUAGAGACCUAGUUUCGGUUGGAGUCUACCGAAUGGCAGGGAUGCAUCGACAUGCUUGCUCUGCUUCAGCAAAGUAGCAUCGAACGGUAUUGCUAUGCUUUGGUAGAGGCCUACCGAACAAACCCCUCCAGCUUCGACUAGAACCCAUGUAUGGGUCUGUCUCUCUCACAAUCCAAUUUAAAGUUUGUUUUCGCAACAUAUGUUAGAAUCAGGGCCUACCAAGGUGUGGCAUCAUGCUCGAAACGUGAUCCUUGGCACCUAAGACCUAAAACUUCAAGAAUAAGGGAUAUUGUUACUGAACCUCAACCCUGUAGAAUCUACUUUUGUCUUGAUGGAAGAGAUCAUUGGUUAUGCACCUGUUCGUGCCCCUACCAAUGCUGUUAAGGAGUACCAUUCUCGUAGUCAAUAUGUGACACUAAUUUUGCUCCACCAAACAUCGUUGGAAGAACAGAAUGUUGACAUAAAUGACCUUGUUGGCCGAAUCCCUUUAGUAACUUUGGUUUACUUGGUGAACAAUUUUCCAUGUUAUUGGAUUCAAGUUUGGUGUUUGUUUUAGUUAUGGAUAAUCUUAUGGAUAUUGUCCUCAAAUAUGAGUUAAUUGAAUCAUGUUUCCAAUGCAUGUGAUCAAAUUCAAUUAAACACAUGAUUAGGUACGAAUAUGGGAAAGUUAGUUGUCUGGAUGAAUGCAACACUACGCACUCUAACUUUAUACCUAAAUCACAUCUCUAUCAACGACUUCAAGUCUAUCUAACUUGAUUAAGGGCAUUGGCAGGCUCCUCGUUGUAUGAAUGAUACUACAUCACCGUUUAAGAGACCUUAUAUUCUCCUUGUUCUGGAAGAACAUUGUUGAGUUUUGAGGAUAUUUGAGAGAACAAUAAUCAUGAAUGAAACCACUAAAGAAAAUAGAGUGAAAUAUCUUUGUACCACCUCUAAAAAUGAACCUGAAGCUUUAUUUUGGGGCUAAUGGGCUGCUUCCCAACUUGGACGUGCCACAUGGUGUUAGCCUAGUGCUUGGUGAUUCGAGCAGUUUACUUGCCUUGACAUGACCGUUUGAGACACUUAGGUUGAACAAUGAUACCACAACACAUCUCCUUACCUGAAGUAAGGAUCUUGUGCUGACAUGCACAUUUUGCAAAGCCUGCUCGUGGGGAAAAUUGAUUUUCUAAAUCAUCCCUCGCAAUGAUAUGAACGACCCUCUUUUCACAAUGGAUUCAAGGGAAUAAUGUGGACUAAUCCAACCAAAAUGAGGACCAUAUAAAUACUUAUGGUUUUGAUUGAUGAAUCAACAAACUGGUCACAUGUUUGUCCACACACAUUGCUGCUAAACCUUCUAGUCGAUUUUAAGGGUUCACCACCUUAAUUAUCCUAUAAAGUAUGAAAGACUGGAUAAUGCUGAAGAGUUUAUAUCAAUAGUUUUCGAUAAAGUAUUGCGCAUGUCUUUUGAGUUUAUAAUUGAACAUCAAAUUCUCAUGUUCACCUCAAUACAGCCUCGUAGAGUGAUCAUAAAGCGCAAUUUCAUUGAUCGCCCAAACCUUGGUAAACUCACCAAGCUUUCAGUUUUUACCUAAAGUUAUGCAAUCUUGUAUGCAACUAUGUUAGUCUACCUUGAGGCUUAUUGCCACCCAACAAUUUUCAACAUUAUAAUUGGUUAUUGGGUAUGAACCCGACGUUUCGUACUUACACAUUUUGGGUGUGCAUUCCAUGUGCCAAGUUGCUCGCCGCAACGUACCAAUAUGGGUCCUCAAAGAAGGAUGUGAAUCUUUGUCGAUUAUGAUUCUUCUUCACACUAGCUAUCUUAAAGCCCUUGCAAGUGAUCUCUUUACCCGCUCAUUUGUGGAUUGUCACUUCAAUGAGACACUAUUCAUGCCGUUAAGGAGAGAUAAGAACGUCAACGUUCCUGUAAAAUGGUGCAAAUUUGCAUGGAUGUUGCCCAUUAUGUCUCAUAUUGAUUCUCGUACCGUACAACUAUGAUAAACAAGUGUGAUGUAUUAUAGCUUUCAGAAUGUUACUCCAAACACAUUCCUUUGAUCUAACUAAAGUGACGAGAUCAUAUACCAGCUACAAACAUGCUUGUAAGGAUAAACAUAUUUAAUAGACGUCAAGUCAACGUCCCUGAAGGGUGUGCCACCCAUGUUGGACGGUUUGGCCGCCCAUGUUAGAUGGUUCGGUACCCGGCGAAUAGCCAAUCAAUCUGUCUCGACCUGAAGCAUGACAGAUCACUUGGUUCAUAGGAUUUACUUCCCUAGAAGUGGAAGAUCAUGACAAAACAUGAAUAUAUACUCGAUCGUUAUCUCAAAUCAUUUUCAUCUCAUGAGAUUAAUUUGGAUUACUCCCGAGACUUGAAGUUCUUGGUCCAAUAUACUAGUUUGGAUGAGUUAAUGGAAUUGUAAAGAGAUUAUCAUCGAUGAUGUUUUCACUUAUAUGGGAGCUAUCGACAUAAAUGAAAAAUGACAAUAUCAAACCGCGUUUCGUUGAUUAGUGACAACGUAGAACUGAUUGGACAACCGAAAUCAUAAUCCUAGUUAAAUUCCUUACCAAAGUGUGUCUAGACUUGUAGUUCCUACACUGCCCGAGGUAACUCUAUUGUGUUACUAGUGUAAAAGAAAGUGUAAUACGAUGAAUGAAAUAGUGCAAUAUGAUGCAUGCCUUAUGGCACAAGGUUUCUCUCAAACGUCAUAUGAUUGUUUGCAGCGUUAUGAAAUGUGGUUAGUGUUUAUCCAUGGAGAUAUUGAUACAGAAAUUGACAUGUAAGUUCCCGAAGAGUUACAUGGAUCGGUUCAAAUAGUUCCAAACCACGGAACACCCUAUCAAUUCUUUUGAGGCGUUUACUUACGGACUGAAGCAAUCUGGCAAAUAUGGUAUAUCCGUCUAAGUGAUUAUUUGAUUAGUUAGGGAUAUGAAUUAUGCUCUUGUGUGUUAAACUAUGAAUUCUUAUUCUGAAUUGCUAGAGUUACCAUUUAUUUCAUUGCCAUGAAUCUCACUAAGACUUUGAAAGAGCUUAAGAAAACUACCUCGCACCUAAAGAUGGAAUUUGAGGUGAAGGAUCUUGGGAAAACUCGUUUAUGCCUUGACGUGAAGUUCAAGUGUUGUUUUGACAGUACUUUGGUCUGCUAGUCGAACUUUACCCCGAAAGUGUUACCUUUAAGUAUACCUGUAAUCUUUCAUACGCUAUAUGCAAAUGAGACCCUUGAAGAGGUUAUGAAACCCAAAAUUCCAUAGUUCAACUUUGCGCUGUGUUGUACUUAGCUCAUUGUGUUAGACAAGACAUGUCAUUCGCAGUUGAUCUAUUGGUAAUGGUGCAGCAUCGCGCCUACACGUAGCCACUAAAUUGGUAUUAAGGACAUAUUAUCAUUACCCUGAAAGGUGCGACAGAUUUGGGCUAAUCUCAAUGCAUCAUGAGCGGAUCUGACCCCAUUGAUCCUCGAAAUGAUGUGAUAGGAUUUUUACUACUUAUGUGAACGGGCUUAAAUCUCCUAUUUUACUUGCAAGAAUCACAAGGUUAUUGUAGUAUAAACGGAUUUUGCAAGGUCAUCUCCACAGGGAUUAUUAAAUAAUUCGAACUAAUCAGAUUCCAUUUAAUUAUUGUAAAGUAGAAAUUGAAGUGAUUGAUUUUAUAACCUAAUUAAAAUAAAAACGAAUUUAAUGAAUUAAAAUAAACAAUCUGCAAUAUUAGGACUAGAGAGAAGAAAACAGUUCUGAGAAAAUCAAAUUAAGAAAGCACUAGGGUUUCACCAUCACCUAGCAAUCCUACGAAUUUUUACCCAUUACUUAUGAUCUAUACAUGCUACUUUGAAGGUUAGAUUUUCCUAAUUCAUAUUCUACUUGGAACCUCCAACAUAGAACGUAUAUCUAACAUGCAACCCGUCCAGACGUUCGGAUCAAAUCUAAACAUGAAAUACUCAUUAUGCUUUAUGAAAAUCCUUUGAAAAACCAUGCAAUCCUUAAGACGUGAUAUUCAUCUUAAGAGAUUACAAUUAUUAAUCACAAGAAGCCAGUGUCAAUUUCAGGGAACCUUCCGACCAAAAUUGCAUCAAAUUACUUUUCUAAAAAUCCUAAUGGUGAUCAGGCAUUAAAACAAUUAGAUAGUUUUUAUCUUGGUGAUUAACAAUUCAAGGUACGCAUGCAAUCAAUCAUAAGCAAUUAAAUAAAAAUCACAUAUUCAUGUUAAGGCUCAAGGCUUCGCCCUAGCAAUAGAAAUUAGUUCCGCAUAUUCAUAAUUGAAAUCAUAGAAAAUAUAUUCAAGAAAAGGAUUGAAAGCACCUUCAAGUAAAAAGUCUUCAAAACCCUAACAAUUCUCUCUGUCUCCAAAAUUGCAUAAAAGAAAGCGUAGUCUAAAACUGUAGACGGCUCAGCAAUAUAUUUUCCAAGCCACCCCCCAAAAACCCUAGGAAACAUAACCCUAAAUUAAAUGAUAAAAUUCGUCUAAAAUCUGAACAGCCACGUUUUGGCCCAUAAGCUGCUCCAAAACUGGCCCAAUAUAGCUGGAUUUAAUGUUUGGAAUAUUCUGAACACUUUUCCAGAAGGCCACGAACCCAUCCGAGGUCAUUUUGGGCUCCAAAAACGCAAUUUAAGCCCAAAAACGUCACUUUCCAGCACUGCGCACUGCUUCUUUAUUUCAUCGCCAGAAAAUAACCGCUUGGUGGAAAAUUCCCAAAUUUUGAUACGAUCAAGCUAAGUGACUCACGAACGUCCUCCAACUGGAAUUACUCCAAAAUUCGUCCAUUUGGUCCUGUUUUGCUCCAGAGGAAGUUGAAAGUCCUAUAUUGAAAAUACAAUUCAAAGUAUCAAAAUUCUUCCAAUAUAUUAACCAAAAUAUACUAAGAUUAGGGUAAAAUAUAUAAUAUAAAAUAUACUCAUCAUGAUGCAUUCCUUGUUUGUUAUGCUGACGCAGGUUACUUAUCAAACCCACACAAGGUACGUCCCCGAAUGAUUAUAUCUUUACCAUUAAGUAUAUCACAAUAUCUUGGAGGUCCAUGCUAUGACUUUAGUUGUGAAAUGUUCGAAUCGUUCCAAGACUCACCUUACUUCACUAUGCUACACGUGAGACAUGGUUGAGAGCUCUUGUUGAGCAUAUUCGAAGAACGUACUGUUUUCAUUCAUCGUUAAGUCCUAACAAUGAUCCCUAAAGACUAUACAGCAUUUAUCCACCUGACCAAGACAUGAUAGAUCAACGAAGUCAACAUCAAGAAGCAUCGUGUCUACACCACAUUAGCAAAGCAUCAGGAUAUUGAAGUCAUGCAAGCCAAUCCCAGAUAACCUUGUUGACCUCUACACGACGUCACUGUCGAGGUCCACCUUCCGAAAGCUUGUCCAAGGAAUUGGUAUGCCUAACUAUUCAUAUGCAAUGCUUGUAGUUCUCAUUUGGAAGUUUUGUCAAACUCAUGGGGAGUAUCUAGAAGUAUACUCACUUGAUCUUAAUGUAUUAUUUUUCCCUACAUAAUAUUAAUGUACUAUUUUUCCCUACAAUUAGGAGCACUUUUCCUACUAUUUUUUUGCUACCUAACUAGGUUUUGACGAGGUACCCAUCUUAGACUGAUCAUACCCUUGUGAGCUUUUCUACUUGCGUCCAAAAGACGUAUAGUUUUGAUUACAUGCAACUUCUCACUUUUCUCCUUAGUCUAUGCAUUUUUAUCCCACUUGGGUUUUACCAUAGUAAGGUCUUGUGAGUUUUACCAUUUAUGCAUUCUUCCAUUGUUUUGAGACUCACAUUCGUUCAUUAUGCCGACGACUUCAUCAACUGAACUUACUUUAUCGUUGAAGACCUGAUGCACCAUUUGUUUGAAUAUUUACACACUCAAGGGGGAGUGUUGUAGUCCUAUUAAAUUAGGAAUGUGAUCGUGUAAAUCCUAAAGUAUUUGGGAUAUCUUUAGAAGGUUCUCUAGGGUUAGAUAUUAUCCUAUUAGAGUUGUAAUCCUAUUAGGGUAAGGAAUUUACCUUCCAUACUACUAUAAAUAAAGGCACAAUGGGGUGAGAUAACACGCACCUCACAAUUACACAUCUCUCUUUCUCUCUAUUGCCGCCGCACCCCCUCUCUCUGUCCUUUUUAUUGUUCAAUAAAUUAGGCCUACAACAAUAAGAGAAAUUAAAUCUGGCAUUCAUUAUAAAUAUUGACCUGGACAUAGUCAAAAGACUUAUCUUAGAUAAGGUUUUAGUCUAAAAGUAAAGUUUUUCAAGGCUUAAAAUCUAGUUUCAGGUGAGAAAAUCAAUGGAGAUCGAAUCCGCACCACAGUGCAUAGGCUAAAAGGUUGUGUGAAAAUUAUCUCCCUAUGAAAAUAUCAAAUGUAUCAACGGGGUGGUUUUGUGCUGAUUUAUUUUGCUGACCUAGGCUUAACUAAAUUGGGUAGAGAAGUGUGUUCUCAUUCUAGUGUAAAAAAGUGCUUGUAUUAAAACAAAACGUGAACGGCUGGCUUUCAAAGUUUUUUUCACAAAUAAAAUCCUUUUGAAAUCCUUUCAUAGAUAUCAUCUAUAAAGAAUAAGACUUCCUCCUACAGGUAAAUGAACGUAUUCCCAUUUUUUGUGAAUAACUUAUCUUCAAUGUAUAAAUUUUAUAAUUGGAACACAGUUGAUGGCAGUGACCGAAAGGUUUUACAUUCCGUACUACCUCAAUCAAACCCUAUCAAGCCCUUCUAAGUAUAGGCCAUACAACUGCGGCCGGAAGGCUCUGUAAUUUCAGUGUUGAAACAUCCAUGAUUCAUCACUUCAGGAUUUUAAUUGAAUAACAGAAGCAAUAUUUUAUUUGGACUACCUUGUGUUCCAAGCAUGAAAGGAUACAAAAAUACGGAUUUGGAUCCCAUUCGGAUCUUCUUUGUGAGGAUCUCAUCAUAUCUGUUAAUUGUACAUCGUAUGGCCCGAUAUCAUUUUGAAUUUUUUUUUUAAAAAAAUUAGACACAAACAAUACCUAAUGAUAUGUGGCCACAUAAUGUAUGAUAAACGGAUAUGAUGUGAGAAUCCUUACAAAGAGAAUAUGGAAAGGAUCGUCAUCCCAAAAAUACUACACAUAAGCGCGGAUCAAUUAUUUGACCAUCCUACGAGAUAUGGCAUUGAAAUUUUGCUCUCACCAUCUUCCACAUUUUCAAGCUUUUGGCAUCAGCAACAUUAACAAUUACAAGACCAAAUGCUUGUUUAUUCAAGUAGUAACCUCUAAGUCUCGGGAGAUGCAAUUUUAAAUUUAUCAGUCAAAUUCAACAGAAGUUUUUGGUCCAACCCAAACUCUCUUUACUUUUUGAACUUAAUAAUAUAAAUACACAACAAUGAAUCUGUUUGUCAAUCAAUUUGGUGGUGACCAAACCAGCAACACAAACACAUAUGGAUCAACGAAAGCCAAAUUUGAUUACAUCAAUCUCUACUUUUCUCAUCGUUCUUCUUCUCUGUGUAGCAAAUGAAAUCGAGUCGGCACCUACAAAUCCAAGCAAGCAGCAGCACUUUGUGUUAGUUCAUGGGUCAUGCUUCGGUGCUUGGUCUUGGUACAAGCUUGUAACCCUAGUUAGAUCAUCCGGUCACAACGUCACUGCCCUAGACCUAGCUGCUUCCGGGGUCGACCCACUGCAGGCAAAGAAUCUGCGAUCGAUUUCCGACUACUUGAAGCCCUUGAGGGAUUUCAUGGAAGCUAUUGAUGGAAAGGUGAUUCUUGUUGGUCACAGUCUUGGUGGGUUGGCCAUUUCUCAAGCCAUGGAAAGAUUUCCAGGUAAGAUAUCUGUAGCUGUUUUUGUCACUGCCCUGAUGCCAGGCCCGGCCCUCAACAUUUCCAGCCUUAAUAAAGAGGUACCUACCUGCACAUUUUUAUAACAAAAAGCCCCAUCAUAUAACACUAUUGUCUUCUGUAAUAUUAUUUAUCUCCACUUAUAAGUGAGAAAGUUUUGAAGUUCCAAUAUCAUAUAAUGAGUUCAAAUUAAAUUAUUAUGACAAACACAUUGUGUGAAUUAGCCCAAAUCUCGUACUCAUUAUAAUAUAUCGUUAUCUUAAAACAUAAUAAUAAAAGAUAAUAUCUCUAGAUUGAUUGACAUAAUUAAACAUAGAUCUACAAAAGUACAUCUUCAUUUUUUGUAUAAAUACUUUUGAUAUUCUUUAUACUAGGAGAUAAGAGACUGGCUAAACUUCAUAAAAGGGUAUUUAUAAUAAUUUGGUUUGAAUUCACUUUUAGCGAGAAUCAAACAUACACCUCAACCAUGUGUUGGUGGUCUAGUGGUAAAGGGCAGCUUGCGAUGCUUCAUUCAAACUAAAAGAUGGAGGUCUCAUGUUCCAAAACCCGUUGUUUGUGUGGAAGCUAGACUUGUGGCCAGAGAGAAACUGAAAUGCAUCUGUGAGUCUUCACGGCCCCCGAAGAGGAUGGAUAAUCGUGACUUACCACAAGUUCUCCCUCUUUUUAAGAAAAAUAAGAACAUAAACCUCUCACUUACAAGUAAAAAAGAAUAUACCAUAGUACUAAGUGACAAAAUUGAAAUAAGAACAAUAAGAUAUUUUGGGAAAGGAAUCAUCUCUGGAUCCAUUCCUCCUAAUCCACCAAAUCAGAGAAUCGGUGUCAUUGAAAUUUGAUCAAACGGCUACAAACAGGGCCCACUUUAAAAGUUAUAAUAAUUUCAACGGUUGGAUUAAUUUUCAAUGAUACGGAUUCUCUGAUUUAGUGGAUUAGGAGGAAGGGAUCCGGAAAUGAUUACUUUUCGAUAUUUUGUAUUUUAAACCUAAAUGGGAGACUCAUUGUCUUUUAAUUUUUUUUUAUUAUAUGUUGGAAUUAUAAAGUCUUUCAGGAGACAAGAUUCUCUAUUAGACAGUCGAUACACAUACGACCAAGGCCCAAGCAAUCCUCCGACCACUCUCAUAUUUGGCCCGUUGUAUUUGGUAUCAAGAGUGUACCAACUUAGCCCAAUUGAGGUAAGUGGAAUCUCAACUGUUCAAUCAUUGUCAAACCUAUAAGAUCUGACCGUUCAUGUAAUGUACUAUAAUUUGCUGCAGGAUGUUGCUUUAGGCAGCAUGCUAAUGAGACCAAUACGUUUGUUCAGUGAAGAGGACUUGUCCAAGAAACUCAAGCUAACCAACGAGAAUUACGGGUCGGUCAAUCGGGUUUACGUAAUAUCGGAAGGAGAUUUAGUCGGAAAGAAGGACUUUCAACGGUGGAUGAUCAAGAAAAAUCGGCCAAACAAUGUGGUGGAAAUCACAGGAUCUGAUCACAUGGUCAUGAUAUCCAAGCCAUUGGAACUUUGGCUGCAUCUCCAAAUAAUUAUUAAAAAGUAUACCUAAUAGCUUAAAUUAUCUCUAAAUAAUAUGUCAAAUUUUAAACAUGAAAUUUAAAUUUGAAGAUGUAUAUUAUAACAUCUCACAUCGCCUAUGUGAGUGGAUCUUGUAAGUCUUAUAUGUAUAUUCUCAUCUCUACCUAGCACGAGACCUUUUGGGAGCUCACUGACUUCGGGUUCCGUAGGAAUUCCGAAGUUAAGUAAGUUCGCACGAGAGCAAUCCCAUGAUGGGUGACCCACUGAGAAGUUCUCGUGUGAGUUCCCAUAAGCAAAACCGUGAGGGCGUGGUUAGGGCCUAAAGCGGACAAUAUCGUGCUACGACGGAGUCGAGCCAGGAUGUGGUGGGGGCCCGGACCAGGAUGUGACAUAUAUGACACUUUGAUUUUUUUUUUUUUUUAAUUUUGUUAUCCACCUGAUAUGUCAAGUUUAAACUGUUAUUUAUUUUUCAUAAUUUUAAUAAGUAUUUAAAAAAUAAUUAAAAUUAUGAAAAACAUUUACUAAUCACCAAAAAUAGAUUUGAAGUUGCUGUCAAAUUUGGUAGCAACCACCUUUACUGUUAAUCCAUAUCAUACCACAUAGAAAUUGACAUUUCGGUUGGAAUCACUAAUGCUGUCUUUUUUUACUGUUAUUGCUGAUGUAGACUUUUUUACUUCUAAUAUUAGAGAAUUGUUAUUAGCAUUCCAAAUAUCUCAUUCUACACUCCUCACAAGUGUAUUUUUCUUUCUAAUGAUAGAAAGUAUGAAAUGUAAAAUGAGAUUUUUGGAGUGCCAAUAACAAUUCCAUAAUAUUAUUGUAAAAAUAAAGAUUAAGUAUGAAUAACUACCCAACCAUCUAAGGUGAUUCCAAAUUAAACCCAACCUUUUAAAACGUUCCAAAUAACUACUUAACGUCUAGAAAAACAAACACUCGUUUGGUCACCAAGGUUAAGUGAUGAUGUUAUUACCGUUAAUUGAUAAUGUCCUUAAUGUUAAGUGAUGUUGUGAACAAAUAUUGAAGUAGAUUUUCCCUAACACAUCAUUUGGAGUUUUAAAUCCCAAAAUGUGUCCUUCUUAGCCAGAAUAAACAUUAAGUUUGUCUACUUAAAAGGGAUCAGUUUAGGGAUCAAAGAUUUUAUAGAUGAUAUGAGAGUGAAACUCGCUUCAGUACUUGUCCAUGUUAUAACUUAAUGUUGGUGGUCUAAUGAAUGUCUAAUUUUCAACACUUUAGUAAUUAUUUGAAAUGUUUUAAAAGGUUGAAACCAAUUUGGAAUUACCUCUUAAGAUUAAUUAACCCUAAAAAUAAAAAACUUAGGGAAGUGGGUUAGGCCUUUUCUCUUCAACACACUAUUCCCGAGUUCAAGCUAUUCAUUUUCUUAGUGUAUAACACUUCAAAAAAUUAAAAUAAAAACCAUAGAAAUCGGCUUCCACUUGUGCAUUGCACAAUUGCAUAAUGGUUGAUAAAAGCAGAAGCUUUUUGGGUUCUUUUUUACUUUUUUUUUCUUGAAAAGAACGUCUCGUAAUGUAUUGGAGAGUAUAAUUUAGAGUAAAUUAUAGUAACGAUCCUUAACUUUAAUUCAAUUGGAGCAAUAGUCCCUCAAUUAAAAAUUCAUUAUCAUUGGUCCCUCAACUCAUCAAAACGUGCAGCUAUGAUCCCUCAACUAAAAAUCUAUUACCAUUGGUCCCUCAACUUUAAUCCAACUAGAGAAAUGGUCCCUCAACUUUAACUCAAUUGAAACAAUGAUCCCUGAAACUUUAACACAAUUGUAGCAAUGGUCUUUCCAACGUCACUCAUUUUGACAAAAUUUUGACGAAGUUGAUGAAAAUGGCCACAGCUACAAGUUUUGAUUAGUUGAGGGACCCCGAUUGUAGCAAUGGUCUUUCCAAUAUAACUUAUUUUGACAAAAUUCUGACAAAGUUGACGAAAUGGACCAUAACUACACAUUUUGAUGAGUUGAGGGACCAUUGCUCCAAUUUGAUUAAAGUUGAGAGACCAUUGCUACAAUUUACUCUAUAAUUUAUGCCUAAAAUUUUCAAUUCUACAAAUUAUGGGUUUUGUUUAAAAUCUCAUUAAUAUAAACAACUAUAAUUUUUAAUUUUUAAUUUAAAAAAUAUAAUAACUUACAUAUAAAUACAUUAUUACAUUAAUGUCAGGGAAUUCAAUAAAAAAACUUACAACCAACAAGAUUUUUGUCAAAGAACAUUGAUAUCUAGGAACCUUAUCUAAAGUCUCUCAUAAAACCUAGUCCAUGAUUAUUAUUUUUUAUUUGUUAUUAGUACAUAUAAAAAAAAGUGACAAGAGACCUCUACCACAUUAAAAAAGAUGAAUACCUCUAAAUUUAUAGUAUUUAAUUUAUAAUAGUAUUUUUUCUUUGUCAAACGAUAGAUUUUAUUAGAUUAAAUAUUAUAUUAGCCACCGAUGAGAUUCGAACUCAUAAUUUAUAAUAGUACUUUACAUGUGUGAUUUGUGAGUAGUAUGUAUUUAGAGUUUAUCAAUUUAAGCAAUUAGACGCUGAGUAUUUUCUUAGAAAAGUUGAGAAAUGCUAAGGAGACUCUUUUAAAAGUGAGACUCUCCGCCACCUUAUAUUUUUGGCACAGUUUCCGUGCUAAAAUAUAAAACAUUAUGCCAAAAAUAUGAGAUGUCAGAGAGUUUAUGAAAAGUUUCAUUUGAGAGAGUUUCCUAAGCAUUUCUCUAGUAAGUUUGUUAGGAAUCCAAAACGUGUAAAGUCAUUCGGAAGACUUGAUACAUGCCUUAACGUGGCUUCUCAAUGUAUAUGUAUGUGUAUAAUCCCAGUAAGUGAAACCCUCAGGAAAUAAUAAUUUGGAUUAAUAUUCUGAUUAGACUUGUCAAUUUUUUACAAAAUUUGUUAACUCGACUUGAAAUGACACGAAAUUAACAGGUUUUAAGUUGAUAAGAUAACGAAUCGGAUCGUUAUCGAGUAACCAAUAAACACCUGUAAAGAUAACGGAUCAGUCCAGGUAUGCACGCGGGUAAUCCGAAACAUGAAAAGAAAAAUAUUAAUUUUAUAAUUUUAUACCACUAAAAAAAUACUAUAAUUAAGAGCACUAGGAUUAAUCUCACUUUUGUGAGGUUAAAUCCCUACCACUGAAUUAUGAAUUCCAAUUACAACAGCAAUCAGUAGUAUAGACACAAAACUUAAUUCUCAAUCGCAAUUUCACAAAACGUAAUAUAUUUUUUAAGUGAUAAGUACUAUUAUUUAUUCCUUUUUCAUAAUUAUUUUUGGUAAACUUCUCAUAAUUUGAAUGGUUUAUAGUGUUUGGUUUUUCUAUACUUGGUUUAUGCGGAAGAGACUUCUAAUGUGGAAAACAUUACUGAAAACGUUAUCAAUAUAAUUCUUGAAGACAAUAGAACAAGCCAAAGUUCCUAUACCAUUUCUCCAUGAUGAAUGAUGAAAAUUGAAGGAUUUUGUAAAAAGAACAACAUGCAAGCUUUGAGUUUUUUUUUUUUGGUUUAAGGCAAGCUUUGAGUUUCAUUGGCAAGGUUUUAAUUUUUUGAAAAAUGUUCAUAACCUUGAAAAGAAAAACCCCUUCAUUUUGCAUAUCCUUGCACAUUUGAUAUUUUGUAGUAGUGUAGUGAUACUUUUUUAUUAGGCACUUAUGUUGGAGUAUGUAGUACUUAACGACAAAUGUGUUUUUAUGUUUUGAAGAAAUAUUUAUAUGGCAAUGUGUUGUGUGCAAAUUAAUUUUUUUUUAACGGGUUAAACGGGUCAGGUUAUUUUACCUGUUAAUUUUAACGGGUAAAGUAACCCGACCUGUUAAGAACCCAUUAAGAUAAUGGCUGUGACACGAUACGACAUAUUAAGAUAACAUAUGUUACACAAAAACAAAAUGAACACAACAAACACAACCUGUUUACCAGACCUAAUCCUAAUUAAGCCAAACAAAUAUCUUGAUAUAUAUCCUGAUUAAGCCAAACAUAUUAGCCAAAUGUCAUCCUUAUCAAUUUGAGUAUAUGACUGUAUGUGACAGGAUAAUCUGUGAAUGUGAUCAAAUCAAAUGGUCAAUGAUGGAAAUAGGUUAGUUCACAAGAUCAGUCAAUGUCGCUUAGACUAUCGAUCACAAUAUGGUGUGAAGGACAUGAAUUUAAGAGGGAGAAUGGAAUUGAAUGAAUAUGUCUUGACCCUAAAAACUACCAAGCCUACGUGGUGCGUAGGCCGAAUAACUAAUGAGCUAACUACGUCAUUCAAUUGAUGCAAGGCGUGCCAACACGUUGGCCGAGCUCGGCCGAGGAGUAAAAUAUGUUGAUGUUGCGUUGAGCGCACGGCUGACUUCUCGAUCUUACAACUACGGCCGAGAAAGGAACACGUCUCGGCUUUUGGGUUCUAGAGCCUGAAGACAAGGCUGCUAGUUCUACGAAGUUCACAAAUCGUCUACGUCGGAUUCAAUCACGAUGAUUAUGUUUGUAAGAAUAUAAGCACGCCGAAUUAACACGAGACUAUAUGGACACAAGUAUUCAAAGCAGAUGAACAUUUUAAUCGUAAAUCUGGUUCGGCCGUCAGAAUGUCGAACUCUAAAUCUAACUUAUGAGUAUCCAAUCAUAAAACAACUCGACCUUCAAUGUGCCGAGCCCUAGUAAACUGUAACACCUCACCUCGCCAAAAAGGCUAAUGAGAUUACCUCUGCCAAUAAAGACCCGAAAGUUUUUCUCGACCGAGACUUGGAUAGAUAACUAGUCGGCCUUGACACAGUAUUGUUUAUCCAAACUGAAGGUGUUUCGCGAUAGGCUGAUUCUACGGCGACAAUGCUAGUUAUCCAAACUGAAGAUGUUCGCCAGUUGCCUUCACCGUGAUAUUUAUCCAAACUGAAGAUGUGUUGGCGGAAAAAGAAAAUAAAAAUCUCAAAGUUGUUGAGAGGUUUCGCGAAGAGCGAGAGUUUGCGCAAGGCAGUUUGUGUGUUGAAUAUUGUGAAAAUCAUGUUAAUCAUAAUCAUAUUCCAACAGAUAUGGGUCCAAUGCAGUCUAGAAAAUAGAAUAUGUACGUAGUAUAGCAUCUUCUUUUUUAGUCGUCUACAAUAUUAUGGCAUCUUUGAACGUGUAAUGGAAUAAUAGUAGCGAGUAAUGCAAAUUGUAAAGAAUGGAAAUGUUGACCAUGGUCUUUGAAAUUAUUAUAUUAUGGGGCUAACUACAAUUUAUACUCUCAAAUAUUUUUAGUGUGUUCAGAAUAUAAGUACACUACAUAUCAUAAUACAAGUGAAUAGACACUAAAAAAUAUCUCUUCUCUUAUAUAUGACACCUAGUGUACCGUCUUAGAUUUUGCGUACAUGAAAAAAUUCUCUCACCUUUGAGGUGAUUUUAUCGAGGUUCUAGUUUUCUCAUACUACUUUCUGAGGUUUUGAAAUUAUAUUAGUGUACACUUUUUGUUCUUUUCAAAUUAAAAAUCUUCCAUUAAAUUGAUAAUUUUUUUUUGUCUAUGUGGUGCAAAUGUAGCUUACGCGUUUUCCCAUACAAGGAUCUAGGCUCACUAUGCCAUAAGUUUUAUGAAGCAUAUCAAACAAUCCAUCCGACCAAAAACAUAAAUUGAUACAAUUUUAAUACCUUUGUAAAAUGGAAAAAUUUAUACUUUAUAUUAGUAAAGUAUACAACUUUGUUCUUAAUUAUUCUCAUUUGUGUGAUAUACAUUUUAAUACAUAAGUGAUUGUGUAAAUCCUAAGUAGAGAUAAAUUAGAACUCAUACCGGACUAGAAAAUCUUUCCUAUUAAACUUUUAUUACUUGGAGAGCAAGUUUCUCUCGUCCUUAUUACUAUAAAUAAAGGUACAGAGUAUGGGGAUAACAUAUAGAAUUCCUCAAGCCUAUUUUCCAUCUAUCUUUCUCUCCAUGACGUGCGCUCUCUCUAAACUCCUCUCUCAAUUCUUUAAAAUAGUUCAUAACAUGUUAUCAGCACGAUUUUGACGCUACGCUAAAGAGAAUUCAUCCAUCUUUAAUCAAGGAGUAUUAUGUUUCAAUUAUUCUUAAUUGAUUAAUUUUGAGUCUAUUGAAUUCAUAUACUUUUUUUAAUUCAAUUUAUUAUUCUCGUGCUGAACAUGAUUGAUAACACAAUAUUUAUACAUUUAUAUUGCCCAUAUUUCCUAAGUUUUAUGCUAUGUUUUCUUAUGAAAUUGGUUGUUUAAUGUGUUUAGUGCAUAUUGUAUAGAUAAUGGACCGCAGAGAAGACUUUGGAGUCUUUUGGUGAUUUCAAGACUAAAAAGGAUCAAAACUGAGAAGAAUUGAAGUUAAGAAGUGGAGUCCAGUUUGAAUGAGGAAACAUGUUGGGAUUCUUGUUUGGGCUGGGAUUCAACAAUUGCAGCAAAGCAAAGCCUAACCUAAACCUAACUAUAUAUUCCUUGGAUGAUUGUAAAAAGAAGAAAAAAUGAGCAGCAACUUGGAAAGAAAAAGAGGAGUCACACUUCAUCAUAUGGUUUUAGCGAAUUGACCUAAGGAAGAUGACAACGCCAAGGGGUCCUCCAAGGGUUCUCCUUUACAUAUUUUCAGACUUUGUUUCAUGAUUAUGUUUUGUUAUAAUUUGAUGGUCGUGAUGAACUAACUCCUUUAUUAGGGAUCCGAUGUAGCCUUUAUGAUAAUUCUAUGUCUUAAUUAACUUUACUCUUUAUCAAUUCAAGGUUUUCUAGUUUCAUUCAUUAUGCUUAAAUCAUUCUUUAUGUUCAUGUUAUUGAUUAGCUACCUUUAAUAUGAAUUUUUAGAUGUAUGAGACAAGGUUAUAGUAGACGCCAUAUGCUUAGCCUUGAGAUAGCUCUCUUGAAUGAAUGAAUUGAUGUUGAUGCAAACGCCAUGCUAAGACACUUUUUGGUUUUCUUUGUUCUUCUUGCACUUAAUGGAUUUUUGAUUAUUGACUUAGACUAGAUGCCAUGGUUAUGUUGAUGAUUAAGAAUACUUGGUUACACCUGGAUGCCUAACAGAUAAUCAUAAUAAAGAGAGAACGAACCCUAGAACCUGAAUUGAAUUGUUCUUACUAAGUUAUCUAAUGACAUAGAAUUGGAUUGAUAUGGUGAAGUCGGAUACCUAGUGUUUCAACCAUUGUUUUCAAAAAUUAUUUACAUAAAUUCUCUUUAAUUUACUGCACUUAAGAUUACUUGUUCAACUUCUCUUUGGUUAAUUAUUUGAAUUUCGUAGUUUAGUUGUUUUCGUUAUUUUAAUUCUAGUGGGUACUACAAAAUUGGAUUUAGUUUGGUGACUUUACAAAUCCUUGUGGGUGCGACACUCGUAUUUGUUUGCUAUACUAUCAUAUCGAUUCGUACUUUCAUACCUCACGUACUAUUUUAUUUCAAAAUAAUACCUCUAUUAGAUUUUCCAUCUAUUAAUCCGUUAAAUGCUGACGUGGCUGCCAUAUUUGUGCCACAUGACUGCCAAAUGUGUGCCACGUUAAAAGGUUUUUUUUUGAACAACCCAAAUCUUCUAAAAUAAAAAAAAAUUAAAAAAAACUGAAAAACGCAGAACCCACACCCCACCUUCCCCAUAACCCCUCCCCACCCAUCUUCUUCCCUGCAACCCAAACACCCAUUCCCACCUUAACCCCACCUCCCCCGCCAGCCCCCCAACCUCACCUCCCCUCCCAUCCAAAAACCCACCCAAUCUCAUCCAAACAAACGCUCAAAUCUCCUUCUCCCCCACAUUUCUCUGAUUCGGAUUUGACUUUCCUCGUUUCAGAUCCGCCGAGAUCAUCCCCUACCUCUUCAUCACCGCCCAUCAUGCUCCUCUUCAACGACGACACGAUCCGACGAGAUCGACUCCAAGGGGAAGGUCCACGAUCUCCUGCAGCCCCACAAUCCGACGACUCACCUUUCUCCUCGCUUGCCUCACCGCGGGUAUCGAGUCCAGCUUCAGCAGCAACUGCAUCAGGGAUUUGGUGGUCGGUGUCCAUUUGGAGGCGGGAAUCGGGGCCGAACACCUAAUACUUUUCGAGGAAGCCAUAGUUGAAGGAUCUGGGGAGGUCUGCUAGGCAAACUUUGAGGGAAUUUUGGGGAGAAAGAUGGGCGUUUUGGGAAAUGAAAGAUGAGCAAGAAGGAUGAGAGGAAGAAGGAGAAGGAUUGGAGAGGAAGAAGAGAGAACGAGAGAGAGAGCGCAGAGGAGAGUGGGAAAGAGCAACAGGGAAUAUGAGUGAGUUUUUUUUUCUUUUUUUUUAAUUGGAUAAAUUAUUAUAAUAUUUUAAAAGAAUAAAAAAUUAUUAUUUUUUGCCACGUGGCACAAAUGUGGCAGUCACGUCAGCAUUUAACGGAUCAAUGGAUGGAAAAUCUAACGGAUGUAUUAUUUUGAAAUAAAAUAGUACGUGAGGUAUGAAAGUGAAAUGUUUUAAAGAUGUUGUUUGGGGUUGUAAUAGACCUCAAACCUGAGGGGUUACUAUGUAAUUUACCCUAACAAAAAAAGUACAAUAAGUAAAUUAAAGCAAUAGGUGGUAAUUUCAACCAUAGUGAAUAAAUUGCAUUUAAGUAAAUAAAGUUUGUGACAAGGGCUUUAAUUCAGUAUCAUUCUCAUAAAUAAAAACUUAAAGCAGUAGACGGUAAAACCGUCCAUGAUAAAUAAAUUGCUUUAAAGUAAAUAGAACUUGUGAAAAUAUUUUAAGCUAACAUCAUUCACAUAAAUAAAAAGUAUCAGAACCUUUUAUUUUGCCACUUCCUUUUGUCCCUUUUAUUUGUUAAUUAAUUUUUUUUUCUAUUGGCACCAAACUUCAAAACCUUUUCUCACUGCACAAUUCCUUUGCUUUUUACUUUUUUUCAAGCUCAUCAGUUCUCUUUCCUUAUCACCUGAGGAUGCACCAUCUCCUUUUUUUUUAUUUUAUUAUUAUUGUCCUUAUGGUGCCACGCAUGUUCCAUAAAUUUUUAGUGCAUGUCAGCAUCAUACUUUUGUCUGAACCUUUUUCAAAACAUCCAUCUUUUACUAUUGACUGAAGUCCUCUGGUUCUGGCUCUGCCUCAUGACUUGGCCGUUCUCGUAGCAGCUCCAUGAUAUCGUCUUCAUGGAUCAGCAACUUCUGCAAAACAUAGAGAAACAAAAACUAAAGCCAAGAAAGAUCAAAGAAAAGUUUUAUACCAUCCUCCCUGCUCUUAGCAGAAAGAGAAGUUGCAACCCACCACCCCCAGCACUAGAUCACAUGAAGCUUUUUGCUGCCACCAUGUCUGAAGAGGAUCGCAACAGGAAGCAGCUCUAGUCCAUCAGUGCCUCAUUGGAUUGCAGGAGCUCGAUGUCAAGCUUGCCAAUGUAGACGAAGCCGCAGUCCCUUCUUAUCAGGGCUGGUCUAGAGAUUUUUAAGGACCAGAAUGAUGCUAAAAAAUGUGCCCCACUUUAUGUAAGAAAAUUAUUUGUUUUGACACAUAAGACAUCGAUAAAAUUAUACUUGGAAAAUCACUUCAAACUUAAUAAUUUAGAAAUACAGAAAAAUUAAUUUAUUAUCGUGAGAAGGAAACAAAAAUAACUUUAGGUUUAUAAGUAGAUAGAUAUGAGUUUUGUUUUCCAUCAGAACUUUUAAAGUGUUUUUGUAUAAAUCAUGAGGUGUUUUUUCUUAUUUAUUAACCUUGUCAAUACGCAAUUAAAAAAAUAAGGCCUAAUCGAUAAAUGGUCCCCAUGGUCAUAAGGUAUUCGGAAGAUAGCCCAUGUGGUAAAAAAAUUUGGAUUUAAACCCCUGUAGUCUAAGUUUGUUAGGAUUUAUGCUUGAAAUUAGAACUUCUGUCAUUCCUCCUUUAGUAGCUUGCAGGUGGAUCUCACGGGUAAGACUAAGAUGGUCAUUUCAUCCCUUCCAUUUAUCUCCUUUCAGAACGAUGAUGAUGGCCACAACCGCACCGCCAAACUUGUUGUCUAUGUCUUAUCUUCCUCGCCACAAAAACAAAUCAAAAUCUUUCAGACCCUCAAAUGGUUACAUCUUCCUCAAACCCUCUUCAAAAACCCCUAUGUUAUCUCCAAAUUCGGGUGUUUCUCGUGCCCGAUUUCGCGUCUCCGACUUUCUCGCCACACCCACCAUCACCAAAGUUGCAGACAAGAACACCAAGAUUAACAAGUACUAAAAAUGGGUAAUCUGAAAUCCGCAAUGGAAAUGGUGUCGGGGGCUCAAAAAUUCGAGCUUGACCUUGAUAGAAGCAUAUUUAUGCGACUUAGUUAGCUUGUUUUCUUGCAUUUUCAUAGCGAGUUUGUGUUUAUUAUAGUGUGUUAAGCUAUUUUCAUGUGUUUGUAGGUCCUAAUGGCAAAGUUGGCAAGAAAGUGCAUUUUGAAGCAUUUUAAAGCACUUUUGGGCUGAAUUGGAUUGCAUGCAUAUAGAGCACAAGGAAUGGACGUUUUUGAAGAUCAAGUGAAGCUAGGAAUGUGCUACAAAUCUGGAGAAAUUAUUUCAAGACUUGGAAGAUAAGGAAUCAGCAAGAAAGAAGGAACAUUAUCCAAACCUUAUCCAAACUGCCUUAUCUUAUCCAAACUGUAACUAACCUUAUCUCAUCCUAUCCUAAUCUUUUCCUAACUUAAUUCCUGCUACAAGGGGGAGUUAAUUUCUGAUUUAAAUCAUCUAGAAACCUUUCUAGAAGGCCUUAUCUGUUCCUACAUUGGUGCUGCAUGUUUUUAGGCCUUGUUCUUCUAGAAAUCAGCCACAUAACAUUGUUUCUAGAAUUCCCUACAAAAGUGGCGCCCCAAACCCUUCUAGAAACCCUAAAAUCUGUACAAACCCUAGUUCUUUUCCCCCUUGGAUUGAGGCCUAAGCCUUUGUCGAAAAUCCUAAGCCUUUUCCCAUCAGAAUUUGUCAAAACCCUAGGCUAUAAAUAUGUGUUUUCAGCCAUAAUUUUGCACCCCCACCACCCCCCAUAUAGUUCUACACCCCUUUCAGCCGUAAAAACACCACCCACCACACCAUAAUUCGUUCUACACCACCAUCCAUUCAGAAAUCCAUAUUUUACCGCAUAAGAAAGAGGACAAGACCUGGUCGUGGCUUCCAUUGGAGAAUGAGGAGUGUGCCGCAAGCCUACAUGCAUCCUUUGGAGUUUCUAGAGUUCUUUCUUCCCUUGUUUUGUUUCCAUGUUUAUUUCAGAUUGCUUUUCAAUUGUUAUGAACAUGAAGAACUAAAUUCUUUUUAGUUAGAGGUGAAUUCGAAGCCAUGAUUAUAUGUUUUUUAUAAAUUGAUUACCUUCAAUUUUUGUUUCGUAAAACAUGAAUGUGGUUUACUUAUCUGAUUGAUUGAAAACUUAUUUGUGUAUGUUGAUUGAGGGUGCACACUUAAUUUGCAUGCAUGAAUCUGAUGCUAAAAUAUAAGGGAGUUUCACCUAAUCGUUAUGAACUUAUAUUUACAAGUAGUGAAGGUUGCUAGUCACAAUCGUGUUAGGUAAAUCCAUGGCAGGAGUAUCAUGCUGUUCAUAGUUACGAAUGUCAUGUCAAUGUUUAUGAUUUUCAUAUAACUUAAUGAUCUUUGAUUGUAUAUUUAUCAUGCUGUUCAUAUAGGGAACUUGAGAAGAAUAAUUUGAUUGCCAAUGCAUAUUCCAUCCAAUUCAAUGAACUUAGGAACAUCUGAAAGUUAAUUUGUGCUUUUCACGAUUAAUUUGGGGCAUUGUCGUUUAUAGUUUAAAGAAACAAUACUGGAAAUCAAUUUAUGUUGCAUAUGUUUCAUGUGUGGAGCUAUGUGCUCGAAUGAUGUCGCUGCAAGACGGAAAAAUGGUUCACUCAAUUAUCUGUGACAAUGGUAUGGAAGCUGAUGGGCAACUGGGUGCCAAACUUGUGUUUAUGUAUGUAAGGGAUGAAAUGGAAAUGAUGAAAUGAUCAUCUUAGUCUUACCCGUGAAACCCACCUGCAAACUACUAACUGAGGAAUGACAUAAUUUCGAGCAUAAAUCCUAACAGACUUAGACCACAAGGGUUUAAAUCCGAUUUUUUUUUACCAUAGGGGCUAUCUUUCGAAUACCUUAUGAUCACAUGGACCAUUUAUCUGAUUAGGCCAAAAAAAUAAUGAUGUUUUGAAUAUUUAAUUGAUAUGUAUAAGUAAUAAAUGGGUAUUAAAUUAAACUUUUUGAUGACACGUCAUAUAAUUUGCAAAUUUGGUCAACACAUUACUUUUUGUUGAAGAUUAGACUUGAAUUGGAACAAAUGUCUAAAAAUAACAACCUACAUAGCUACUAGCUACUAAUUAAAAAUAAAUUAACAACCAAACAAAAAUUCAUAAAAAUCGAAAAAAAUAAACAUGCAUUUAGCAUUUCGAACUUAUGACCCCUAGUUAAUUUUAAACAACAAAAACCAUUAAUUAAACUUCUUGAUUAUUUAGCCAAAUUUUAUAUAUUUAUAAUCUUAUGAAAAGAAAUUUGUAAAAAUUGAAAGGUAAAUAACCACACAUGGUAUUUUGAACCCAAGACAUCCUCAUUAAUUUCAAAUAACAAAACCACCAAUUCUAGUUAAAUUUCUUUAUAAUUGAACCAAGUUUUAUAAAUUUAUACUCUUAUGAAAACAUAUAUAAAUAUAUCACCCUAAUAAUUUUAGUGCUCCCAAUUAUUUUGGACCCCGAACGAUCACCCUACCAUCACUGGGCUUGGACGGGGCCCGCUCCUUAUGAGGAGGUAGUCUGGGCUUGGACGGGGCCUGCUCCUUAUGAGGAGGUAGUCGUGGCUGAGAGCGAAGAUGAACCCAACCACGAAGGUGUGGCCGAAGACAGUGUUGACGGUGGGCAUCGUGAGGGAGAUGAGAUCGGCAGUGGGCCUUCUGUCAACUCCAGCAGAUCUGAGGGAAGGCCAUUAUUUCUUGUUUCUUUCCACUGGCACGAAAGCAACUCGUGUUGAUAAUGUAUUGUAAAAUCGACGGUGUUUGUGCUGAUAACAUUUCUUCCCACUUGUAGCUUAGUGGAUUAGUGGCCAGCGCGAACAUCCACCAUUUUACAACAAUUUGUAAACGUGGUCUGCUUUUGAUAUGGAGAUUUAGAAAUAGUUGGCAUGCAUAUAUUACAAAAUAGUUACGUGUGCUUGUUGAAUUUAUUUGAUUUUUUAUUUACACUUUUUUCGUGUCUCGGAUGUUUUAUGUAUGGCAUUUUCAGAUAAAUACUGUAUACAGUGGUGAUUAAGAAUCUGUGUAUGGUCAUCUCCCCAAAAGCAUAACUUACGUAAUUUUAACAUCUCUAAUUUUUUAAAAUAAAAAAUAAAUAAAAAAGAUAAAAAAGAAGAUCUUCCAUUUCUGUUUAAUUUUUUAAAAUGAAGAUGAUCAUCGGGAGAAGAUCUUCCAUUUCUGUUUAAGUUUUCCUUCAAAUACUUUUUCCCUAUCCUCCUACACAACAACAUUAGUAAACUCAAUUAUUUAAUGAUUACAGUAAUGUAAAACAAGAUAAUUACAUAAGAAUAGAACCUCCAACAGUAUGCAAUUGAAAUAUAUAAGUUUUUCCACUAUAAGAACAUCACCGUACCUUGCUACUUACAACGACAAAAGUGGAUAAGUAAGACAAAAGUUGAUACUUCUUUGUAGUAAAUUGCUACUUACAACGACAAAAGUUGAUAAUUAUCCUAAAUAUAAAUAAUGUCAUUUUGGCCUACAAGAGAGAUCGCAGACCAAGUCACAUUUUCACCAAGGAUGGGAAGUUCAACAGUUGGAGGGCAAACAUAUUUCACAGUGGUCAGAGAAAGUAAACUUUAAAAAGAACAAGAAAUGUGCAAGGUUUUGAGAGGAUAGAUGUACAUAAGUCUCACCUGGCUUGCAACAAGGAGAACUGCAUUGGCAUUUUCUUUCUAGGAAAACACUGAUCAACUAUCACCAGAGAACUGAAACGCCCUUUAUUGCAAGAGCAUUAAAGGCUAACAAGCUGAUGUGCAGAAUCUGCAAGUAGAUGCCAAUUCAUUCAACCCAUCAAGUUAUUAAGACGCUAUCCAGAGACUACUAAAUUCAAAUUCAUCAAAUGAAUUUUGCUUCUCACCCAUAAUAUAAGUCUGGCUCUUCUUAAGACGAAGAAUGUCCAUCAAAUCUACUCAGUUUGAAUACACCAUGGGAUUUAAGAUAUUGGAUACGAAGGCAAUCAAAAGAUCACAUAAUAACUUUUGGAUUAUUAUUUUUGCGAAGAGACAAACCUUUUGUUUAUGUAACAAAAAUUACAUAAAUGGGGGUAAGGCUAGCCGACAUUCACCUCUCCCAGACCCUGCAUCAAGCGGGAGCCUUGUGCACUGGGUACGACCUUUUUAACAAAAAUUACACAUCAUUGGACAAGGAGUGCACCCUAAGAACAUAUAAAAUACAUCAUUACUUUUAUAUCAAUUCUACUAUCUGUCUUUGAGUUCAUGUUUGAGAAAUCAUCUGACUUGCCUAUAAAAAUUCAUUACCAAGUUUAGCUACUUGCAGAGUAUGUGAAGUGGGGUCACUUACAAACUGUAUAAAAAAACUCAACUCCCCAACAAGUAAAUAUAAAGUCCUAGAACUGGAAGCAUGCUAAUUGUUAAUCUAAAAGUGACUUAAUUGAAAUAAACUAAAGGAGCAUAAAUUCCCAUUUCUACUAUGGUAUUAAAGCAUUAAUCUCGUGAUAACAGAAAAACACAACGAAAUAGGGCGAAUUUCAUACCUUCCCAUUCCAACAACCACAAGGAAAACUGGAGGCUUAACCAUUAACAGCAAUGACAGGGACCUGCUAACUUGUAUCCAUAGCACCUGAACAACCAACACAUGUUACAAGUAUACAAUCGUACUUUAAAAAUGACAGGGACCUCCUCUUCCUCUUCUCCCACUGCUCUUUCUCUCCCUCCUCCCUCCAUAUCGCCGACUCCCAAUUCGAAGGUUACGGCGACGAAAUAAAUGAGGACAAUGACGACUACUCCUCACUCCCUCUUCCGACUCGCACCCGCCCUUUCCUCACCUCCGCAUCCCAACCCGACUCACCUUCCAUGAUCCAUCCCUACCAGACCCGGAUCCCAACCCGAUUCCCGAUUCCCGAUUCGGACUCACCAUGCAUCCAUCUUCCCAAACCUUCCUUCACCAGCUUCGAGUAUUGGGAUGAAGACGAGUUCGAAUGCCUCCUAAUCCAACCCUAGAAACUGCCCCUCCAUGACCCUGCAUUUAUCAAAACUGCGAAUACCUCCUCCAAUUCCGAUUCCAAACUCUCUGCCGAUCCCAACCCUCCACCGCUCCGAGAUCCUUUUUUGUGGAGAUCGUGUGUGGAGGGUUCCUACCAAGGUUUUCUGGCGACGAUGGAACUCAGGAGCCUCCACGAUUUGAUCUGAUGAAGGUAGUGAGACAAAGGGGGUUGGAGAGAGACGGGUGAGAAUGAAUCUGAGGAAGGAGAGUUUGAAUAGGCUGAGUGAGUGUGGGUGAGGCUGCUUUUGAAACCGAGUGGGUUGUGCGAUCGAUAAAAACUAAUACUUAAAUAUGACUUUGUGUCCAGACUUCAAGGGAAGACAGAACAUUGUGUCUUUAACAUUAGAGAUUGGCAGGGUAAUCGUGGUUACACGUUCAUUUAAAUUAAAUGGUUACGGUUAUGGGUAACUGUUUAGAUAAAUAAACGGUUAUGAGUAUUAACUGCGGUUAUAAAUGAGUAACCGUUUACCCAUUUAUUUUAUAUAUGUAAAAUUAACUCAAAAUAUGUUCUCUAUUGGACAAAACUUAGAUCAAUGCUAUUGAUUAUAAUGUGAUUUAUAUAGCAGUGUUUUAAAUUAAGACCAAAUGAUUUAAAUAAUACUAAAUCAAGGGGCACAAAAUACUUUUCGUGUGUUUGUAACUUAAGAAAAAAAAAUAUGAUUACUGAUAUUUAUACUAGAAUAAAGGCACAAAUCCAUAAUUGUGCCAACAUAUCUUUUGCUAUAAAGUGAUUUAUUAUUAUUAAUAUUUAUUAGACACAAUUUCUAGCUUAGUGUGAUAAAAAAAAAUUAUAAUUAUUAACUCAUUUGUCUAUCUGAAGACCCAUUACACUUUUGCACGAAGACCGAUGACCUUAAGAACAUAAUUGUUGGUUAUGUGUCACUGCAUGAAGGACUUUCUAAUACAGUAAAAAAAAGUUGCUGACAAACAAUUUUUAUAGACACAAAAUGUUUUUUGUACCCAUCUUGAGUAAAAAAGUUGUCAUCUGACCCUACUCGGCACGGUUUCCGUGCCCAUAACUGUUUUGUGUCUUCUUUUUUUUACAUUGGGCACUAUAGUUGGUGCCCUCUAUGGAAUGGGAAUUGUUUCAGCCUUUGAGUGGUCAAACAAACACAAAAUUCUUAAUUGUGUCCUUAGCAUGGAAGAAAAUAUCGAUAAUAUCGGCGAUAUAUCGCCGAUAUUAUCCGGUUGUUCCCCAAACCGAUAUUUUAAGUGGUAUCCAAGGGGGUUUCGUCAAAAUUUCACGAUAAUAUCGAUAAUAGCGAUAAUAUCGUGAAAUUUCGGAACUGUGCAAGUCGGAGACGAACGCCGGAGCUUCUAUAGCUCCGGCCGACUGUAAAAGACCUCCUCCAUCAGAACCUUGAAGGGGAACUGUGGAUCGGCGGCGACUCGGGAUCUCCACCCAUUAAGAAACAUACCCAGAACUCCAAAUCCCGAAACCGACGACGACGAGAGACAUUGAAAUGGUGGUGGUGCGGAGCACCCGAGCCGAUGAGAACACCGGAUCUCAACGCACCCUCUCGAAAUACCGCAGCAAAACGCGGUUUGAAAGCAGCUGCAUGCCGGAUCUGAAAGAUGAAGGAGGAUGAUCGCUGCUGGGGGUGGGUAGGAGGACAUGGCCAGAUCGGGAAAGGACGCAGGGGGAAAAGAAAAAACACAGGAGAAAGCAAAAAGAAAAACAGAAGAAGAAGAGAAAGAAGAAAAGACAGAGGAACAGACCGAGAAGGGAAAAACAAGAGAAAAACAGGAGGAGGAAGGGGGAAAAGGCGACCGACUCCAGCCGAAGCCAGAGUCGACGCCGGAGAAAAUGGGUACAAAGAAACCCUCACCAACACGGGAGGGAAGAUACUCUCACAGAAGGAGAGAAAAAGGAACAUAUGAUUUUGUUUGGCUGAGAAAGAGAGUGAUGUGGGCAAGAGAGAGAGACACACACACACGGGUAGAUGAUAGAAAUUUGUGUGGUGUGGGUGCGUUUAGGGAAGAGAGAAAGAUGAGUGUGGAUGUCGACAUAAGUCUUUGAAAAGUAAUAAAAUACUAAUAUAAUUGUGUUUUUUUUUUUUUGGAAACUAAUAUAAUUUUGUCUUUAAAACACCAAGGGGAUUCGAACCCUUCCCCUUUUACUCCUUCAACACCUUGACCACUAUAUCACUUAUAUUUUUGUGAAAAUAUGCUAAAAUACACCUACUCUACACAUAAAGAUGUUUUGAACCUCAUAAGAACUCUAUGUGGUACUAAGUCACUCAUGUAUCUUACCAUGCAAUGUAUAAAGUGUAAAAUAUUGUACUAAUUCAUUAUAUAUAAAUGAUUAUGGUGUGUUUAGACUUCUUUUUAUUAAUUACUACAUAUUUUCUACACUCACAAUGUUUGUUAGCUCGCUAUAUAUAAUCAAACUUGAUAAUGUUAAAUCCAUCAUGCAAUGCAUUUCCUUCCAAUUUUUUUGUGAUAAAACUAAUAGAUAAUUGACUAAAUAAACAUCCUGCAAAGUUUCAAUAAAAAUUUCCAAGUUUUUCUUACAAUUUCCGUGGUUUCCAUGUAAUUUUUAUCGAUAUCGAUAUUAUCCCGAUAUUUCCAUAGAUAUUUCCGUGUUUUCGGACUACCGAUAUUUUCGAUAUUACCGAUAUUUUCUUCCUUGGUCCUUAGUUUUGUACCUAAAGCUCAUUUUUCUUGUAGUGCACUCUCUUCUUCUCUCCUUCAAUUUUAAAAACAAAAAUAAUACAAAUUCACACUCUGUGUGCGUGGGCAUAUACUAAUUUUUAAUUAUAUGACAAUAUUUAAUUAGAUUUGUAGGACUCAGUUAUGUGUCACAUGAGUACAUAACAGAAUUUUGACAAAAUUGUGAUGAGAGAACCACAUUGAUUUGCGACACUCAUUUUUAGGGACUACAUUGAUCGAUUUUCAAUUUCAAUUUACUAUCUUGAUAGGGUAGGUUUGAGAUAAAAACCUACUUAAAGUGAAGGAUACUUCAUGAUUUUCACUUGCACCUAAGAAGUGAAAAGUGUGGAGUGAGUAGAAACUGUAAGAAGUAUGUUAGAGUGUUGGAUAGGGUAGGUUUGAGAUAAAAACCUACUUAAAGUGAAGGAUACUUCAUGAUUUUUCACUUGCACCUAAGAAGUGAAAAGUGUGGAGUGAGUAGAAACUGUAAGAAGUAUGUUAGAGUGUUGGGAGUCAGGAUAUUAUGGGCAAGUAUGUAGGGGCGUAUUAACAUGAAUUUUAAUUGAAAAAUAAUUGUAUGAUGUAUUAAGUAUGUGAGGGGUAAUCAAUAAUAUGUGGGAUGUUAAUAUAAUAAGCUUUAUAAAAUCAGUAAUACUUUACUCACCAAAUUUAUUCAUCAAAUUUGUUCAUUAUAUAAUAUAAAAUUUUACUUGUUAGAAAUAAUUGAGAUCUAAAGUGGGUCUACAUUUGAAACAACGCAAACUGUUCUGGCAUUUGGUAUAAUGUACACCAACUGUUAUGCCACUUGGUAAAUGUAGGCAAACAUUAUAGUUUGUCUACUGUUGAUAUUCAUUUGCUAAGGGCUGGUUUGGUAUUGUUGUGCUUUGAAAAAAAAGCUGUUGUGAGAAUAAGCGGCUGUGCUGUGAGAAUAAGCGGUUGUGAAAAAAAAUCAGCAGAGAGUUUGGUAAACUUUUUUGUAAAAGUGCUUUUAAAAAAAAAACAGUCUGAUAGUGGGUCUUUGCACUGUAGCUCCGUGUGCUUUGAAAAAAAGCCAGUUUUCCAAAGCUACAAAUAGCAGCUUCAGCUUUUUCCUUUGAUUUCAGCUUAUUCUCACAGCAGCUUCCAAAAUAAGCCUUUUUUUUUCAGUUUACCAAACACUUAAAGCCCUCACAGUUUUUUUUCAUAGGUGUUUUUUUUUAAGCACCUCACUCCCAAACCACCCCUAAAUAAAAUUGGUUAUUCUGGUGGCACUCUUACAAGUAGCUCAUCUACAUGGACAUCAACAACACAAAAUAUAAUGUCGUCUUCCAAUCAUCAGCCACAAUGAACCAACAAAAACCAAAAAGCUAGUAGGUACUACGUACUGGUUUAGUAUUGAAGUGCUUUUAUAAAAAGUGUGUAUUAAAAAAAGCUAAGCUCAAAAAGGUAUUUUGGUAAACACUUAAAAUAGCUUAUUUUCAUAGUUUUGGGUGAAAAAAAGUUGAAAACGUGAAGUGUUGUAAACUGAAAUAGAAAGAAAAGAAGUUACCCGAAAAAUAUAAAAGCCUUGAGUGGUGAAUGAUUCUUGGGAUGAGUCGCGGACUAAGUCGCUCUCUUUAAGACGUUUCGCAACUCUGCCCAAAAUGUGCAAGCAGUUCACAAACACCAUGUCGUCCCUAGGAUAAAACAGCCCAUAACCUUCUUCUUCUGAUAAAGUUCUUCCUUGCAUAGUGGAAGAACCUUCGAACUCACACCCUCUCAAUAUAUUGCUUUUAAAAUCAAUAUAUGUAAAACUUUUUUUUUCUUGUUUUUUUACUACUAAUCCGCAUGACUUACAAAUAUAUAUAUAUAUAUAUAUAUAUAUAUAUAUAUAUAUAUAUAUUUGUUGGUGUGUAUCCUGGUAUCCGUUGAGAUGGCGAUUUUUAUAAAAUUAUGAUUGCAUGUGUGUACGUAUGUAUAUAUUAUCAUAAUAAAAAAAAUAUGUUGAGAUUACAAACUAUAGGAAUCAAUGCAAUUGGAAGCCAAAACGCCAGGAAUAAUGGCAAUCAAAACGGACAAAAAAUCACAACGGGACAAAACAUAGUCAAUUCAAACUGAAAAAGAAAACAAAACAGUUUGAAAAUUAACAUUGGUAAUAAAGGAAAAUAUUAAAAUGUCGUACCCAGUGCACAAGGCUCCCGCUUUACGCAGGGUCUGGGAGAGGUAAAUGUCGGCUAGCCUUACCCCCAUUUAUGGAGAGGCUGCUCCCAAGUCUCGAACCCGAGACCUACCGCUCAUGGGCGAAGGCACUUGCCAUCGCACCAAGUGCGACCUCUAAUAAAGGAAAAUAUUAUGUAUAUAAUAUUGGUAAUAAAACAAAAUAUAAAUAUAUUUAAAUAUUUAAAUAAAAACAUAACUGCUCCAGCAAUCCCCCACUUGUUUUUAUUUAAAAACUAUAUAUCAAGCAACAUAUCAUAAAGCUAUGCAUAAAUAAAGGUGUUUCUCAACUUGAACUUGUACAUAGUGUUAGUGAUCCAGAUUAUACUAGAGUAACUUAUAGUUUUGAACUCUAUCUCUGACAAUACCACCCACAUAACUUUAUUAAGGUGAAGUUCAAAAAGCCAGCACAUUAAGGCUAUGUGCUUGUAUCCCAGUAUAGUGAACGCUCUAGAAACUUACCCAAGAUUUUAUAGGAAGCGGCCUCACUUCCACAUUCACAUAGGUAAGACUAUCAAGGAUAUUCCUGUAGCUAGAUAUCCCACUCAACAUAGAGUAUAUACCUUACUAAGAGAACAAAUCUCAACCUAAAAACGCUUCACGAUGCCAUGCUUUUUUAGGGAUGGACAUGAAAAAUAAUAUUCCCAAUUAAAAUUAGCAUUACUUCACUCAUAUCACUUGUGACUUUUUAUUACCCUUUGAACCUAUUUCUUGGGAUCUCCAAUCUAUAGGUUGGGUUGCUAUCACAAAUGACUCAAAUUUUCUACGGGCUUUAGUCCCAUCCCUUUCGAGGUUUUCCAAACCUUUUUCUCAUGUUAGUCCUUUCGUCAAAUGAUUUUUCCAAACUUUUUCUCAUGUUAGUCCUUUCGUCAAAGAAUCAACUAAAUUUUCUUCAGAUCAUAUAUGACUGGAAUCGUUUUCUCCCAUAAGGGGUAGUAUCUAACAGUAGGUUUCUCAACCAUCCUGCUUCUUCUCCCAUAAAGGGGUAUCUGACAAUAGUUUCAUAAAUUUUAGAAGAAUUAAUACCCCCACUAUUUCGAAGAUUAAAAGGAAAUUUAUUUUCAUAAUAAUCAGAAUCAAGAUUUUUACACACAAAUAUUUGAUCAAUACAGAUCACAUACUAAAAAUCAUAGAUUUGAUUUUAUAUACAUGCAUAAAGAAUUAAAUCACCGCAUAUCAUUUAGGUAGUUUCUGUAACUUAUGUAGUACCUAUUUACAAAAAAUUACGAACCACUGGCCUAUAUACAUGCAAAAUAUAUUAGGGGUUUUGUUUCAUUUACAUUGAUAAAGAUGACAAAAGUUGUUCAACAUCAUUUUGUGAUUUAAAUCAGAACCAACCAGAAAUUAGAGUUGGAACCAAGAGAAUACCAUUUCAAAAUAAAAAGAAGGAAUAAAAACUUGUACAAAAAAAUAAAUAAAUAAAGAGGAGAGAGGAGAGAAAAUAAAAAUUUGAUGUUUAUAACUUAUUUCUUAACCAUCCAAAAGCCAUAGCUGACCUGAGCAGCACAUCAAGUGACUCAAUUAUGAUAUUUUAUCAACAUUCAAUUUAAACAUUCCAUCGGUAGCAUAUCCCUUUCCCACAAAAACCCUAUUUUUAGUAAGAGUAUACGUAUAUGCUCCAAUAGUUUGAGUAAAUCUAGCCUUGUUGAGAAGAAAGCCCGAGACCAAAUUCUUCCUCAUCGCUGAAGUGUGCAUCACAUCUUUCAGUAUCAUGGUUUUUCCAGAGGUGAAUCUCAACUCCACCUCUCCAUUACCAGCAACAUUAGUUGAGUGCGAAUCACCCAACAACAUCUUCCUUCCCUCAGCCACAAAAUAGGUCUUGAAAAGGGAAUGAUCAUAGCAAACAUGGCGAGAAGCGCCAGUGUCCACCCACCACCCCUCGGAUCCAUCAACUAAGUUGAUUUUUGAUAUCAUUGCAAUCAGUUGCUCUUCAACAAGAUUUGCCUGUGGAGCAGGGCUUUUCUUAUUUCUGCAAUUAUGGGCAAGAUGGCCCAGCUUGUGACAGUUAUAGCAUUCAAACUGUCUCGAAUCAAAAGCAGCACUUAGGGGGGUUGGUACCUAUUCUGAGGAUGAGAGGGAUUUCGAUUCUGAACUUUGUUUGUGUUGUUGUUGAGGCGCUUGUUGUGAUUAUUGCUCUGAAUCUUCAUGUUCUUCCCAUUUGGCUUCAGCACAACUAGAGUCUGGUUCCGGUUGAAGUUGGUAGCCUUCUGGUUGCUUGACACGACCAUAAUUUCCUCCUUCAAUUCUUGUUUCCUGGUCUCUUCCUUAAUGCGAAGUCGAGUGAUCAAGCUUUCCAGGGAGAACUCUUUUGUCUUGUGGCGGAGUGAGUUCUUGAAAAUUUUCCAAGUAGGUGGCAAUUUAUCAAUGAUGACAGCAACCUAAAAUUGAUCAUCUAAAACCAUGCCUUCAGAAAUAAUUUCAUGAGCAAUUUUCUGUAAUUCAUGAGAUUGUGCUUCAACAGAUUUAUCAUCAGCCAUCUGAUAUUUCAAAUAUCGACUAACAGCAAAUUUCUUAGCCCCAGCUUCCUCGGUGUCAUAUUUUUUCUUAAGUGCCUCCCAUAAAUCUUUAGCAGUGCCAUAAUCAGAAUAGUAAUCAUAAAGGUCAUCAGACAAUCCAUUAAGAAUAUAAUUCUUAGCAAGAAAAUCAUUUUUAAUCCAAGUUUGUGAAGCUUUGGUCUGUGCAAUAGUGGGCUCUUCAGGGAGAGUUGGUUUGACAGUGGGGCAAAAUGAAGCCAAUUUUUUUGUGGUGAGAAAAAAUAACAUCUUCUGCCUCCAACGCUUAAAGUGGAGACCCUCAAACUUGGAAGGCUUGUUAAGGUCGGGUGUGGUGUUGUUUUCAGAUUCCAUGGCAGAUUAAUCUCGUCUUAAAAUUGUUGUAAACUGAAAUAGAAAGGAACGAAGUUACCCGAAAAUUGUAGAAGCCUUGAGUGGUGAAUGAUUCUUGGGAUGAGUCGCGGACUAAGUCGCUUUAACGUUUUUGCAGGAAAGCAGUUGUGCAAAAUAUUCAAAAAAAAAAAAAAAAAAAAAAAAAAAAUAAAAAAAAUAAAAAAAAAAAAAAAAAAAAAAAAAAAAAAAAAAAAAAAAAAAAAAAAAAAAAAAAAAAAAAAAAAAGAAAAAAAAAUAAAAAAAAAAAAAAAAAAAAAAAAUUAAAAAAAAAAAAAAAAAAAAAAAAACAAAAAAAAAAAAAAAAAAAAAAAAAAAAAAAAAAAAAAAAAAAAAAAAAAAAAAAAAAAAAAAAAAAAAAAAAAAAAAAAAAAAAAAAAAAAAAAAAAAAAAAAAAAAUAAAAAAAAAAAAAAAAAAAAAAAAAAAAAAAAAAA
rnacentral:lncRNA from 1 species